rnacentral:lncRNA from 1 species
AGCGGACCUCCGUCUAUUUCUAUGUAUCGAGGGGCCUCGAUGGAGGCAUGCGCACACACUUCUGCCAUGACGAGACGCAUUCGUCUCGUGCCAAUGACAUUGUCAAGAGGGUUGUUGGCAACACUGUGCCGGUGCUGAACGGUGAGGACCUGUCAGUGAGGGUGCUGGUGGACCACUCCAUCGUAGAGAGCUUUGCAAUGGGCGGGAGGUCCACGGUGACGUCACGGGUGUAUCCGACCGAGGCCAUCUAUGCCAACGCUGGGGUGUACCUCUUCAACAACGCCACCAGCGCCCGUGUCACUGUAACCAGCCUCGUCGCCCACGAGAUGGACUCCUCCUAUAACCAGGCCUACGUCGCCUCGAUGUAGAAUGAAAACAGAAAGAUCAUAUUUUUGAUAGCAUAUACAUAUAUGUGUAAUUUCCUUUCUGAUUUUCUCCUCACUCCCGCUAUCUUUGUUUCCCUUUUCAUUUUUAUUAUGUCUAUUCAUUGUCAAGGUCUUCCAAAAAGUUGUAGUUGAGCUAGUGGAAGAUGCCAUGAUAUGCAAAGCUAGAGCUGUAUAUGUACUACAUCAAUCAAAUCAAUUUUUACAGAAGUUUGUUUUCUUUGAAAAUUUCAGUUGGUUCCAUACUGUCUCACAGGCUACGUACAAUUGCAGAAGGACAGUGUCUAUGUAUACACACAAGCAUGAAACUGAAUUUAAUCAAUUGCUGAUGAACAACAGAACCAUGAUGUUGAAAGUGGCUGUUAAAUCUGAAAAAGCCCGAGCGCAAGUUCAGCCCUGUCGGUAUUGCUCUGCCCAUCCUUGAUGGCACCAUAGUUCUUCACUGACAUAUAUAGAUACAAUUGUUCCAGAAAUACGGAUUAACUGCAUUGAUGUCCCAAUGUGGCUUAUUUUUCCUUACAAAAUCUUAAGAGUAAAAUAAGAAUUGGUCAUGAAAAGUAAAAGUCACUCAUGUAUCAUGACAAUCCUUGUUAUGUAUAUCUCAACCGACAAAUAUGUACAUGACCCAGAAUUGAAGUCUCGUGUGAACAAUAAUAACAUGGUUUAUCAUACUGACAUUGGAAAUUGACAACAUAAUACACUAAUACUAGAACAUUCUAAAAACAAUAAAAUACUCCCUCUGUAAAAAACAAUAUCAGUGUUUGGAUCACUAAGAGUAGAUCACUAAAGUCUUAGAGAUCUAAACGCUUUUCGUUUUUUUGUUUUCUUUUUUUUUUCUAUUUUCUUUCCGUUUUUGAAUUCAUUUUUAUUUUUUCAUCAAAAGCUCAGAUAUUUAAAAAAUAUUCGCGUUUUUAUCUUUUCUUUCAUUUUUUCUAAAAUGUUUCAGUUUUCAAAAUUUCAAAAAAAUGUUCUCCUUUGAAGUUUUGUUCACAAAUUUGUUAAAAAAAUUGUUUCGGGAAUUUCAAAAAAUACUCGUGUUUCAAAACAUCUUUCAGUAAUUACAAAGUUUUGAUUAGAAGUUAAAAAAUGUUCGUGUUUUAAUAAAUGUCCAGUAAUCCUAAAAAAUGUUCUCAUUUUCAUGUUUUAUUAUGUUCCUGUUCUCAAAAUUUGUUCAGGAAUUUAAAAUAUGUUCCGAACAAGUUUUGACAUUUUUCAUAAGUUGUGAAAAAAACUGCAAUCAUUUUAAUUUUAGAACAUUUUUAUGAAAGAAGAACAUUUUUGAAAUUUUAAAAAUAUUUUCAAACAUGAACUUAGUUUAUAAAAUAACCUUAAAAAGAAAUAAAAAAAGAAUAAACAAUAGAAAGUAAAAAAAAAGUAAAGAAAGAAACAAAUAUAGAAAAUUAAAAAAUCAAUAAAAAAUCUUAAAACCGGUUCAAGAACCUCUUAGAAGGUUUUGAAAAUCGAUGGUAACCCAAAUUGGGCCGGCCCAAAUCUUCCCGGGGGUUGAGCGGAGCCUCCCCUAUUUGCCGUAAAAUGCGGCGAACAGGGUUUUCUCUAAUUGGUACGUAUGGUAAGUCACCGGUUGUCAGGAAUAAAGUUUGAUUGUGUGCAAUUGCAAGAUGCAGAGGCAAUAAAAGUGACAUUUUAUUUCAUCGUCUAAAAGCACAUGUACAUUGUGCUACCACCUUUAAGAAAAUGAAUUGCUACAACAUUUUUUUCUUUUUUACUGUGAAGCUGUGCUGGGAUGGCAAUGGGUACCCAUCACUCGUGUACCUUGUGGAUAAAAAUUCUAUUAAGGCAAGGGUAUGAGCCAAACAAAUACACGUGGGUACAUAAAUGGAAAAUUUUCAAUACCCAUCGGGUAUAGUGGGUAGGGUAUGGUUUAGUAUAACCCAUACCCGUGUACCCAUAUACCCGCAUAUAAUCUAGAAAUUAGGCAUUAAAUAUUAUUUAUCCAUAUAUUAGACGUAUUAUAAGUACAUAAAUCCCCCAACUAGCCAACAUCCAGAAUGUGUUGUUGUUUAUGAGUAUGUGUUUCAGUUAGGAAGUGUUGUUUAUAAAUUAUUAUUAUGAUUUGUAGUUUAUGACUAUGUUGUACUCAAGUUGACGUGUUUCAAACCUGAGAAAUUUUAUCCGCGGGUAUCCAUUUACCCUCACGGGUGACGAGUAUGGAAAAAAAUUAUACCCAUCAACGGAUAUGUGUAUGGAUGAUGGGUACGGUUUUGGGUUGACGGGUAAGGGUAUGAGAUGGCUCCACCCAUAACCAAACCCGACGGAUGUCAUUCGUAGCUAUGUAGGCAUGGUCAUAGGAGGACUACUACUCAUGGACUACGAGGCUGGUGGCUGUGUCCCGGACGCCUGUGGCAUUCUUGAAGAGGUAUAUCCUUGCACUGGCAUAGAUAACCUCGGUCGCGUACACCCUUGAUCUCGCCGUCCACCUCUUACCCAUCGUGAAGCUUCCAAUGAUGGAGUAGUCCACUAGAACUCUAAUGGAUAGUUCCUCGCCGUGGAUCACUGGUACAACAUUCUGGUCGACCCCCUUGACGAUGUCGUUGGCAUGGGAUGAGCACGUCUCAUCCUGGCAGAAGUGUGAGCAAGUCAUCGUCGAUGCCUUUAGCCGAUAAAAGUAGACGGCGAUACAAUCUGCGUCACCCCGGCCCGCCGCCACCACUUGCGUUGCAUUUGUUGCUGACAACAACAUCCUUAGCAGUGGAGACAUAUAGCGGAUCAAGGCAGAAGGAGGCCCCAAUGUCAAGUUGUGUGGCAUGGUCAGGCCCGGCCCUGAGGGGGGGGGGGGGGGAGGGGCGGCCGUCCCGGGCCCCCGGAACCUGAGGGGGCCCCAACUCAGGUACGUGUGAGCACCCAACCCCCAAUCUGCCGAAGAUGCCAUUAGAGCAGUUAGAGAGUAGCUGCGGUAUGGCUCGAGGAAGAAGAAAGCUGAAACGGUGUUUCUUUUAGCUACUUGGGCUUUGGGCCUUUGUUUCCUUUUGUUAAAUUGUGGGGUUAAGUGGUGGUGGGCUUUCCCUGAAAAAAGUAAUGGUGGGUUAUGUGUAAGAAAAAGUAAUGGCAGGCCACACCAAGCUAGAGGAGGGAGACGAGCACAUUUGUACAAAACUUAUAAAUUAAAAGAAAGAAGAAGCUUGGUGAUUAAUUGACAUGCUUGCGUGUUGCCUGGCAUUACAACCCUGACAAACUAAUAUGUCUUUCUUUUUAUUGUAAAAUAAAUCUAUUUUUUUAUUUUACAAGCAUAGCAAACUAAUAUUGUAUCUCGAUAAGAAAAAUAAACAUAUCAAAUUUAGUAUAUGUGUGGUGUCCAUAAAGAAAAAUAUCGUAGCGGAGAGCCAAGAGCAGCACACACGAUGACGACAGACUGACGACAUGGAUGUGCACUAUGGUCAUUCUGUAUUAUGAAUUGAGAGUUGACUGUUCUACUUUGGUGUUAAUAUUCAUAAGUGUGAUUCUAAUUGUUAUUUUGCUUCUAUAAGUUUCGUAUAUAGGAAAAAGUUUUUUCACCCAUUCAGUUUCUUCAUACAUAAAAUUUAGUGUGUGCUCUGUCACCAUGUUUCCACGUAAUUUGGGUGCAAAUGGAUAAAUGUAAUUUUGAUGAUCUCUAGUGCCUCGUUGUGGCGACAAACUCUUGAUAUCAUGUUGGUCCCGGUCAAAAAUGACCCAUCACCGCCCUCAACGAGUCCUAUCAAGAUGCAGCUACAUCAUGCACAUUAGCCCCCGCAUCGACAUGAUCUCAUAGAAGAUAUGCAUCUGAUUCUCUUUUCAUAGAUAUCAUUGAUAAAGAUCUUGUGUGCAAAAUUACUAGAAUCUUUUUGGGAAGCUUCUUUUCUAUCUCCCGGGCCCCCGAAAUCAUAGGACCGGCCCUGGGCAUGGUGUAGGUUGAGAGGGAAGACGAAGCAGUGGUCGUUGGUGACGCUACCGAGCUCGGUAGAGUUGGUCCGGAGGGUCUCCAUCUUCUCCACGGGAUACUAAAGGAGAUUGGUCCCCGUCUUGUAUCCAGCACCACAGUUCAAGGGAUCGGCUGUGACAGUAACAAAAUGGUAAGGGCCACGUUCGUGGACAGGUCGAAAUUACAAGUACUCGUUGAAGAAAUCAAGAAGAUGGUCAUGGAUGACCUUAGGGAGAUUUUUAUUACUGCUAAUAGUCGUUCGAAAAAUAGAGUUAGUCAUGAGCUCGCUGCAUAUGUUAGAAAUAUCCCCGUACUGCUGUUUGGCUGGGUUCAGGCUUAACCAAUAUUCUUGUAAUGGUAUGGCGAUUUGCCUCCUUGAGGUAAUAGAAAUCUUCCUCUUUCCCGCAAAAAAAGAAAAGGAUUAAUAGUACAAAUUAGUUGGAUUGUGUUUUGCAUUGAGUUUGUUGGUAGUACAAAUUGCUAAUCUUUGCAUGCCACUAGACCACAUGGUAACACAUGAUCCAACCGUGGGUACGUAUGUAGAGUUUGUUUGCAGGACACAAACAACUAUAUAUACUAAUUUUGAAAGGGAAAAGAUAACGCCCACACAUGUGAACGUUUGCAAGCCGUCUAUAUGCAUGAAUCUUCGUUCGUUUGGGUUACACUAAUUUUGGCAAAUUUUAUAUGUCAUGUAUGACCGGGUCGGUGUGUGAACGUUCAUCCUCUUCGCCCGCAUGCUCACUGUCUCUUGGAUUGCUUGCAGUGCCAGGCCUGCAUGUGGAGGGUCGACUGUUGCGCCCGCACGCCGCGCGCUCCCCCUCCACUACUGCAUGGCAACUACAUGUGCAUAGUUGUUGUUCAAUCUGCAUGACAACUAUCAUGGAAAUUGACGGUAACUGCCAGCAAAGUGGGAUGGCAAGUGCUCUUCAUUUCAUCUUCUCUGGCUGCUCGUCUGCAUGGCAACUACCGAACGUGGAGGACAGCGUGGUGGGAAGCUAGGGUCGUGCGGGCGACCGACCCAGCCACUCGGAUAGCAACUGCCAGCAAGGUGGGAUGGCAACUGCUUUUCAUUCCAUCUCUUCCGGCUGUUCGUUUGCAUGGCAACAACUUUCGCUGCAUGGCAACUACCGAACGUGAAGGACAGUGCGGUGGCAUGCCAGGGUUGUGCGGAUGACCGGCCCAUCCACCGAUCGUGCGGGCUGCGGGUUGAGACGCCCGAACGUGGGCGUGCGGAUUGACCUGGGUGGAUGCCACACAGGACGUGCGGCAAGUACCUUUCAACAUACUCCCUCCGUUCCUAAAUAAAAGCCUUUUUAGAUGUUUCAUUACGAAACUAUAUACGGAUGUAUAUAGACACACUUUAAAACUCUAGUAAAAUCUUUAAAAAUAUAUAUAUUUAGAGACGGAGGAAGUACACGGAGUGUGCAUGCAUCAGGGCAAGAACCGGUGGCAUGGGCCAGAGGAAGGAAGCAUCAUCCUGGUGCCAUGUCAGCAACAGUUGGAAGAGACAGAUAGUUGUCGCGGGCGGCAAAUAAUUCCUGCCGUCAAGUGGGGGUGGGUGGUCAGGGAGACAGGUAGAGGUAGGUGAAGAUCCAGAAUCUUAUCAUAAUCAUCCACCGUGGCCUCACUGAUUCGCAGUGCCCAUCUUGCUAGCUAGCUAGGCACACCACAUGGCUACCAGCUCAAAGCUUGCAGUCCAAUCUUCCUCUCUCUAUCCAUCAAAUGUUCUCCCUGGGAUUGAGGUCGGCAUCAUAGACACUUGUCUUGUCUAUGACUGUUGCCCCAAUAAUUUCUUUAUUUAUCAAAUAAUCCCCAUUAGUUUGUCUAUGCAAGAGUGGUGUAGAUUCUCUGCGAUAAUUGUUCGCCAAUAAUACACUAUUCUAAACUAAGUAACUGACAGAUAUGUAUGUGGACUUGUGUCUUGUGCCCAGUCUCGGGCGCCAGCUCGCUGGCAAUGUAAUCAUCAGCACAUGCAUGGAGAAAAUGCACAUGCUUCCUCUGUUUCUAAACAUAAGUCUUUUUAAAAAAUUCUGUUACGGAUAACAUAUAAAGCAAAAAAGAAUGAAUCUACAUUGUAAGAUAUGGCUAUAUACAUCGAGAUGUCAGUUUGGUCCAGGCUAUCAGCCUUGCCGGUGCUGCGACACCACAUAUUGAUGCAACAUACUCUGUAACUGGACAUGGCACGAAAUGAAAAGGAAAAAAAUAAUAUAUACUUUCUGCGAGUUCGUGCAAAUUCUAGUAUCCGUUCAUCGAAUCAAAUUUUUGAGUUCUACUCACGCAUGUAUCUUUGUUCCCGUUAAACUGCUGGCUUUGCAAAAUGCUUCGGCGACAAACCUAGCUGUAGACACUACUUAGGUUUGCAUGCGAAAAAGUUUUUUAGAUUUAUUUUCCAGGGAACUGUAUUUUCAGAUGAAAUCACAUGAACUUAGCAUCUACAGUAUCUAGUGUCCUGGGACAAUGAAAAAUAAACUAUCCAUCAACCAAACUAGCUAAUCUAUUGCGAAUACAUGUGAAUUCGAAAUGAUUUUUCUAGAAGAAUUAUCUAGCAUUGAGCACAACACUAUUAUUCCUUUAUAGAAGCAUCGAACACACAACUAAACAGAAAAUCAACCAGCAUAUACAUGUAUGCAUCAGGGCAACAAGAACCGGUAUGCAUGGCGACAGAGGAAGGAAACUGCUGCUUCUUCUUCUUCCUGAUGGCAUAACUGCUGCUUCUUCUUCUUCCUGGUGGCAUGUCAGCAACGGGAGAUGCGACAGAUCGAUGCCGCAGGGAGCUAAUAAUAAUUCCGGCCGUCAGGUGGGUGGUCAUGGGACCCAGAGAAGAUCCAGAAUCAUACCACCAUCCCUUGUGGCCUCACUGAUUGGCAGUCCACAUGGCAUUGCCAGCACAAAUCUUCAAUUCAACUCCAAUCUAUCCAGCAAAAUACUCCCUUCGUACCUAGUUCUUCACAACUAUAAUUAUUUACAUACAGAAGAAGUAGUUGGUACUGUUAUAUAUAUUAUGACGACGCGGAAGAUGGGUGCCGGCAGCAAUCAUGAUUGACACUCGUCGUAGGUGUACGGUGUACCUCCAAUAACUCAAAUUUGUUUAUGCAGAAGAUGUUUACCUAGAUUAUGUGCCAUGAUUGCUCACCCGUAAUGUACUAUUCUAAACUAGUUAUCUGGCGGGUAUGUCUGUGGUCUUGUUGUGCCCUGUCUCGAGUGCAAGCAAAGCAAGCAGGCAAAGCUAGCUAGAAAUCAUGUGCAGAUCAUAGCAGAAAAGAACAAGAAUACGCACAUGCACUGAAAUCUAAUAAAUCAGCCACCGCUGAAGAAGCCGGUGACGCGGAGGAAUCAGCCACCUGCUCUCUACUAUGUUUCUCAUUUUCUUUUUUGAACCCUAGUUCUGUGAUGGAUCAUGGAUGAUGCAUUCCUGGUUCCAAUUUAAAUUGUACCUGGUGAUCUUCAAAAAUAGGAAAAAUCUCCCAAGCCUAGACUCCAACUGGUGGAUCUGGAUCCUGAAAACACCAUUGGUUGAUGCAAAAACAUAAAAAACUGUAACUGAACAUGGCAUUUUGGAUUAGAAAGACAUAAGCUCUUGCUAAUUAGAAGUUGCGGACGGACCAAGUCCUCCUAUUCCAUGCGUUGUAUGCGGAAUAUUGUUUAGGGGAAAAUAUCGAGCUUUAUUAAUCUGAUUUUGCUACAAAUCAGAUCUCAUAUUUAUAAGCAUGACAAAUUUAACAUCUAGGAUUUGAAGUUAUGUUGUCGCGAGCAUGACAAUUUCUUUCAGCAAUCAUGGCAAAUCCUUGCUAGGGUUAGCUUUUUGUCAUGAUUUUUCAUUCUUGAUGAAGGGAAUUGUCUUGCUUGCCACAAUAUACUUGCCAUUUCAAACAUGAGAUUUAUUGCAAAGAGAGCCUUGGCUCAGUGGUUGGGCAUGCGCUUGGUAUUCAUACUAAUCUGGCUGUAUGCAUCCCUAGUUGGUGCAGAGGCCGGGAAGUGAAAUUCUCCCUAUUUUACAUGUGAUAGGGCACCGUUGGGAUGACUGGCUCCACUUGGUGAGGAGACUCAUGGAUGUCCAAUUAUCACAUGAAUCGGAUAGGGUACAUUGGAAGCUCACGAAUAACGGAGUUUAUUUGGUAAAACCAAUGUAUCUUGAUCUUAUAGACACUACCAUCAUCCCCAAAUCUAUUAAUAUUUGGAAAGUCAAAGUUCCCUUAAGGAUCAAAGUCUUCAUGUGGUUUGUACACAAGAGGGUGAUCCUCACUAAGGAUAAUUUGGCUAAACGAAAUUGGGAGGGGGGGGGGGGCGGUAGCACUAAAUGUAGCUUCUGUGAUAAUAAUGAGAAUAUUACACACCUCUUUCUCCUAUGUCCACUUGCCAGACUUAUGUGGCACACAAUUCAUAUAGCCUUUAACAUAAGGCCUCCAGAUAGCAUCGACACGUUAUUUGGAACGUGGUUUCAUGGAGUUGACAAGACGAUUGCAAAACAAAUUCGUAUAGGAGUUUGUGCACUUCUUUGGGCUAUAUGGAAUUGCAGGACUGAUGUGGUUUUUAACAGAUGUAUCAAUAUACAAUUUCUACAGGUACUUCACAGAGCGGCGGCCUUGAUCCGUACGUGGUCAUUACUCACCCCUGCGGACACCAGGGAGCCUUUGGUUACUGGGUCUAUCCGAUGGGAGAUGGUAUCGCGGGAUAUCUUCAACCGGUUUGGAUGACAGUCCAGUAAUAGGAUAGAUGGAUAGGCAUCUAGCUCUAUUUUGGCCGGUUGUGGCUCUUUUUCCUUUUUAUCUCAGAUUUAUUGUACUAUCGGAGACUAUAUGAACCGUUUCUUUUUUGCAAUAAAGGGGCCGUAUGCAUCGUGCUGAUGCAGAGGCUGGAGGUAACCCUCUUUUUCUAAAAAAAAAUAUGACGUGGGAUUUGACAAGGCCUUGUCAACCUUGUCGACGGCUCAUCUGACAUUGUGGGCAUUUUGCUACACCUUGUAGGACGGAAGAUGCCGAGAGCCCAUUGUCCUUCACCUAGCGUUCGCCAUGUAUAAAAGGUUUAUUAAGAAUCUCUUCAAUAGUCGUGUUAAUCAUGUCCACCUUGAUAACCUAUAUGCAUAUGGGAAGGUACAUCGGUUCAAAAUUGUAAACUAGCUAUACUCGUUUUUUUUCCGGGAGAAACUAGCUAUACUCCAUAUUAAUAAAUAAUACAAACAAAUUUCUAAACUAGCGAUACUCCAUAUUAAUGAAUAAUACACACAGUACACCACUAGUGGAUGUACACGCAAAUUCUCAUGCAUCACCAAUCAAGCUUUUUCUUAACUUGGCUAGUUGAGCAUGCAUAUAUAGUAUUAUGUAAAAACGAUACACAUACACGAUGAGAAUUAGAUAAUGGAAGUUUAGCUUAUGCACAAAAUUAUAGCAAUUGAAGUAUAUAAAAGAUAACAAUGGUUAUUGGUAAGUAGAAAAAUACCGCAGCUGGGAUGAUUAACUGGUCGGAUCCAUCCCAGUGCGAGAGAGAGGAAGAGGGUAAUCUUACUAACUAGCAAAAGGACCCGUGCGUUGCAACGGAAAAAAAAUAUUACACACUCUUAAUUUACAAAAAGUGAUCUACAAUUUCAGUAUUUGUAGCUACGACCCAAACAAAGUUGAUAUUAGCCUACAAAAACGUAGUUCAAGAUUCCAUAGGUCUUUUAUUUAAAUAGGGCUUGCAUGUAUAUUUAAUAUGUAUAAAGAAACGGUCAAGUGAUCUUCAAUUUCGUCUCUAAUCCAGAUUUUGCUGACAUGUUGAUCCAUAAUCCAAAUGAGUACCGGUUUGAAAACAAACGGAUAAUGCAUUAUUGAUUAAGAUUGCAUCCUAUAUAACAUUUUUAAAAUUAUUAACAUGUUAUAUUUGAUGUUACGGUUUAGAAGAUAUGAGUAUUUAAAAAAUUAUUUAAUACUAGUUGUCAACCCGUGCAGUUCUAUUAUAAAUAUAGAUAUCAUAGAAACCUAAAGAUAGAUUUUUGAUAUAUCCUAAACUGCACAAAUGCAAAUUAUCAUAGCAGCCUAAAAGUAAAUGACAUGUACUAAUUAUUUGACCUGGUAUUAAAUAUAUAAUGCAUAUUAUAUUUGACAAAAGUUCAAUGAGUGGGAAACAUAUAUCUAGUGCAUCCAUGUUUCGAGAAAACAAUCGCCGUUUUAUGGCAGUAAUUAGACAAACAACAUAUAGACAUCUUGUGCAUGAGUGAAUGGCUAACAAACCUGUAUGUAUGUUGUAAAUAGGAAAGGAGUGGCCAUAAAUAUAUUGAUAAAUCAUCUCAAUUUGUAAUUGCUCAUCCAUUAGUAUUAUAUUUUGAUUAGCUCUUCAAGCGCCGACUGGUCAAGUCUAUUUUACGUGAUGUAGGGUAAAGUUGUUGCUCUCGAUAGUGAAUGCUAGUUUUCACUAUUUAGUGAAUGGGGCAACAUUGGGCAUAAUACCCAUUUCUUACAUCAUGUAGUACAUAUACCACUGGAUUCGCACAAUAGGUACAUACCUAUGUUUAAUUAGUAUCCCGUCUCUCUUCACGUAGGAUACUGGUCCAAGCAAAAGUAAUACUCCCUCCAAUUGAAUUAUAGAAGUAGUACUAAGUGUGUGUCAAUUAAUUUGAAUCAGAGGGAGUAUAUAUAAUAUAAUAGUAAUUAAUGUAGUGUUGAUAAGUACAAUCUAAAAGUUAUGAUAAACAUAUUUUCUACCGAGGAAUAAGUUAUCUAGCAUAGUUUUUAAGUAUAUAAUUUUCAAUUGUAAGAGAAGAAAUUAGUCCUUGUGAAAUGGUUUUUAAGAAAUAGGGAGAGUAAUAGGGAAAUAUCUAGGAAACUUCAGAACAACAAAUUCGUUAAAUGGAGUGCAUAAUAUCCAUAGGAAAAUAUGGUUAGAACACUACAACUAUCAAAGCCUAUGUAAUUUUUUUAUCUUCCGCUCUGCCGCGUAGAUCUUCUGUGUGUUCUUGUAAAAAAAAACUAUGUGACUUGAAGACAUGAUGACUUCUUUAAAACAACUUAUAUAUCCUAUGAAAAAUGACAACAAUGAAAGCUAAAUUAAAACUAUUUAAGGGAUGAUUUUCGAUCAGACCACUAUAAGUAGCAAUACUACUAUAUGAUUUUUGCAAUUUAGUAUGUCGAGAACUGGAUUACCCAAUACAUUCAUUGUGACACCUCAUUCUUCUUUAGCAAUUCAGGUCGAAGGGACUUUGCAAUUUAGACUUUUGGUUCACACAACUGAGGUAUCAACGUGGUUGGAAUAAAUCACUUAAAUAAGUCAAAUAAUAAGUUUGUUACAUAGAGCAAGUGAGAGACAAAUAGCUAUCAUACGGUGUAUGCUCUUUUCGGUUUGGAUCGUUAUCCUUGUAAACCUGGAACCACCAUGUAUCUGGUCCUCUGUUCAAGAAACAGACAAUUAAAUUGCAGGCAAAAAUAAAGAAAACUAUAGUAUGUACUCAUUGAUUAGAUGGCAUAUGCAGUUGUAAGCUUAUAAUGAAGUGAACGUGGGAACUUAUACAUCAUAUUAAAGCUUUAUAAACUAAUAAUUUUGAUGUAACGAAAAUUAAGUGAUGUACUUACACUAAAUUGGUGGGUACACUAAGCGUCGUACAGCUUAAAUAACUCUCUUAUCGAUUGCAGUUGCAAGGAUGCAUGAAUGCUGUGUAAGCAUAUGCUUGCAUGUACGUCAUCCGUAUAAGUGAUAUAAAUGAUGGGUAUGUCCAAACAUGUUCUUUAAGCAUGGUGAUUGAAAAAGGCACGAAGCUGGUUAAAAACAUUGAGUUCACAUAGGAGAGAUAGUAUGCAUUACAUAGCUUGCAUCUUCUCUUGUGCAGAAAGUCUUGCCGCUAUAGCAAACCGCAUAUCGCACUCAACCAUUGGCCUAUCCAGGCUCCCGGUUCUCUCUCUACUUGUUGGUACUGAUGAUCCUUUGUAAAGAGCCUCUUUCUGCUAGUUCUUACUACUUAGCGUAAGGAGCCUCUUUUUUACUGUUGAUCCCAGGUAUCCAAAUGAUGUGCAAAUUGAAUGAUGAUCCUAGAUACCCAACGCUCUAGCCCAUGUUCUUCAUCCUUUAUUGAUGAUCCUAGAGGGUCAACUGAUCCAGAUAUCCGUUGAUGUGCAAAUCGACUUACACGGUUCUGAACCCAGAGGGUCAACUGAUCCCAGAUAUCCGUUGAUGUGCAAAUUGACUUACACGGUUCUGAAUCCAAAGGGUCAACUGAUCCCAGCAUCUGAUACAUGGUAUGUGCUUGCCAUGAAUUCACAAUGCCCACGAUGCGGGCAGUACGUGAUAUAAACCGUGAACCCUAGCCAUGCUCGGGUUGCCACAAAUUCAUCGAAGCGGACCACGCCUGCAGUAGAUGAUGUAAAUCCUGGACCCUACUACAAAGAAAACAGAUAUCAUACAAAGUCGGAUGAGAGUUCCGGUUGCCAUGAAUUCGUUGAAGCGGACGAUGCCGGCAGUAAAUGAUGUAAAUCAUGGACCCUACUACAAAGGAAACAGAUAUCAUACAAAGUCGGAUGAGAGAAAACAUUAAAAUUUUCUGCUUUAGAAAAAUACAAACUGAAAUAGAAAACUAUGUUUUUUAGAGAUUUACUAAUAUUGCAAUUGGAUGCGGUGGUUGCCGGAUGGACCUGCAGCCCAGAUGAAGACACACGCAGUUGAAAAGGAUGAAGAACAAGGGCUGGAGCACUGGGUAACGUCGCUAUGUGAAAAGAAAAGACUAUGUACGUGAUGGAAAGGCUACAAUCUUGUGAUAAUAAAUUCCAGAUUUUCCCUAGCACCCAUCGGACAGUUGUAUGGAGUAGUUGUCAAAACUCGUUGGAUAUUUUUUCUUUUUGACAGCUUGGAGUGCAUUGGUAGAAUAGAUCUGUAGAGAGGACGUGGGACAUUGGGUGAGGACUCUUAAACCUCAACCAACGGUUGUAGAUAGUUAAUAUCAUGAUCAGAUGGACAACUUUUUUUUGCCAAGGAUUUCAUUGAUUGAUCUCCAUCGUUAUAAUUCGGCCCCACCAGAUAAACGGCUGGUAAUUUCUAAUUAACGUGGUAAUUUUUGGGGAGUCAAAAAUUAGUAUAAGUAUAGAUGUAUUACGGGUUUAAUAUCAGAAACAUCAAUGGGUUUUCCAUAAAAUAGCAUGACGGAAUAAGAAUUUUUUUUAGGGUUGUAAUAAUGCUCACACGUGUGGUGGGAGAAACAUCCGCCCAUACACCUAUAACACAUAUAUUGCGUCACGUUACCGCAUGCAUGCAUGUGAGGAUCUUUUUUUAUUCCAGUUUUUAAAAUGUUUUAUCUCUUCAAUGAAAAAUCCAAUUAAAGAUCCGUUUUCACCAUUAAAUCCAUCGCGUAGAGAUCUUCAAAACCAGAUCUCAUAUCAAUAUGUUUCGAUGACUUUUGUUGGGUUAAAAGUUGCCAUGUCUAUUGCACAUGAAUUACAAUGGUGUUUACACUAAUGUUGCUAUGCUUGUUUCAGGUAUUUUUUUCUUCUACAUUUAAAAGUAAUUUUCAUGAAGUACUAAGAAUUGCCAUGAUCCAUGCAUUAAAUUAGCAAUGGAUAAUUAAUAAAAAUUGCCAUGGUCAAUUAAAAAAAAUUACCAUAAAAAGUAGUUGAAAAUAUAACGGUAGCUUUAAAUCUAGAAGAAAAAAUAAAUAAAACAUGUCAUGGCAACUUUAAUGUAAACACUAUGGCAACUGCAGCGUAAACAACACAACUUUUGGCCAAUUUUUUUCAUCAAAACAUAUCAACAUAGGAUCUAGUUUUGAAGAUCUCGUCGAGAAGGAUUUAAUGGUGAAAACAAAUUUUAAAUUGGAUUUAUUAAUUAGGACAUAAAACAUUUUUAAGCCAAAAAUAGAAAAAGAUGGGUCCUGAUAACGCCCACACGUGUGGUGGGAGUAACAUCCGCCCACACGAUUAUAACACACAGAUUGCAGUCACGUUACCGCAUGCAUGCAUGUGGGAAUUUUUUUUGAAUUCUAGUUUUUAAAAUGUUUUAUCUUUUAAAUGAAAAAUUCGAUUGAAGAUCCGUUUUCACCAUUAAAUCCAUCACGACGAGAUCUCCGAAAGUAGAUCUCGUAUCAAUAUGUUUCGACGACUUUUUUGGAUUAAAAGCUGCCAUGUAUAUUAUACAUGAAUUGUCAUAGUGUUUACACUGAAUUUGUCAUGAUAUGUUUCAACUAUUUUUUCUUCUACCUUUAAAAGUAAAUUUUGACAUGGCCAUGAUGGAUCACUAAAAAUUGUCAUGAUCCAUGCAAUAAAUUUUCCGUGUUUAAUUACCAAAAGUUACCAUGGUCAAUAAAUAAAAAUUGCCUAAAAAGUAGUUGAAAUAUAACGGUAACUUUAAAUAUAGAAGAAAACAAAUAGAUAGAACAUGUCAUGGCAAUUUUAGUGUAAACACUAUGACAACCACUGUGUAAACAUCAUGACAACUUUUGGCCAAAUUUUUUUUCAUCGAAGCAUAUCAACAUAGAAUCUAGUUUUGAAGAUCUCGUCGAAACGGAUUUAAUAGUAAAAACAAAAUUUUAGUUGGAUUUUUUAAUUAGGAGAUAAAACAUUUUUAAGCCGAAAACCAAAAAUAUUUCUGCUGAUGUGAUCUGUUUUGACGUGGCAAAAUGGAUGAUAAUGAAGGCAUUUGGGUCAUGUUGCUUCGUGCCACACGCGUGGGCGUUGACUUUUUCAAAAAAGAUUUCUACUAAUGCCAUCUGUUUUAACGUGGUAAAAUGAAUGAUAAUGAAGGCGUGUGGGUGAAUUACAAACACCACACGUAUGGGCGUUAGUUUUUGGGUUUUUAUUAAUAGGUAUAGAUAAAAGAUAAAAUAAUAUCUUCUCUAAACGUGCCCCAUAAAUGGACACGAACCCAUUACCACCGCUUGAGUAGGCCCACUGAUUCAAUCUAACAGCAAGCGUUAAUCUUCUAUUAAACACAAUACAGAUGCAAGUGUUUAUAUACACGCGCAUAUACUCAUUCCUAUGAACGCACAAACGUACACCCUAUCUCCACUAGUGGAAAACGGGCCAUUGGCCGGGACCCUUUAGUCCCGGCCUGCCUCCGGGCCGGGACUAAAGGCCCGGCCACGUCGCCCCAAUUCUCAAUGCCUCCCUCGAGGCUUUAGUCCUGGCCCGUAAGGAGCCUUUAGUCCCGGUUCAUGUCCCAAACUGGGACUAAAGGGCUACGCGAUGGGCAGCCCGCAUGUGCGCCACCUUUAGUCCCAGUUUGUGUCUCAAACCGGGACUAAAGUCCUCUGCCUAUAUAUUGCACAACCCCCCUCUCCCCUCUUCCUUGCAUUUUUCUUGGAUGGAGGAUUGUGGGUGUGUGCUAGCUCUCCACUUUUUUUGAUGCACUAGAGGUGUUUGUUGAAAUGUGUGUUAGAGCGAUGCCGCUUCAGUUCACCGAACACAACUACGAUAUGAGAUGCCUGAGCCACGCUUAAACCUCUUCCUCUUUAUUUCUACUUAUUCAAAAAGGUUAGAAACUAUAUUUCCUCGUUUAGACCGUGCGGUACUAAUUUUUAGGAUCGUGAUUGUAUUUGAUAUACUGUCGUAUAACACAGAUGAGCCAUCCAUGGAUGUACGGUGAUCGACGCACAGCCGCUUACAGAGAAGGCGUGCAUUCUUUUUGAGAUGCAGCCGAUGCGAACAAGCAUGGUGGUGGCUAUAUGUUUUGUCCAUGUGUUGAAUGUCGGAAUGAGAAGGAUUACACUUCCUCAAGAGUCAUUCAGAGCCACCUGCUUCGGUCCGGUUUUAUGUCGGGCUAUAAUGUUUGGACCAAGCACGGAGAAAGAGAGGUUAUGAUGGAAUACGACGAUGAAGAAGAAGAGAACGAUGAUGACAACUACCGAUCUAUGUUCCCUGAGUAUGCUGUCGCAAUGGAAGACAAUGAAGAAGAAGAUCAGGAUGAAGAACGGGAACCAGAUGAGCCCGCUGAUGAUCUUGGCCGGGUCAUUUCUGAUGCACGGCGAGGUUGCGACACAGAAAAGGAGAGGUUGCAGUUCGAGCAGAUGUUACAGGACCACAACAAAUUGUUGUACCCAACUUGUGAAGAUGGCCAGAAGAAGCUGGGUAGCACAUUGGAAUUGCUGAAGUGGAAGGCAGAGACCGGUGUGACUGACUCGUCAUUCGAAAACUUGCUGGUACUUAUGAAGAAGAUGCUUCCAAGAAAGAAUGAAUUGCCCGCCAGCAUGUACGAAGCAAAGAAGCUUGUCUGCCCUCUAGGAUUAGACGUGCAGAAGAUACAUGCAUGCCCUAAUGACUGCAUCCUCUACCGCGGUGAGAAGUAGGAGAAUAUGGAUAAAUGCCCGGUAUGCACUGCAUUGCGGUAUAAGAUCAGAAAAGAUGACCCUGGUGAUAUUGAGGGCGAGCCACCCAGGAAGAGGGUUCCUGCCAAGGUGAUGUGGUAUGCUCCUAUAAUACCACGGUUGAAACGUCUGUUCAGAAAUAAAGAUCAUGCGAAGUUGUUGCGAUGGCACAUGGAAGAUCGUAUGAAAGACGAUAAGUUGAGGCACACCGCUGAUGGUCGGCAGUGGAGAAAAAUCGAGAGAGAGUUCCCGAGAUUUGUAGCUGAUGCAAGGAACUUAUGGUUAGGUCUGAGUACAGAUGGCAUGAAUCCUUUUGGGGAGCAGAGUUGCAGUCACAGCACCUGGCCAUUACUCUAUGUAUCUACAACCUUCCUCCUUGGUUGUGCAUGAAGCGGAAGUUCAUUAUGAUGCCAGUGCUUAUCCAAGGUCCAAAGCAACCCAGCAACGAUAUUGAUGUGUACCUAAAGCCAUUAGUUGAUGAACUUUUACAGUUGUGGGCCGAACCAGGUGUACGUGUGUGGGACGAGCACAAACAAGAGGAAUUUGACCUUCGAGCGUUGCUUUUCGUAACCAUCAAUGAUUGGCCUGCUCUUAGUAACAUUUCAGGACAGUCAAACAAGGGAUACAAUGCAUGCACGCACUGUUUGGAUCAGACAAAAAGUAUAUAUCUGGACAAAUGUAGGAAGAAUGUGUACCCGUACAAUCGUCGUUUUCUUCCACCCAAGCAUCCCUUAAAGAAAAAAGGCAAGCAUUUCAAUGGCAAGGCAGAACCCCGGGGGAAGCCUGUCAUCCGUACUGGUGCUGAAGUAUUUGAUAUGGUCAAAGAUUUAAAAGUAAUCUUUGGAAAGGGUCCUGGCAGCCAACCUGUUCCUAACGGCCCUGAUAAGCGCGUACCCAUGUGGAAGAAGAAAUCUAUAUUUUAGGAGCUACCCUACUGGGAAGUUCAUGAGGUCCGCUCGGCAAUCGACGUGAUGCAUCUGACGAAGAAUCUCUGCGUGAAUAUUCUAGGCUUCCUAGGCUUGUAUGGGAAGUCAAAAGAUACACCGGAAGCAUGGGAGGACCAGGAACGUCAUAAAGGAAGAUAUGGCAUGCAUCCAGGGCAGUUUCAAGGGCGUGCCAGCUACGCUCUUACUAAGGAAGAGAAGGAAAUCUUCUUUGAAGUCCUUUUCAGUAUCAAGGUCCCGACUGGCUUCUCGUCGAAUAUAAAGGGAAUCGUAAAUAUGAAAGACAAAAAAUUCCAAAACCUAAAGUCUCAUGACUGCCACGUGCUGAUGACGCAAUUGCUUCCGGUUGCAUUGAGGGGAAUUCUACCGGAAAAUGUUCGCCUGGCAGUUGUGAAGGUAUGUGCAUUCCUCAAUGCAAUUUCUCAGAAGGUAAUCGAUCGAGAAAGUCUAUGAGGAUUACAGAUUGAUGUGGUCCAAUGUCUGGUCAGCUUUGAGUUGUUAUUCCCGCCAUCCUUCUUCAAUAUAAUGACACACCUCCUAGUUCACCUAGUCGAAGAGAUUAGAAUUCUCGGUCCUGUGUUUCUACACAAUAUGUUCCCCUUCGAGAGGUUCAUGGGAGUCUUGAAGAAAUAUGUUCGUAACCGUGCUAGGCCAGAAGGAAGCAUCUCCAAGGGCUAUGGAACAGAGGAGGUCAUUGAGUUUUGUGUGGCUUUCUUCCUAACCUUAAGCCGAUUGGUGUUCCUGAAUCUCGGUAUGAGGGUAGGCUGACAGGAAAAGGCACACUAGGAAGGAAAGCAAAAGUAUGUAUGGACGGGCAUUCUUUCUCUCAAGCACACUACACAGUUCUACACAAUUCCACCAUGGUGGCUCCGUAUAUCGUGAGACACAAGAAUAUUCUACGCUCCGAAAACCCGGGGAAGGCUGACUCUUGGAUUAAAGGGGAACACGAGAAGACUUUCGGCAGUUGGUUGCAGACACAUCUCAUGAAUGACGACACCAUUGGAGAUGAGCUGUACUGUUUGGCCAGGCCACCAUCUUCGACUAUAUGUACUUUCCAAGGGUAUGAGAUAAAUGGGAAUACAUUUUACACGGUUGCCCAAGAUAAAAAGAGCACCAACCAAAAUAGUGGUGUCCGCUUUGAUGCAACAGACGAGAAUGGGUACUGUUUGGAAACAUAUUACGGGUACAUAGAGGAGAUAUGGGAACUUGACUAUGGACCUACUUUUAAGAUCCCUUUGUUUCGGUGCAAAUGGGUGAAGCUGACAGGAGGUGGGGUAGUUGUAGACCAAAAGUACGGCAUGACAACAGUGGAUCUCAACAAUCUUACGUACAUGGACGAACCAUUUGUCCUAGCCAAUGAUGUCGCUCGGGUUUUCUAUGUGAAGGACAUGUCUAUAAAAACGAGAAAAAGAAAUCAGCAAAAGAAGAUAUCGUCCGAUGAGCCAAAACGCCACAUAGUUCUUUCAGGGAAAAGAAACAUCGUGGGAGUAGAUGACAAGACAGACAUGUCAGAAGAUUAUAAUAAGUUUCGUGAAAUUCCGCCCUUCAAAGUGAAAACUGACCCAAGCAUCCUACUGAAUGAUGAAGAUUCUCCAUGGCUACGACCGAGAAGAAAACAGAAAUAAUAGAUAGGAAUAUUGGUGCAAUAAUGUAAUAAUGUAUUAAACCUUUUAUGUAAUGCAUGUAUGGAAUGUACUAAAUUUCAAACACUUUUCAUUUUCAUAGUUUUGUCAAAUUCUCAAAUACGCAAAAAGAAUUUUAAUAAACCUUUGUAAGAGAUGAGUUCUCGUUCGAAACCGUGAUACUUCGAGAGAGAUUGUCCGUUUUGUACACGAAGUGCAUCCAGUUUUUGUCGUAGCCCUCUCAACUUUUUAACACAUGCUAUGUGGGUGAAAUGAUGAUAGCAUGCCAACUUUUAACAUUUUCAGAGUUCAUUUGUAGUGCUUUUCAAUUUCAGGGUCAACUAGCUCAAAAAAAUAAGUAAAUGCACGAAAUAUACCAAAUGAAGUCAGAAAUUGUUGAAAUUUUGUGAUGUGCCUUUGAAUGGUGCAUUUUGAACACACAAAAAGUAUGGAGUUCAAAUAAGUUCAAAAGAAUGAAAUCCCUUUGUAAGAGAUGAGUUCUCGUUUGAAACCCUCAUACUUCGAGAGAGAUUGUCCGUUUUGUACACGAAGUGCACCCAUUUUUUGUCGUAGCCCUCUCAAUUUUUUAACACAUGCUACGUGGGUGAAAUGAUGAUAGCUUGCCAACUUUCAACAUUUUCAGAGUUCAUUUGUAGUGUUUUUCAAUUUUAGGGUCAACUAGCUCAAAAAAAAAGUAAAUGCACGAAAUAUACCAAAUGAUGUCAGAAAUUGUUGAAAUUUUAUGAUGUGCCUUUGAAUGGUGCAUUUUGAACACACAAAAAGUAUGGAGUUCAAAUAAGUUCAAAAAAAUGAAAUCCCUUUGUAAGAGAUGAGUUCUCGUUCGAAACCCUCAUACUUCGAGAGAGAUUAUCCGUUUUGUACACGAAGUGCAUCCAGUUUUUGUCGUAGCCCUCUCAACUUUUUAACACAUGCUAUGUGGGUGAAAUGAUGAUAGCAUGCCAACUUUCAACAUUUUCAGAGUUCAUUUGUAGUGCUUUUCAAUUUCAGGGUCAACUAGCUAAAAAAAUAAGUAAAUGCACAAAAUAUACCAAAUGAAGUCAGAAAUUGUUGAAAUUUUGUGAUGUGACUUUGAAUGGUGCAUUUUGAACACACAAAAAGUAUGGAGUUCAAAUAAGUUCAAAAAACCAUAUUAUGAAAUUAAAUAUUAUCAUUGACGAUUCAUCUCUAUUAUGAAAUUAAAUAUAUCAAAAAACCAUUGCAGAACAUAUGGCCAAAUUAAUACAAGUUCAUCAUCACAUUAAAGCCAAAGAACAGUAGUGAUCAAAUGUUAUUAUUGCAAAAAAUAAAUACAUAAAGUUCUCUCAUAAAACAACAUACAACUAUGUAAAACAUUUAAAUAAAACAAAAAAUGCGAUCAAAAUCGCAACUAAGAUAACAAUUGACCCAACAGCAUAAUGAUACCAAGCCUCUUUAUCAAUGACAUAUUUUCUAAUAUUCCUAAUCUUCAAGCGCAUUUCAUCCAUCUUCAACCGCAUCGCAUCGAUCUUCAUAUUGCGAUCAUCGAUGACAUCGGCGACAUGCAACUCCAGUUCCAUAUUCUUAUCCUCAAUUAUUUUCAAUUUUUUCUUCAAUUACUUGUUUUCUUUUUCAACCAAAUUUAACUUCCCGACAAGAAUUUCUAUGUGGGUUGGAAUUUCCGGUUCACAUACCUCCUAGAUUAAAAAAUAUAUGUCACCUUGGUCGUCAUAAUUGUCAUAAACACUAAAUAAAACAAAUAGUUAUAAAAGAUAAUAUAUACCACAUCCGAAUCAUAGACAGGACGAGGGCCGACGGAGGCGGAUACCAAAACCAUCGCACUAUAUAAUAACAAAAAAUAAUGGAAGUGAGUAAUUUAUACAACUAUGUAUCUAAAUCAUACAAGUAAGAUUUUUUCUUUUAAAAAUAAGAUAAGAACAAGAGCCUCACCACGGUGGUGCUCGCGACGAGAUCGGCGCGGGGCGAUCGACAAUGGUGAGGACGGGCACGGGACGACACCCUACGCAUGUGCAGACUCUAAGAAGUUAAUUUGAGCAUUUUAAAUGAGCUACACUAGCAGUGACAAAUGAAAGGAUGAAGUAGCUAACUUUUUAAAACACUUGUGCAGUUGGUGCACGGCCAAACGUAGACAAAUAUUAAGGAAAAUGGAGCUUGGAGAGGAGAAAGCUUAAGUAGAGUGGCUCGGGCAUUUCAUCGAACACGUCAUGUGCAUGAACUAGAGUGGCAAGAGCAUGGCAUGGUCACACUUCAACAACCAAAAAACAGGGGAGAUGGUGGGCAGGGGCGAGGGUUUAUAUAGGCAACACUUUAGUCCCGGCUUUUGUCUAAAACCGGGACUAAUAGCCUAACCUUUAGUCCCGGUUCUUGCCACAAACCGGGACUAAAGGCCCCUGCUUCCCGCCUUCUGGUCUGCCGAAAAAGGGCCUUUAGUCCCGGGUCGUGGCUCCACCCGGGACUUAAGGGGGUCUUCAGUCCCGGAUCAAGCCCCGAACCGGGACUAAAGAUCCACCUAUAUAAGCGGGAGUUAGAAAAUUUCCAACCCAAAUCGCAUUUCCUUCUCUCCUUCCUCGUUCUCCUGCCCGGUGCGGCACAGCGACGAACUCGACGACGCCGUCAGGCUGCCCGCCGUCCUGCUCGCCGCCGCCUGCCGUCCUCCUCGCCGUCGCCGUCGUCCUCCUCGCCGUCGCCGUCCUCCUCGCUGCGCGCCGCCCUCCUCGCCGCGCGUCGCCGCAUUCCUCGCCGCACGCCGCCGUCCUCCUCGCCGCGCGUCGUCGACACCUCCGGCCGGUAAGCCCCCCGCCCCCUCCUUCCCAACACUCCGGCCAGUAGAAGAAAAGAAGAAAAAGGAGAAGAAAGGAAGAAAAAGGAGAAGAAAGGAAGAAAAAGGAGAAGAAAGGAAGAAAAAGGAGAAGAAAUGAAGAAAAAGGGAAGGAGAAGAAAAGAAGAAAAAGGAGAAGAGAAGAAGAAAAAGGAGAAGAAAGGAAGAAAAAGGAGAAGAAAGGAAGAAAAAGGGAAGAAAAGAAGAAAAAGAUUUUUUUUGUCAUUUAAUUCCUAUUGUUAUUAGGUUUGUGCUAGAUUAUUAGGGUUAGUAAUAUGUAGAAUUAGGAAAAAGGAAAAUAAGAAGAGGAGGAGAAGAAAAGAAGAAAAAGGAGAAUAAGAAGAGGAGGAGAGGAGAAGAAGAGGAAAAAUAGAAGAAGAGGAGAAGUAGAAGAAGAGAAAAAAUUAGAAGACGAGGAGAGGAGAAGUAGAAGAAGAGAAGAGGAGAAGUAGUAGAAGAAGAGGAGAAGUAGAAGUAGAAGAAGUAGAAGAAGAGGAGAAAUAGAAGAAGAGGAAAAAUUAGUUUAGGGUUACAAGAAGAAGAAAUAUUUUUUUGUCAUUUAAUUUUGCUAUUGUAUAGUGUAUAUGCUUAAGUGUUAAUAGUGUUUCUUAGAUUAUUGCUUAAUUUUGCUAUUGUAUAUGCUUAAGUGUUCAUAGUUUAAUUUUGCUAUUGUAUAUGCUUAAGUGUUAAUAGUUUAUUUUUAGCAAGAAAAUUAAUAGAACUAGUUUAAUUUUGCUAUUGUAUAUGCUUAAGUGUCCGGGACUGGGCUCCGCCCGGCUGGUAUUUUAGAGUUUAGGUUCUAGCCAAGACCCGGGACUAAAGGUCCUCCUAUAUAAAACGACACUUCGAAGUUUCCAACCCCUCUUAUAUAGUUUGUUAGUUUAUUAGUUAAUCAAAUGUCUGUUUUUGCAGAACUAUGGAUCCACAUAUCAGGAACCUCGAAGAGGAAGAACUUCUCGAAGAUAUAAUCAAAGACGGCCCCAACGUUGAACCAGCUGAAUCUCCGUCGUCAUAUCUAAACCCCUCCGGAUAUGGAAUGGAGGUCGAGCGACACGAAGAUGAAGCUGAUGGGGCAGGAGAUAGGUCCAAUGAUGGACAGGGUGAUAGCUCCACUGAUGGAGAAGCCGGUGAAGAAAUAAUAAAGUCCGGCGAGGUAUACAUAUGAAGUUCGACAAUCACUUGUAAUAUGUGAAAAAUAUUGGAGAUAGCUCUAUAUUGUAUACAUAUACAUUCAUUUGAUGAAUGUUUCUCCCUCUUAGGCCUCCACAUCGAGCAAAGCUACGAAACGAGGCCCGACUAGAAAGUUGGAUGCACGGACGCAUUACACCUUUGAGGUGAUAUUGCCUACGGGCGAACCCAAGCUUCCUAAGAAUGCCGCUAACACAUUCAAGAAGCAAUGCGGAGUUCUCGUUAGGGAUCACGUCCCGAUCAGCGUUCGGGAGUGGAACAAGCACAAAGGGGCAGCCGAUAGUGACUAUGUCGCCGAAAGGUACAAAGAUAAUCUUUGGAAUGAUCUCAUGUCACAUUUCAACCUGCCAGAAUGUGAGAAUGAAAACACCGCAGACAAACUGAGGGCCAAAGUCAAGCAGUGGACUCUAAAGAAGAUGGCCGAACUGUUCUGUAGCUGGAAGAAGAAGCUAUGGAAAAACUAUCUGAAGACAAAGGAAGUGCCAGUAUUCGAGGGGUAUCUAGCCAAGCAGGCGAAUCACUGGAAGGCAUUUCAAGAGUACAAGGAGUCAGAAGAUGCCCAGGCAUUAUCAGAAAAGAACAAGAUAAAUGCCGACAAGAAGAAAUAUCACCACAAGCUGGGGCCAGGGGGCUAUGAGACUGCCAUCCUAAAGUGGGAUAAGAAAGAGCAAGAUCUGGUAGAUAAAGGCAACGUACCUGAACCACUCCGUGAUGAGUGGGAAUUGAGAGCAAGAAAUUGGUUCCUUGCGCAUGGUGGUUCGUACGACAAAAAAACAGGGGACCUCAUCUGCAGUGACGGCCUUAGGAUACCCAGGGAGCAUUGGAAAAGGAUAGUGAAAGAAAUUAAGGAGGGAAAAAGAAAUUCACUGCAGAUAGAGAGAACGAUUUGCUCACACUGGUCCUCGGCAAUGACGAACAUGGAGGACGAACGCGAGGCUUCGGUCCUUCUUACCCGUGGUGGCUUGGGUUUGCCAGAGACCAAGACACUUACAGAAGCCGAGAGUGAGCAAAGAAGAGGCAGCGGGAUGAGGAGAAUGACAAGUUCAACCAAUUGCUUGACAGGAUUAAUGAGCAAUAGAAGCAGAUUGAUGAGCUUAGAGGAGUAGCGCGCCAGGAAGAUCCUACACUUGAUAUUACCGGCGCCCCAUCUAAGCGGAAAAGCAGUGUGGUUGAAUCUGAGGCCCCGUCGGACGAUGCACGAAGAAUGAUAGAGGGCGGUCCCGGCUACCCCGUGGAUGGAAUCAAGGAGUCAACAUCAUGUGAAUUCCAUCAGAAAUUCAAGAACAUAUCCAUGAAGGUGGCCGUCGGACAAGCUUUACCUUCUGGCCCUGAUGCACGCUGGCCUGGCAGUGAGAUUCCAGCUGGCUUUGCUAAAGUCGGGGUGGAUGAAAUCAUGGCGGGGUUUCAUGAUAUGGAGCUCGACAUAGCUGGACCCGAAGAUGAGAGGACACUCGGAGAAGUACUGGGUGGAAUCAUCCUAUGGGACAAGAACUACAUCAAGCUUCCAGGCUCGGCCCCAAGGACAACACCGCCUCCGAGUCGUCGCAGGUCACCUACACCUCCUUUACCUCCAAGCCCUCCACAUGACGUCGGCCAGCACAACACGAGUCCAUCUCGAUCACCGCCGCCGGACUUGGGUCGUCCGUCUCCGCCACCGCCCGCUCCGGAUACUAAGCGGGAGCGUGCCACCAAGAACGCUCCACCGACUAUUUCUAAGCGACGGAGCACCCCAAAGCGCAAACGGUCGCCCCUCCCAAAGGUACCUCAUGCUAAUCUUCCUAUCAGACCUUAUGAUCGUACCCCCGAGGAAAACGCGAGGAUAGCAAAGGAACAUCAUGAUGCGCAGAUGAAAAAGAAGGAACCCGAGCCCCGCCUGGAAUACACCGAGAAGCAAAUAGUAUUUGCAAAAUACUUCACGACUCUUCCAUCACAGUAUGACUUACACCAUAAGCCUGAUGACUAUACACGCACAUUGCAGAAGGAAGUGAAAAAGAGCAGAUCACGUGCAAGUGCAAGUGGGAGCAAAUCAAGUUCAACUACAAGCAAGAAAAAAUCAGACGUUCCUCAGCUUGGACAACAAGCCAAACAGUCGAUCCCACCCCUCAAGGUGUUAACCGAGAAUGUUCCCCCUCUUGUGCAGGGGCAAGAUUUUGAAAUAGCAAAGAAGUGGGCGGCUGAAUGGGGUGUCUCGGUUGAAGAUGUUCUGGCUUCCCAAGACGACAGGUUACCCAAGGCUGUGGUAGCCCCUAAGCCACAGUUUGUCAUGAGAGAGCCUUUGGUCAGCAAAGAUGAUCUCCCAACAAAUAUGUGUUACUUGCAUACAUGGUACUUAAGUGAAUCAAAGAAUGGGAGAAUGAUGAUCGUGGUGAGUGUCCCGCGGGAGUACUACGACCGCCCGGAAGAAAUCCAUAUCGACUUUGAUGAACUCUUCCAGAUGUACAAUGGCGACGCCCUCGACAAAUCGCUUAUGAGUUGCUAUUGUCUGUAAGUUUUUCAAUUCGUUGUCUACGUAUAACUUGUUUAGUUAUUUCAAUUCAUUGUCUAUAUAUAACUUGUACUCUAUUAUGCAGAAUGAAGAUUCUGGAUUGUAAAAGUAAGAACAUCCUAAAUAUUGGGUUUAUUGACCCAGAUAAAAUACAUAUAGCGACGCUAACUGAUAAACCCAAGGAGACGGAGGAAAACCUCCUAAGGUUUCUAACAGAUCAAAAUUUCUGUGACCACAUACUGUUUCCAUACAACUUCAGGUGAGGGUCUUUACUCUGUUGUGUCCAUUCACUUAUAAGUGUAAUUGAUAAGUUACUGACACAUAUAUAUAUAUACAUACAUGUGCAGCUUUCAUUGGAUUCUGUUGAACAUUCAAAUUGAUAAGGGAAGAGUUGAUGCCUUCGACCCAUUAUCGAGACCCUUGGAACAGUUCCAAAGCCUGCAGGACAUGUUCCAAGGGUAAUUUCAAUCAUUCUUGCGCUCUACCGGUCUCUUUCGAUGAUUUUCUGAUAUAUCAAUUAAUGAAAAACUUAGCAAAUCAUUUUCCUUGUCGGGCAGGGUUUGGAAGCGGUUCAAGUGCGUGACUCCCGGUAUCGAGCCCGAGAAGCUGACCUUUAGAGCGGCUCAGGUAAGUAGUAGUAUGAUAUACUUCUAUUUUCAAUACAUUUAUGAUGCUAGAUUAUUAUUUUGAUUAUAUAUAUUCUAUUCUCGUAAAGUGCGACCAGCAGCCACGGGGGACGCAUCUAUGCGGAUACUAUGUUUGCGAGACCAUUCGCACGUUUACCUCUGAGCACAAGGAUCACAGAUACGACGUAAGCAAUGAACAUUCACACCUCUAUUUUUACCCGUCAUUCUUUGUUAUCAUGAUUGAUAUUCAUAUUCAUCUCCUCGUCUUAUAUAGUACACGGCCAUGAGGGAGAAGUCCCUACCAGAGCAACGCGCGAUUGCUGUUGCAGAGGAGCUUGCGACCUUUCUGAGGACGGAAGCUAUAGAUGACAAAGGACGAUUUAGUGUAGCUAGGGGUCAUUACUAAUGUUGGUCCAUGUAAUCGAAUAGACGGGCUCUAGUCCCGAUAAUUCAGAUCUCCAUAUAAUUAUAUAUAUAUGCUCGCUUGUAAGAUAACUUAAUCUUAUAUAUAUAUGCAUAAUUAUUUCUAUUUAGAAUUAUAUGAAAACUAAUUCCCGAACACCAAACGAGGCAUCACGUUAAUCUCCCGAACACCUAAACCUUAAAACCCUAAAACCCAAAAAUAAAUAAAAUCUGCAGAAACUCUUUAGUCCCGGUCCGUGUUAAGACCCGGGACUAAAGGGCCUGCCCCUGAGGACGCUCCGAGACGCCCACGUGGAGCACCUUUGGUCCCUGCUUGGAACAGGGCCGGGACUAAAGGUUAGGCCUUUAGUCUCGCCCCUUUAGUCCCGGUUGGUGAACCGGGACUAAAACCCCUUACGGGCCGGGGCUAUAGACCUUGUUCCCACUAGUGUAUGUCAGCAAAAAAAAAGGUGAGGUUAUCAUCGCAAAAAAAAUAAACAACGGUGAGGUUAGCUAGCCACGGCCUCCUUGGUGUAUAUGAUGUAGUCCUUCCGGUUCGGUCUUCGUCAGAUUCGUCGUAGCCUCCCAAUACAUAGCUAGCCUGACCCUGUUGCAUCAAAACCAUGCCAUUCUUGCGGCGCUCAUAUUGUGCCAGCCAUAACGUAGCAGCGGACUCCAUCAAUGCUUGAUGUAAAAGCUUCAACUUGUAUUGCACCAGCCGUAACCAAAAACAUGUCAAUUAAUCCAUCAUAGGUGUGGUUAAGUAGCCGCAUCGCGGGUAUUCAGAUCACGCGUUUGCCGGCGGGCCGCAAAUACUCGAAUACAUAUGUACGAGCUUUAUAUGCAUGCAUGUUUGCAUUGGGCUAAUUUUGAUUAGCUGGCCAUUAAUCCAUUAAUAAUUAAAUUGGGCUAGCAAUAGUUCCUGCAAUAUAAGCUCCAUGCACAUGCAAUAUAGAGGCGUACACGUAGGCAUUUCUUGCUUCAUGUGUACAACUAAAUAUUAUUGAUUGAAGCCACCACUUAGACAAACUUUUACCUCUAAAUUCCUCCUCAUUUUGCGUACAAUUCGUGUCGCAAAAAUCUCAUCAAACAUUUUUGAGAUAUGACAUAUGAUAUGUGAGUCAUGCUGAUGAGUAACUGUGCUUUAGUAAGAAUAUUGAUGUUAGGAUUUGUGAUUCCCUAUGCAAGUACGACAGUCAAUAGUUAUGCAAUCAAAUUUAUAUCCUACUUGUGAUGCAUUAUUCGGUGUUACUUAUGCUUAAUGCUUGGGUACGAGAUUUUUCUUUUCUUGGUUGGUCGCUUCUCAAUCUUUUUUGCUAGCCUUCAUUUUACACUAAGUAUGAUCACUAGUUGUGCAUCCAAAAUCCUUUAAACCAGUUUUAUCAUAUGAGUCCACUAUACCUACCUAUAUGCAGUAUUUCUAUGCCGUUCUUAGCAAAUUUGCAUGUGCCGUCUCUAAUUUUCAAAAUAAAUUUCUCUUUUGUGUGCUCAACUGCUCGCGAGGCGGUGAGGGGUGGCCAAUAUUUUUCAUGCUAGAUGUGUUAUUUUCACGUUGAGUGCUUAUUCACUUGUCAUUGCACGAGAGUACGACAAAAGGUAUUAGGGAUGUCCAGUCCCGAAAUAAAAAAAUACUUUUUGUUGUCAAAUAAUAAAUUCCUUGGAAAGUGUUGGUAUGGAGGGCAUCCGUGGAUACGGACAAGCCAUGGAAAGUGAAAGUAAUGGUGGAAAAAAAACUUUAUUUUCUGUUUGGAAACCGCCUAUGAUGUAUCUAGCAUGAAAAGUGUUGGGAGCUCUAAGUCGUUUUCGUUGGUGGGAAAAGUAUGCCUCUCAAAAUGUUUUUAUUUCUCAAUUUUCUCUUUGAGCUCUGGCACCUCAACAAAUCCCUACUUCCCUUUGCGAAGGGCCUUUCUUUUACUUAUGCAAUUUUUAUUUUGAAUUUGAGUCUUCAUCUUCUCUCAUAAAGCACCAACUAAGGGGCACUAUGAUCGUAUUUGAGCUUUGGGUGUAGCUAAUAUUCGAGUGUGUUUCAUGAAUGGAUCAAUGAUUGAGUAUAAUGGGCUAUGGAUAACUUGUUUUAGUGUUGAUAUUUUAAAAGACAUGGUUGCUUGUUGGUAUGCUUGCGUAUUAAAGUCUUCAUGUCAAAACUAGACUAUUGCUUUGAACCAUAUAAAAGUUCAAAUGUCCAUGCUAUAAAGAAAAGAAAUGUGAUGAACAUGUUAGGCACCAUUCCACAUUAAAAAUUCUGUUUUUAUCAUUUACCUACUCGAGGACGAGCAGAAAUUAAGCUUUGGGAUGCUGAUACGUCUUCAACGUAGCUAUAAUUUUUUAUUGUUCCAUGCUGUUAUAUUAUCAUUCUUGAAUGUUUUACAACCAUUUUAUAGUCAUUUUAUAUCAUUUUUUGGUACUAACCUAUUGACAUAGUGCUGAGUGUCAGUUGUUGUUUUCUGCAUGUUUUUACAUCACAGGAAAUCAAUACCAAACGGAGUCCAAACACAGCGAAAGUUUUCGUGAAUUUUUUUGGGUCAAAAGACAUCCAGUGGGCCAGGAACGCACCUGAGGGGAGCUCCGAUGGGAGCACAACCCACCAGGGCACGCCUGGGGGCCCAGGCGCCCCCCGGUUGGUUGUGCCCUCCUCAUUGGCCUCCCGCACCGCAUCUUUGCUCUAUAAAUACCCCAAUAUUCCAGAAACCCUAAGGAGGGGGACGAAAAUCAAUUCCAGCCGCCGAAGAGUACAAAAACACCAGAUCCAAUCUAGACACCAUCACGAAGGGGUUCAUCAUGUCCAUUGGUGCCUCUCCGAUAAUGCGUGAGUAGUUCUUUGUAGACCUACGGGUCCGUAGUUAUUAACUAGAUGACUUCCUCUCUCUUUCUUAAUUAUCAAUACAAUGGUCUUUUGAAGAUCCAUAUGAUGUGAGUCUUUUUUUAUUGUGUUUGCUGGGAUCCGAUGAAAUUUGAGUUUAUGAUCAGAUCUAUUUUUUUUUACUCGAAGCCCAUGCCCAUGCGUUAACGCGAUAUGGGCCCAAGUGCUACGCCCAGUCGAUAUGGGCCCAAGUGCUACGCCCAGUCCUGGCCAAACAUGCCAUGCUUUCUGGGCGGUCUAGAAGCAUGACGGACCGACACACGUUACGAGCCAGGCACGACAAAGACUAAUCGGGCCGUGUCCGCAGUUCGCCUCGAGCCGUGCCUGGGCCUGAAGGCUGGACACGCGAGCCAGCACGGCACGACCCAUUUAUAGUUUUUAUUUUUGUUUUUAAAUUACAUAUAUAUAAUAGCCUAAUAGACCAAAAUCAGUCUAAAACGAUCUCAAAACCAAAUGCCUAAUAAACAACGAGCUUAGCGUGCCGACGAAUCGGUCUGUAUAGGUUCAGUGUCGUGCUUGGGUCUAGAAGCUGCGCACGUGAAUCAAAACGGCACGACCGAGCUAAUGUUCGUGCCUGCACGGACCAUACCGUGCCGGCCCCGUUUGGCACCGGCUACGCCCAUCAUAACUCGCACGAUAUUGACCGCGAAGCGCUUCGCGAGUGAGGUGGCGUUUUUUCCCAGGGACUAGACUUUUUUUAGUCUCAGGGACUAAAGAAAAAAGUCUGUUCAAUAGAGUCUUUUUUUAAUUCCUUAAGGAAAAGUCCCUUAUGUUUCUUUAUCUAGGGACUAAAAGGGAAUUUUUAGUUAGUCUCUGGGCAAAGAAACACCACCUGAGCCCACCGGUUUGCCGGCUCCCGCUCGCUAUGAGCCGCCCGCUCUGCAACCACUACACGGCGCUCCUCUCCUCCUCUGCCGCCGCCGGCGACCGCGAUGGGGUCCGCGUCCCCGGCGCCGUCCACUGCCUCGUCCUCCGGACGCUCCCGCACCCGCCGCCCACCUACGUCCUCAACCACCUGCUCACCGGAUACGCCAGGUCCGGCCGCCUCCCCCUCGCGCGCCGCCUGUUCGACGCAAUGCCCGACCCCAACCUCUUCACCCGCAACGCGCUGCUCUCGGCGCUGGCCCACGCGCGCCUCCUCCCCGAAAUGGACCGGCUCUUCGCGUCCAUGCCCGAGCGCGACGCGGUGUCCUACAACGCGCUCAUCGCGGGCUUCUCCGGCGCCGGCGCCCCCGCACGGGCGGCCGAGGCGUACCGCGCGCUGCUCCGGGAGGAGGCGGUGCUGGACGGCGCCAGGGUCGGGCCCAGCCGCAUCACCAUGUCUGGCAUGGUCAUGGCCGCGUCGGCGCUCGGCGACCGCGCGCUCGGCCGCCAGGUGCACUGCCAGAUCCUGUGGCUCAGGUUCGGGGCGUACGCCUUCACCGGGAGCCCGCUGGUCGAUAUGUACGCCAAGAUGGGCCUCAUCGGGGACGCCAAGCGGGUCUUUGAUGAGAUGGAGGGCAAGAAUGUGGUGAUGUACAAUACCAUGAUGUGGCAGAUUGUGACGCCCUUGAUUUAAUCGUACGCUAAUCAUACACGCAAAUGCGUACGAUCAAACCCAAGGACUCACGGGGAGAUAUCACAACACAACUCUAGACACAAAUAAAAUAACAUCAGCUUCAUAUUACAAGCCAGGGGCCUCGAGGGCUAGAAUACGAAAGCUCGAUAAACACACGAGUCAGCGGAAGCAACAAAUAUCUGAGUACAGACAUAAAACAUGGGGUGCCUUAGAGAAGGCUAGCACAAAAGAUACAACGAUCGAACGAGGCGAGGCCUCCUGCCUGGGAACCUCCUAACUACUCCUGAUCAUCAGCGGCCACCACGUAGUAGUAGGCACCGUCAGGGUAGCAGUCGUCGGUGGCGGGGAUCUCCAUCUCCUGGACUCCAUCAUCUGGUCGCAGCAAACGGAUCAAGGGGACAAGGGGGGAGCAAAGCAGCGGUGAGUACUCAUCCAAAGUACUCGCAAGUCUUACAUCAGAACUAUUCUAAUUAUGCAUCAGUAUCAAAGAAGGGGGUUAUAUGUGGACUGACUGCAGCAAUGCGAGAAUAGAGAGAGAAGGCCUAGUCCUAUUGAAGACUAGCAUCUUCAGGGUCUUGCAGCAAUAGACGAGAGUAGAACACGGGUAAAACAUUAAUAGUCAUAUUGUUGCAGCAAUAUUAAAGUGAGGUCACGCCUAAAGAUCCUCCCUCGACUCCCUGCGAGGAAGCAAUCCCGAGGCAAACUAAUUCCAGUUAAGUAACAAUUGUAGUUGUAAAAGAUCGGGGCACAACUCCAAGUCGUCCUGUAACCGUGGACACGGCUAUCCGAAUAGUUAAUUUUCAUCCCUGCAGGGGUGCACCACAUGUCCCGUCACGCUCGAUAACACUCUGGCCAGACAUACUUUUCUGGGUCCUGCCCGGCCUCGGAAUAUCGACACGUCGCAGCCCCACCUAAGACUAAUCAGAGAGGCCAGCCCGCCGGUCUAAAUCCUAAGCACAAAGGGUUCGUGGGCCCAGUUCCCCUUCACGCUCCUGCACGUGGCGUGGGCGGCCGACGUCAGUCCUAGCAUCCCUUAAUCACAAGCGCGAUGCAUCUCGGGACCACUCGGGCGCGCGCCGCUACAUUGCUGGCAUCUGAAAAGCUUCGAAUGAUACCGCGACGCCGAGUACCCAUAAUUCUUCCCGCGUAGCCGGUUAGUGCGAAAAGGUCUCCGACCAACCCAGAUCAAAUACCCAAAUCCAUUAGCAUUUUAAUUAGGCCAGCAACACAGUCUCACGGGAAUCCACCCGUCUUACAACUAAUCACCAAUGAUCCCAGUAACAUGGUCGAGUAACUUUGUGGUUGUAACAUCGGGGGGAAUCCGAGGUAUCACCCUCGUUGGAUUCCGAACGAUGUACCCGUCAAGGUGGGCUUAGAGGAAUCACCCUCGGGGGUCCCACACUCGCGGGGUGGCACGAUAGAGACGUCAUCGGGAAUGGUGAAAGAGGAAUCAUCCUCGAUAACCAUGACCGACUAGCUAUACUACAGAGAUAUCAUCAGGAGUACUUAGUGAGGUGUCACCCUCGGUACCCGAUAGUAUCUCUGUAGCGUCGUACAACAAAAGGGGGGUGAACGUGUUGUGUCGGGUCUGGCUCGUCGAUCAGAGAUCGAGACUUGAAAACAAGCGAGGCAACUGGACUACGGGGUCAGAGGGGAGGCGACUGCUCCACCUAUACUAGGCAGAUUAAAGGUACAGGACUGAAAGUAGCAGUUCAUCAAAAACAGGCUAUGCAUCAGAUAUAGGAGCUAACUACAACAGUAGCAAAAUACUAAUGCAAGCAGUAGGAAGAAAGACAUAGACGAUAUAGGAAUGAUCAAGGGGAGUUUGCUUGCCUUGCUGCUCUGCGGCAAAGGACUGAUCGGCAGGGUCGUAGAUGUACCCGGCAGCAGCGUCAGUCUCGGGGUCUACCGGUAAGAAGAGGGGGAAGAAACAAUAAAUAAUAGCACCGAUGCAACACAAAGCAUGACAUGGCAAGAUGCAGGCUAGACAUGAGCUAACACAGCAACAUCCGUCAUAGACGGGUCGGAAGAAUAUCUGACGAUAUUUUCCGGGUCUCGGGCUACUACCGGUUAUACUGGAAACGAAGAAAAUGUUCCAUGUUUGCUAUGCUAGGGACGCGUGACAGACGAAUGGACCGUGUAUCCGGGUUCGUCUCGCUUUGCUGAUCAACUUUCAUGUUGAAAUUAUUUCGAUCUGACUUACGGAUUAUUUAAUAUUAAUUUUCAAAGUUUUAUUAAUUAUUUAGGAAUUAAAAACAGAUUUAGCUAUUUUAAAUAAAAUCAUAUUAUGACAUCAUCACGAUGUCAUGCUGACAUCAACAUUUGACUGGUCAACUGACCAGCGGGUCCCGAACGUCAUAGGCACAAGGUUUAAUAUUGAUUAAAUAUUGAUUUAUCAGAUUAAUUUAAUGAGGGACCCACGUGUCAUACUCUAAUUAUUCUAAUUAAUUAACUUAACUAAUAUAUCUAUUUAGCUAAUUCAUUAACUCAUUAAUUAAUUAUUAUAUCUAUUUAUUUAUUUAUUAAAAACAUUAAUUUUUUAUUUUUAUUUUAACUAAUGCGUGGGGCCUCCCUGUCAUAGACAGCGGGUGCAUUGGCCCCACCGGUAAGUGGCCUAAGGCCAUUUACUCAUUUUUUUAAUCACAAAUACAUAACCAUACAAAUGUCGUAUUCCUCUAAAUAUUCAUAUACGCAAAUACAUACAUCGCAUCUCAUACAUACAUACAUACAUACAUACGCGUCUAAUACAUCAUUUAUUUUUAUUCAAUUUCUCUCAAAACUCUCAACACUCAUCUCUCUCUGUGUGUUAACAGAGAGAGAACAACUCUCUGCUAACUAACAUACAAGAACCUAAACUUCAAUCCCUCCUACCGGAGUCUACCGUCGACGGAUCGAGGUCCCGUUUGCCGGAACGGAACCGGGACGGUGAGGAGAUCGACAUGGUGGGAGGAGCCCGAGGAGGGGCUCACCGACGGUGACGAGACGGCCCGAUGAAGCCGGAGUUCGCACGAAGGUGAAGGUGACGACGGUGACGCGGUUCCGGUGGUGAAGGGGACGGUGAUGAUGGUGAUGACGCGCCGGCGAGGGGGAGCCGGCCGGAUCCGGCGAGGUGGAGAUGUCUCCCUGCCCGGUCCCUCCUGGACCGAACGGGAGAAGGCCGACGGGGGCGGGGGGGGGGGGGGGGCCACCGGAGAGGUGAGGGCCGCCGGUGAUGGGCCCCCCGGGGAUGGGGAGGUCGGCCGAAGUGGGGUGGCCAGGGGGGGCCUCGGUUCCUGGGAGGACGAGGGGGCCGAGAGAGGAGCGUAGGUGGGGGGAGGCUCGGUGGGGAAGGAGCCUGUGGGGAGGGAGAAGGAGCCCGCGGGGAGGGAGGGAGACCUGGGACCGGCGAGGUGGGGAGAGCCGGCGGGAUGGGGAGGCGGUGGAGAGGAGGGCUGGUGGUGGAGAAGAGGGGCUCGGCCCCGGGCGAGCAGGGGGGCGGCGUUGGGACCGGCGGGAGGGGCGAUCUGGGAGGCGGGGGGGCUCGAUCGUGGGUGCGGGAGAGGGGGCAGGUCGAGGGGGAAGUGUCGGUGGGGAGAGGUGGGAGGACCGAGGGGAGGGAGCCCUCGGUCGUGGGGCGAGUGACUGGGGGGUGUAGCGCUCGUGGGGUGGGAGCCUCCUGGCGGCGGGCAGAUGGGAACGGGAGGAGCUGGGGUCUUCUCGCUAGGGUUUGGUGAUUGUGGCCGGCUGGGCCACUUUGGCCCAGUCGGCCGGGGGGGCUCGGUUGCCUCUUUUUUUAUAUUAGUUUCUAUGUUUUAAUUAUUUUAGUAACAAAAUCAUUUAUAAAAAGUAGAGGACAUGCCCAAUAUUAAAAAGGCAGUAUUAGGCAGCAACAUAAAAAGUUUAGGGGCCUUUUGAAAAUAAUUGAAACUUACACACAUCAAAAAGGACAUUUAAUAAUUGUUUUGUCAUUGAUAUAAAUGUCUUACAGGCACUAAACCAAUUGAUAAAAUGUUGGUUCAAUUUUUUUGAAUAGCUUAGGGAAUAAUUGUAACCUAGGCAUGAUUUUUAAUUUGAAGUUUACAAAACUUUUAAUUUCACAUUCCAAAUAAUUUUGGAUUGCAUAGGGAUUCGAACGAGAGUUUGAUUCCUACAGCGAUCACACAUGGCUUAGCAAAUUGGAUUAACAUAAAUCUCAGAAUACCGUAGCUUUAUUACAGAGUUUACUGUAGCACAAAUCCAGGGCGUCACACAGAUGCUGAGAAGGUUCACAUGCUCAGCAAUCAUAGCGAGAAGCUUGCAAUUGCCUUUGGCUUAAUUUUUGUUCCGGAGGAAAUGCCGAUCCGGGUUGUCAAGAAUCUGCGUGUGUAUGUGGAUUGCCACAAUGCUACCAAGUUCAUCUCUAGGAUAACCGGUCGCGAUAUUCUUGUGAGAGAUGCUGUCAGAUUUCACAAGUUCAGCAAUGGCAUUUGCUCCUGUGGGGACUUCUGGUAAUUCCAAUAUCUGUUCAGCCAACAUCGCACAUGCUUCAAGUUUAACUAAAUUCAGAAGUGCUACUGGAAGACAAGAAGGAAAGUUGAACAAAGCCAAGCAUGGAUAAUAUUCCCUGGCCAUCAACUGGCUUUGUGUGACAGAGUAAGAACAAAUCAUGUUCCCUGCAGGUGCAGGACUCACAAGAGAUGUGCUUAUGUCAUCAUGAAACUGUAGUUCUGAAAGAUUGUUUGGAUUAACAUUCUGUUCCUAAUUGUUGGUUGGUAUGGAUCUGACAGACAAAGGGCGAAACUGCAUUUGCUAACAGCAGUAUUCAUGACAUCAUAUCCUUAUUGAUUAUUGUUUACCAAAGUGAAGGGGAAAAGGUAUUGCCAUGUUUUGGCAUUCUGUGCACCUAAUUACCAAAUUCGCUACAUUGACAGAAGAAACCACCACUCUUCUGCCUAACAGUUUGAGUGUUGACCUUUUUGUUUCAUUUUAGCAUAACUAGAUUCAUGGUAGUCUGUGCUUAACCUCCUGCCAGAUAAAGCUCAAUCAGCACAAUGUUUUUUCGUUCCAUUUUACAUAAUGUGUAGGACACUUAUACAUGGUUACCAAUUACAAAAUGUGCAGGGUAGUUUUCCGAUUUAUGGCUUGGAGACGUGAUGGCUUUGCACCAAGCAACAAAGAGAACAAAGCGUUGAAUCACCAUCCACUGACUAUUAUUAGUUUGGCUUCCAAAUCAAUAAGACUAUUAUUAUGAGACAGUCAGACAGAAGUGUUUUCGCAGGCAGCCUAGAACAAGACAGUGUCAUACCUGAACCAAUCCCUUGUUGAAUGUUAGUGCCUGGCCAUAUGGGUACAUGGUAUAUUUCUAGCGGUUCUGCUUGGGCAAGCUCAUUGCAAUUCUGUCACCAUUAGCUACUUGAGAACAAGCUGCAGCAACUGCUGGGAAAAACUUAUUGGAGAAAUGCACCUGUAGGACAAUUAUACUGCAAUUUGAAUAUCUGGAACGGCAGAAGUCACUGGCUGCUUGCCCAAGAACCCAAGAUCAUGGUCAGGUGAGUUUAUUUUAGAUAACUGAUAUAUAACACAGCACAAAGUGUUUUCUAGUAUGUGAAGAAUCAUAUUUAUUUCUUGUGCAUUUUAUGGUCACAUAAAUAGCCCGAGACAGUAUUGACCAACAGAAAAAUUUAAAGUAAAAUAAAUUCUCUGUUGAAAUUAGACACAUGUUUAAAUUUAACUAAAGUAAAAAGUGCUACUGGAAGAAAAGGUGAAAAGUUGAACGAAGCUAAGAAUAGUUAAUAUUCUCAGGCCAUCAACUCGCUUUGUGGGACAGAGUAAGAACAAAUCAUGCUCCCUGCAGGUGCAGGAUUCAUAAGAGGUUUAUGUCAUCAUGGCAUAGUUCUGGAAGAUAUUUUUAUUAACAUUUCGUUCCUAAUUGUUGGCUGGUAUGGACCUAGCAGCAGUAGGCAGUUUGAUAUGAAGAUUGUGCAUGGGAGCUAUAUCCUUAUUGAUCCUUAUCUCAUGUUUAAUUCCUUAUUUAGCAAAGUGAAGGAGAAAGAUAGGCCACAACUUUUGGCAUUCUGUGCACUAAUACCAAAUUCGAUACCUUGACAGAAGAAACCACCACUCGUCUGCCUUAACAGUUGUAUUAAUCUUUUCAUCUCAUUUUAGCAUAACUAGAGCGAUGAUAGUUUGUGCUGAACCUCCUGCCAGAUAAAGCUCCAUCUCCACAAUGUUUUUUCUUUUCAUUUGAACAUAAUGUUGAUAUUAGACACUUGUGCGUGGUUACUGAUUACAAAAUGUGCAGGAUAUAUGCGGUUUAUGGCUUGAGAUCUCCCUCAAGUUUGUUGAAGGAAGAUCCCAAUGAUGGCUUUGCGAAAACCAACAAAGGGAACGAAAUGUUGAAUCACCAUCUAGUCUUCUACUGACUCUAUUAUUAGCUUGACUUCCAAAUCUCCAAGACUAUCGUUAGGAGACAGAAGUGUAUUCACAGGCAGCUCAGAGCAAGUCAAUGUGAUACCUGAACCAAUCCCUUGUUGGAGCGUGAACUUCAUGCCUGGUCAUAUCGGUACUUCAUGGGAAUGUGAGCCAUGUAAGGGUAUAUUUCUAAGGGUUCUGCUUGGGCAGGGUCAUACUUCUGUCACCAUUGGCUAUUGGAGGACAAGCUGCAGAGUGCUGGAAAGUGGGAAUUACUCACUGUAGAAAUGCCCCUGAAGGACAGUUCUACUGCAAUGGAAUAACUCAAGCAGAAGCCUCCCCUGAGUUGAACCAACCACAGCCCUAAAAGAUGGCGACCAAGCGACACGCUGCCCAGGUGCCAGGGCCUUCAGUGCCUCUUCUCUCUGUGCCGCCGGACUACUCGCCUCCACGCCGAGGGCCAAGCCCAGUGAACACAUUUGAGAUCCCUCCGGUAAGUAGGAACCUUGAUCCUGCAGGCUGCGGGAGUGAGGAUGCAAUUGGUAGUGCUUGGAUGAACGUAUGCAUAGAGCAUUCUGCUGUAACCUAGAUUUCGGAACUGGUGUCUCUGCUACCCAAUGCUGUUAUGAGAUAGAUGUUUAAAAUGGUGUACAUAACUUACUCUGAAUAUUGUUGUAGCUUCAAUGUUUCUAUUUUGCUGCAAUUUUCAGUUACCUGCAAGCGCCGAUGUUCUUCAGAUAGUUUCUCCAUGGGACAUGGACUGCUAGUAAGGUACAUGUGAAACCUGAAAUAUGCCCCCCUUUAUUAGCUUCUCAGUCGUUUGAUUAUACAACUCUGCCUUCUCAAGUAAAUGAGUCUCAGUGAUUCUCUUUUGUCCUGUUCAAAUUAACGACCUACACUGAGUAAAAGGGGAUUGUUUUUUGUUGCGAGUAGUUUGCAUUUUGCAUAAAGGUGCUAGCAGUACGUGAAGCAUUUUAUAUAGGAGAGCUAAGCAUAUCAUGUCAACUUCACACUACAUUAAAGAGCAGGAAGCGUUGUAAUGGUGCUCUUAUAGAUGCCUUUUAGUACACUAGUAUAGCUCUUAUAUUAAUCUGUGUAGCACAUUUCUCCAAAGCUACAAACAGAUAUGUCAGCCACAUUCCACAAUAUAGUACUAGUAGGGUUACAGUUUGCCCCAUUAGCAUCUACCCUUACUGUAACGACAAUUCAAGUUGAAAUCCAAAUUUGGUUGCCGUACUUCAGAUUUCCUUCAAUCCGAAUGGCUUGAAAGACACAAAAGUUUUUUCAAUCAGCAGGAAGAUUUAACAGUGAGCAUACAUCAUUGCAAUCUUUUAUCUUUAUCUUUCAAUCUUGCAGCUAGCCAGCUGCAAGCAAAGAACUUAUUUCUAUCUUUAGCUAAAGCAAAAGGUAAUCCUAGCAUGGAUCGAGAAUAUAGAAAAGGAAAAGGCAAGGAAUAAAGCCGCUUGCUUAUAGUCUGUCUAAGGCAUUUGUGUGUAAGCACAAGAAAGAAGCUGCUCACAAGGUUAUCCUGUCGUACCAUGUAGUACAGCUGAUUUCUUUCUUGUUUUUGCUCUCCAAUCCAGCCAGCUUGUAGUGGCACCUGAACGAUCUAAUUGGGUUCUAGUAUUGACCUGCAGAUUCUCUACGUAGUGCCAAUUCUUCACUUAACCAGGGUAUGUAACUAGCUCACCUUACACCUGUACUAAAUCUGCUUGUCGUAUUCUUUGGAUUUGUGUAAGCUAGCUUAGUUUAUGGCUUCUAGUUGUUUCUCAAUAUAUAUAUACAGGAAAUCAGGAACUGAUCGCCUACUGUUUGACAAAUUAGAAUGGAGAUUGCUAAAGAUCUGAGGGGUCGAUCUUGAGCCUGAAAAUGACUUCAUCCAGAGUUUAGAGACAGACAGAUCUAAUCGAUUCAUCAUGCGUACAGAGGUACUGUUGCACUUACAAAUCACCUUUCAUUCAUUCUGGAUGUUAUAUAUAUUUAAUUGCAGUAGAUUUUGGGGUAAAGUUUUGUCUAUGCCAGCAGUCGUAGUUAAUCUGGAUCAUGCAUGCGUUUAUUUUGUAGACUAUGCAUGCUCAGCUAGUAGAAUUAAAAAAACUGUUAGUCAUGCAUUAGAAUAUUGCCAACAGUCUAAUACCAUGGGUCAACUUAUUAUGUGUUUUCUUUAUUAGUAUCGUGCUCCAAGUUAGAAGUUUGGACUGGUUCCUGAAUCACCGCCCUGUACACACAUGCAGGUUAUCAAGGCAGACACCAUUGAUGAGGCCGUCAAUAGGCUUCUCGUUGAACUUAGGAAAGACACUACAAGCAGCAGAGAGAAUUCCAUCUACUUUGAUGGAUGGGAUGGUCUUGGGGCAUCUGCUGUCCUGCAAGCCAUAGCCAAACACCUUGGAGUAUCAAAUGAGACGUCAGCGAGGCCUGCAGGGCUGCAGUUUGAGAAAAUCAUCCACAUUGACUGCUCAAAGUGGGAGAGCAGAAGAGCAAUGCAGAGGGAAAUAGCAGAGCAGCUGAACCUCCCCAAUUGGGUGAUGGAUAUGUUUGACAAACAAGACGAGGAUGAUGAUUUCAAUGGGUUGGACCAGGGCUCCCGAACUGAGAUAGCACAAGUUGUCAGAGAGAUCUAUCAAAACACACAGAAUCAAAGAUUCUUAGUGAUUCUGCAUAAUGGAGGCAAUGAGGAGAUCGAUAUAUUCAAUUUUGGCCUUUCUCUAUAUGGAUAUGCUAAUAGCAAGAUGCUGUGGACUUUCCGAGGGAGGUUUCGGCUUGACCCCAAGAUAACAGACAAUGUGAAGAGCACAACAACACAUGUUCUUCUUUCAGCUUCAAGAUCUGGGCGAGAUCCACAAGAGCUUUGGUCUUAUCUAGUUCGCCAUGAGGCUGCACAACUUUUUUGCUAUAAGCAUAACCAUAUCUUCAUUGAUUCAGCGGUUGCUGCUGAGUGUGUCUUGUACAUGCUGAAACAGUAUUGCAUCGGCUCUCACAUCAUUGACUACGACUGGGCUAUACACACCAGUAACUAUUGGGUAUGCGAUGGGAUCAUCCCAUUUGCAGACAUUGACAAAGCAUGGAAAGUUGGUGAUGUUGUACAACACGAGGUGCGGUUGUUGAACAUUGACAAUGGACUUUGUAGUGAUGAAUCAACAAUAGUGCUAUCCUCUCACCUGACAAAGUUAGCCGAGCGCAUGCCAUACUGCAUUUCAACAGCAACUUGUGGAUUUGUACAGAGCCGCUUCAGUGUUAUUCUUGGAAACAUGUCUCAACACUCGCACGGUCUCCGCGUGCUCAAGCUCUCAUGGUGCACCUUCAGUUUCUCAUCACCUCCAUUCCUCUGUUGCCAUAGCUUGAGGUUCCUAUGGCUUGAGCACUGCCAAGAUGAUUUAACAAUGAUUGCGGCAAAUCAUCACCAUACAGAUGCGGACAAAAAGAAGGAUGACUUGGACAACAACAACACCGCUAGAUCGUGCUCAUGCUUUCAAAACUUGUGGGUGCUUGACGUGCGGUACACAGAUUGUGAUCAGAUCUUGUCAGCAAGGGUGAUGGAUCUCAUGACCCAGCUCAGGGAGCUAAACGUGAUGGGUGCUGAAAACUGGGACAUGAGCCAUUUGCAAGGACGGCUGCGUAACAUUCGCAAGCUCCGGGUAACAAACUCCACCUGCUUCUUCAACAACAACGUGUUCUCGGAGAUGGAAAGCAUGGAGCUUCUUGAUUUUUCGGGAAAUCACAUCACACAAGGCAUGACCAGCUUAUCUGGGCCAGCAAGCCUCAAGACCGCCACUAUUGAUGGAUGUGAUGGGUUAAAAAAUAUAUCUUUUAGGGGCUGCAAAGAAUUGGCAAAUGUGAUCUUGAAAGGAUUAUCGAGGGGUCUCGAGGAGCUGGAUCUUUCAGGCACAAGGGUGAAAAUCCUCAACCUCGGAGGAGCGAAAUACGUCCCCAAGCGAAUCAUCUUGCUAGACUCUGAGAAGCUCCGUGCAAUAUUGUGGCCACGGAGUGCGACAGAAAGUGGGCCAGAAAACUGUCCGAAAGUGGUGCACAUUGACACGGCCUCGCCAUCAACAUCAGCUUAUGGAGGGGAGGCACCACUUGCACAUCCACAUGCUGACCUAUCCCUCCACCAGCAAAAAGAAGAAAUAUUUAAGGGUGGAUGGCAGAUUUCUUUCACGGACACAAGGUUCCUUAGGUUGGUUUCUCCUGUAAAAGAAAGUUUUUUAUGGGUGUCAUCCUUACAUAUUGAUAUAUGUACUGCAGCUACCGUUGGUGGUAGCGACAUCCAAGAAACAAGUGACAAACUAGUGCAAGUCCAACAGCAUGCAAGUACCUUGAUGGACUCCAAUUACAGAGAUGCGUUGAAGGAUGGCCCAGUUGCAGCGAUGAUGAUGUGGGACUGCCCCAAGAUUUACACUCGAUCAGUUGAAUACACGUGUAUCAUAAAGAUGAUCAUGCACGGGCAUGGCAACAAAACUUUGGAUGAUGAUCAAGCUGCUAGUACUACCGCGAUAUUAUUUCCUGAUUUUAUAGGUUGGCGAGCUACAUCGAUGCACGUGUAUGACAAUGCGUACAUCACCAAUAUCCUUGAGCCUUCCCAAGGAUGGAGGAGUUUAACAUGGUGCCGGGUGGAGAGGUGCCCCAAGUUACACACGGUAUUUACUGUUCCCCAGGGCAGUGUAUACAACAACCUUGCUUACAUUGAGACAUUCUGGGCAUCCCAGCUUCUCUCUGUACGCUACAUCUGGGACACGACAGUUGAAGGUUUAUUUUUCGAGCUGAAAUUUUUGCACCUGGACCACUGCCCUAGGCUCAUACAUGUGCUCCCCUUGCACCAAAACUAUUGGUGGCAUCCGACGCGUUUGGAAACCCUUGAGAUGGUGUACUGUGGUGAUCUCAGGGAGGUGUUCCCUUUGAGCCCUGAGCUUCAGGAACAGGAUAAGAUCAUAGAAUUUCCCGAGCUGAGGCGCAUCCACCUGCAUGAGCUCCCCAUGAUGCCGCGCAUCUGCGGGCGCAGGAUCUCCGCGCCAAAACUCAAGACCAUCAAGGUCAAGGGUUGCUGGAGCCUCAAGCGUCUGCCGGCCGUCGGACGCGACACCAAGCCACCCAAGGUGGAUUGUGAGAAAGAAUGGUGGGACAAGCUGGAGUGGGACGGGCUGGAGAAAUACCACCACCCGUCCCUCUACGAGCCCAGCCACUCGCUGUACUACAAGGCCCAGCUGCCCAGGGGCACGGUUCUCAGGUGAGCUUUAUAUCUAGUUCCUUUUGUACGUUUGUUCCUCAGUAUAUACAUUGUACUAAUAUAAGCUGAUCUUGUGAUGAACCCUAUUACUACCCUCUAUUAUUUCUAUAUAAAAAAUCAGCCUAGCACUGUAAGUGGUAUGUGUGGUUAAUCAUUCAUGCCAUUGUUGGUUUAUGCUGCAGGUAAUCGAUCUGUUUUGUGGAUUGAUAUUGAGCUUCUUUCAACACAAUGUGCGGCCAAGCAUGCAGUGGUCCGUCCUGCAUAACUAAAGCUUUUCUGCCAUGUGAUUGUGCGUUGCUUGCGCUUCUUCCCGCUUGAUUGGUUUGCGGUGUUCUCUCUACAUCUGCAUUGCGCUGGUUCGACAGUUACCGGUGUGCGUGUGUGCUGCUUGCCUUGCUUCUGGCUUGAUUGGUUUGUGGUCUUCUUUCUACAUUUGCAUUGCCUUGCUGUGGCUUCCUGUUUGAUUUGGUUUGGUUUGAUUAUCUUUGCUCAGAGCUCUCGAGCAAAUGAGAAAUAAAUCAGAGUGGGCAUUCAGCUUAUGCAGCACACAUGAGCUCAUUCUGCAUGGGUGCUUGCUUAUUACUAUAUGAAUUGUCGGUUAUGGGGUGAUUGUUAUUUGUAAACACAAACAAUGAUGGUGAUCGUGUGUGUGUGUGUGUGUCUGUGUUGUUUGUUGCUGUUUAAAAGAGUUCACUUUUCAGAGAUGGUGUGCCACUUGGUUAAAAUGUAUUGUGUUGGGGGCACAGACCCUUAAACAACCCGUCCCUUGCUAGAAUAAACUGCAUACAAUUUAAUUUCUUGGUGUGUUUUUUUUGGUACGGCUUUGUGCAACUUGCAUUCGUAUACUCCAUUCAGGAGUUCCCUCGAUUCGGCUGGCUCGAAAAAGACUAAAACAUUUGCUCAAUUAGCAUGAUGAUCCCGUUCCUUUGCAAUACUAUUUUGUCUUCAUCUUUAGUUACUGCAACAAAUCCCCAAGCUUAGACACUUGAGUCUUCCUUGGAUAUAACCGGGUGCCUUGGACGUCCCCAAGCUUAGGUUCUUGUUGUUCCUUUAGUUACUGCAGCAAAUCCUCAAGCUUAGACGCUUGAGUCUUCCUUGGAUAUUACCGGGUGCCUUGGGCGUCCACAAGCUUAGGUUCUUGUUGUUCCUUAUUCUCCUCAUAUUGGUUUCUCACCCAAAACAUGAAACUUCAAUCACAAAAACUUAACGGAAUUUCGUGAAAGGUUACUAAGAGCAGGCCAAUAAUUGAUGGUUACAAACAGCUACGCUCGUAUGUCAAAUUUCCGUUGUUUGUGCUCAUUCCACACACGUACACCUUUUUUUACCCACAGUUGUAUAAGUUCUUCAACUAAUGGCCUUAGGUACACAUCAAUGUCGUUGCCGGGUUGAUUGAGGCCUUGGAUGAGCACUGGCAUCAUAAUGAACUUUCGCUUCAUGCACAACCAAGGAGGAAGGUUAUAGAUGCACAGAGUCACAAGACAGGUGCUAUUAUUGCUGCUCUGGUCCUCAAAAGGUUUAAUGUCAUCUGCACUUGAACCAAACCAUACGUUCAUUGCGUCAUUUGCGAAGUCCCCCCCCCCACUUUCUCUCGAUUUUCCUCCACUGCGACCCAUCAGAGGUUACUCUCAACUUCUCGUCUUUCUUACGGUCUUCUUUGUGCCAUCGCAUCAACUUGACAUGAUCUUUGUUUUGGAACAAACGUUUCAACCGUGGUAUUUUAGGAGCAUACCACAUCACCUUGGCAGGAACCUCUUCCUUGAGCGCUGGACCUCAACAUCGUCACCAGGGUCAUCACGACCGAUCUUAUAGCACAACGCACCGCAUACCGGACAUGCAUUCAAAUUCUCGUACUCCUCACCGCGGUAGAGGAUGCAGUCAUUAGGGCAUGCAUGUAUCUUCUGCACCUCUAAUCCUAGAGGGCAGAUGGCCUUCUUUGCUUUGUACGUACUGUUAGGCAAUUCGUUGUCCUUUGGAAGCAUCUUAUUUAACAUUUCGAUAAUUUUUCAAAUUCCUUCUCAGAUACACCAUUCUCUGCCUUCCAUUGCAGCAAUUCUAGCGCCGUACCCAACUUCUUCUUGUCAUCUUCGCAAUUUGGGUACAACAAUUUCUUGUGAUCCUCUAACAUGCACUGCAACUUCAACUUCUCCUUUUUACUUGCGCAGUUUCUCUUCGCAUCAACAAUGGCCCGACCAAGAUCAUCAGCGGGAUCAUCUGGUGCCUCUUCUUCAGCUUCUUCCCCCAUUAUAGUACCAUCGUAUUCAGGGAACACACGAUAGAUGUCAUCAUCCUCUUGUUCUUCAUUCUUUUCCAUUAGAACCCCUCUUUCUCCGUACUUGGUCCAACAGUCAUAGCCGGACAUGAAACCAGACGUAAACUGGUGGACUUGAAUGACUUUUGGCUUAGAGUAAAUGCUAUCAUAUUAACGACAUAUUUUCUAAUUUUUCUAAUCUUCAAGCGCAUUGCAUCCAUAUUGAUCUUGUUAUCAUCGACAACAUCGGAGACAUACAACUCUAUUUUCAUCUUCUCUUCUUCAAUUCUUUUCAAAAAAAAAUUCAAAUACUCGUUUUCUUUUUCAACUAAAUUUAACUUCUCAACAAGAGGGUCGGUUGAAAUUUCCGGUUCACAUACCUCCUUGAUAAAAAUAUCUAUGUUAACUUGAUGGGCAUAAUUGUCAUAAACGAGAAAUGCAACAAAUACUUAUAGAAGAGAAUAUACCACAUCCGAAUUAUAAACCGGACGAGGGCCGACGGGAUGGAUAUCAAGACCAUGGCACUAUGUAUAACAAACAAUCAUACAUGUAAGAACACUAUUUAAAUCAUACAAAUAAGAUUUUUUUGAAUAAAAAGGAUAAGAACAAGAGGAUCACCAAGGUGGUGCCGGCGACGGGACGGUGCGGACGAUCGAUGGUGGUUAGGACGGGGACGGGAAGGCACUAAGUAAUCCACAUGUGCAAAUAAGAAGUUAAUUUAAUCUCAGAUUGCAUAUAAAUCAAAUAAACUCCCACAAAAUUAUUCCCCAAACUAAAACCCACAAAUCACUAUACUUAUAGAGCAUUGCACGAGCUAAUCCAGCAAUGAGAGAUGAAAUGACAAAGUUGGUAACCUUUGUGAACACUAGGAGAGAUCGGGUGCCUCAAAUCUUGGCAAAAAAUGGAGGCUGAGCUCGAGCUAAAGGGGAGAACAGAGAGGGGAAUGGAGAAAACAAAGAAAUGAGCUCGGUCUGGAUGAAUGGUUUAUAUAGGGAGAUCUUUAGUCCCGGUUUGUAUAACCAACCAGGACAAAAUGUGGCUCCCUCUAGUCCCGGUUUGUGAUACAAACCGAGGCUAAAUAGGCUCGUGGGGGCCCCAGCCUGACGCCCGCCUGCCACCACACCUUUCUAUAGGUACGAAAUAAACCGGGACUAAAGAUGCCCGUGUGACCGACCGAUCCUACCCGUUGGAACCGAAACUAAUAGUCACAUUAGUCCCGGACAAAAUCAAAAGUGGACUGCGAGAAGCACCUACUCCAGCUUUGGAUCCGACUGGGGAGCAAGAACCACCGACGGGCCUGAUGCCCAACAUGGCACGGAUCUCAUCCCACGACUUCCCGUCCAUCAUGGCAACAAUGGUUUUGCAGACAAGAUCAAACACGCCAUGGUUGUCGAGGUCCUUGGAGCGACGAUGAGGUCGAGGAGCACGGUGAGGUCGAGGCUGCCGGUGUCCCAGCCCGGGUCGACGUGGAUAUGUCUGGUCUCUGGAGCAAUGAAGGAUCAAUGAGAGGGCGGUAGAGACGACGCGGGGGUAGCCUCCGCUUCCUCCGGCUAGGCCAUAGAUGUCGUACCUGAUGAUCAUGUGCUCUGCCACCAGGUCCACGUCGUCCAGGCACUGCAGCACCACCAUCUGCUUCCCAACUUCUUCUAGUUCUUCUUCUUCGGUUGUGUCGAUGAUAACUUUUUCAGUCCCAUAUUCUCCUAUAACUUUUUCUUGCAUUUCCCAUGGUUCUAUUCGCGUGGGAUCGAUGGAAGUUGCCCAUGGCUCCUCCGCAUCUGUUAAUCCGAUGAAGCACGCGGAGUCGCGGGUUAGUGAUCCAUCUAUGUUGGGAGAUUGUACGGGCGACGUGGAGAGAUGAUUAGAUUGACGCUGCCAUCCCUCUUUCUACCAUCGUCCCUUUUCCUCCAUCCUCCUGGUCGCCUCUUUAGGCCUCAGCACCUGGUGCACCUCCUGCGGCGGCGAGGUUAUCGUCCACGAAGGCGAUGCUGCUGUUGUGCGGCGAAGGAGCGCUUGUUGUAUUGGAAGGUGGUGUCUACGCGGUGAAGACAGGGAGACGUCCGGGUUGAGGGCGAGGAGAUCCGAUCGUGAUCAGUUUCUGUUUUUUUGCGUGCAUACAUGAUUGUAGGGGUUUUAUGGCUUGCAGAUUUCCUUUGUGGUGGAGUACAACCAGUCAAUGUAAAUUACUAACUUCACACCACACCACACCACACCAGGGAAGGGACCAGAUUAACGCUCAAUCUGUGGUUGGAUGGUUAGAGAGACUAUGGUAUCCCUCAGGUUUCAAAUCCUGGAGUUUGCAUUGUUCUUGCAUUUAUUUCAAGAUUUUCAGCGAUAUAUUUUCAGUGUGAGGACGACGACGGGACGGCUACGAUGAUUUCGUAAAUCUCAAGAUGAUAUGCCGGCUUAGUCUCUCAAAGAUACUCAUAGAGCACUAGUGGGGACCGGGCCUUUAGCCCCGGCCCGUAAGGGGCUUUAGUCCCGGUUCACCAACCGGGACUAAAGGGGCGGGACUAAAGGCCUAACCUCUAGUCCCGACCCUGUUACAAGCUGGGAAUAAAGGUGCUCCACGUGGGCGCCUCGUAGCGCCCCAGGGGCAGGCCCUUUAGUCCCGGCUCGUUACACGGACCGGGACUAAAGAGUCUCAGAUUUUGCUUAUUUUUGGGUUUUUUUUGAAUGAAAUUAUUUUUGGGUUUUAGGGUUUUAGGGUUUAGGUGUUCGGGAGAUUAACGUGAUGCCUCGUUUGGUGUUCGGGAAUUAGUUUUCAUAUAAUUUAAAUAGAAAUAAUUAUGCAUAUAUAUAUAUAUAUAAGAUUAACUUAUCUUACAAGCGAGCAUAUAUAUACAAUUAUAUGGAGAUCUGAAUUAUCGGGACUAGAGCCCGUCUAUUCGAUUACAUGGACGAACAUCCGUAACGGCCCCUAGCUACACUAAAUCGUCCUUUGUCAUCUAUAGCUUCCGUCCUCAGAAAGGUCGCAAGCUCCUCUGCAACAGCAAUCGCGCGUUGCUCUGGUAGGGACUUCUCCCUCAUGGCCGUGUACUAUAUAAGACGAGGAGAUGAAUAUGAAUAUCAAUCAUGAUAACAAAGAAUGACGGGUAAAAAUAGAGGUGUGAAUGUUCAUUGCUUACGUCGUAUCUGUGAUCCUUGUGCUCAGAGGUAAACGUGCGAAUGGUCUCGCAAACAUAGUAUCCGCAUAGAUGCGUCCCCCGUGGCUGCUGGUCGCACUUUACGAGAAUAGAAUAUAUAUAAUCAAAAUAAUAAUCUAGCAUCAUAAAUGUAUUGAAAAUAGAAGUAUAUCAUACUACUACUUACCUGANNNNNNNNNNNNNNNNNNNNNNNNNNNNNNNNNNNNNNNNNNNNNNNNNNNNNNNNNNNNNNNNNNNNNNNNNNNNNNNNNNNNNNNNNNNNNNNNNNNNAAUGGUCUCGCAAACAUAGUAUCCGCAUAGAUGCGUCCCCCGUGGCUGCUGGUCGCACUUUACGAGAAUAGAAUAUAUAUAAUCAAAAUAAUAAUCUAGCAUCAUAAAUGUAUUGAAAAUAGAAGUAUAUCAUACUACUACUUACCUGAGCCGCUCUAAAGGUCAGCUUCUCGGGCUCGAUACCGGGAGUCACGCACUUGAACCGCUUCCAAACCCUGCCCGACAAGGAAAAUGAUUUGCUAAGUUUUUCAUUAAUUGAUAUAUCAGAAAAUCAUCGAAAGAGACCGGUAGAGCGCAAGAAUGAUUGAAAUUACCCUUGGAACAUGUCCUGCAGGCUUUGGAACUGUUCCAAGGGUCUCGAUAAUGGGUCGAAGGCAUCAACUCUUCCCUUAUCAAUUUGAAUGUUCAACAGAAUCCAAUGAAAGCUGCACAUGUAUAUAUAUAUAUGUGUGAGUAACUUAUCAAUUACACUUAUAAGUGAAUGGACACAACAGAGUAAAGACCCUCACCUGAAGUUGUAUGGAAACAAUAUGUCGUCACAGAAAUUUUGAUCUGUUAGAAACCUUAGAAGGUUUUCCUCCAUCUCCUUGGGUUUAUCAGUUAGCGCCGCUAUAUGUAUUUUAUCUGGGUCAAUAAACCCAAUAUUUAGGAUGUUCCUAUUUUUACAAUCCAGAAUCUUCAUUCUGCAUAAUAGAGUACAAGUUAUAUGUAGACAAUGAAUUGAAAUAACUAAACAAGUUAUAUGUAGACAACGAAUUGAAAAACUUACAGACAAUAGCAACUCAUAAGCGAUUUGUCGAGGGCGUCGGCAUUGUACAUCUGGAAGAGUUCAUCAAAGUCGAUAUGGAUUUCUUUGGGGCGGUCGCAGUACUCCUGUGGGACACUCACCACGAUCAUCGUUCUCCCAUUCUUUGAUUCACUUAAUUACCAUGUAUGCAAGUAACGCAUAUUUGUUGGGAGAUCAUCUUUGCUGACCAAAGGCGCUCCCAUGACAAACUGUGGCUUAGGGGCUACCACAGCCUUGGGUAACAUCUCGUCUUGGAAAGCCAGAACCUCUUCAACCGGGAUACCCCAUUCAUCCGCCCACUUCUUUGCUAAUUCCAAAUCUUGCCCCUGCACCAGAGGGGGGACAUUCUCGGGUAACACCCUGAGGGGUGGGAUCGACUGUUUGGCCUGUUGUCCAAGCUGAGGAACGUCUGAUCUUUUUUUGCUUGUAGUUAACUUGAUUUGCUCCCACUUGCACUUGCACGUGAUCUACUCUUUUUCACUUCCUUCCGCAAUGUGCGUGUAUAGUCAUCAGGCUUAUGGUGUAAGUCAUACUGUGAUGGAAGGUUCGUGAAGUAUUUUGCAAAUGCUAUUUGCUUCUCGGUGUAUUCCGGGCGGGGCUCGGGUUCCUUAUUUUUCAUCUGCGCAUCAUGAUGUUCCUUUGCUAUCCUGGCGUUUUCCUCGGCGGUACGAUCAUAAGGUCUGAUAGAAAGAUGAGCAUGAGGUACCUUUGGGAGGGGCGACAUUUUGCGCUUUGGGGAGCUCCGUCGCUUAGAAAUCAUUGGCGGAGCGUUCUUGCUGGCACGCUUCCGCUGAGUAUCCGGAGCGGGCGGCGGCGGAGACGGACGACCCGAGUCCGGCGGCGGUGAUCGAGAUGGACUCGUGUUGUGCUGGCCGUCGUCAUGUGGAGGGCUUGGAGGUGAUGGAGGUGUAGGUGACCUGCGACAACUCAGAGGCGGUGUUGUCCUUGGGGCCGAGCCUGGAAGCUUGAUUUAGCUCUUGUCCCAUAGGAUGAAUCCACCCAGUACUUCUCCGAGUGUCCUCUCAUCUUGGGGUCCAGCUAUGUCGAGCUCCAUAUCAUGAAACCCCGCCAUGAUUUCAUCCACCCCGACUUUAGCAAAGCCAGCUGGAAUCUCAUGGCCAUGCCAGCGUGCAUCAGAGCCAGAAGGUAAAGCUUGUCCGACGGCCACCUUCAUGGAUAUGUUCUUGAAUUUCUGAUGGAGUUCACAUGAUGUUGACUCCUUGAUUCCAUCCACGGGGUAGCCGGGACCGCCCUCUAUCAUUCUUCGUGCAUCGUCGGGCGGGGCCUCAGAUUCAGCCACGGUGCUUUUCCGCUUAGAUGGGGCACCGUUAAUAUCGAGUGCAGGAUCUUCCUGGCACGCUACUCCUCUAAGCUCAUCAAUCUGCUUCUGUUGCUCGUUAAUCCUGGCAAGCAACUGGUUGAACUUGUCAUUCUCCUCAUCCUGCUGUCGCUUCUUUGCUCUCGCUCGGCUUCUGUAAGUGUCUUGGUCUCUGGCAAACCCAAGCCACCACGGGUAAGAAGGACCGAAGCCUCGCGUUCGUCCUCCAUGUUCGUCAUUGCCGAGGACCAGUGUGAGCAAAUCUUUCUCUCUAUCUGCAGUGAACUGUCUUUUUCCCUCCUUAAUUUCUUUCACUAUCUUUUUCCAAUUCUCCCUGGGUAUCCUAAGACCGUCACUGCACAUGAGGUCCCCUGUUUCUUCGUCGUACGAACCACCAUGCCCAAGGAACCAAUUUCUUGCUCUCAAUUCCCACUCAUCACGGAGUGUUUGAGGUAUGAUGCCUUUAGCUAGCAGAUCUUGCUCUUUCUUAUCCCACUUUGGGAUGGCAGUCUCAUAGCCCCCUGGCCCCAACUUGUGGUGAUAUUUCUUCUUGUCGGCAUUUUUCUUGUUCUUUUCUGAUAAUGCCUGGGCAUCUUAUGACUCCUUGUACUCUUGAAAUGCCUUCCAGUGAUUCGCCUGCUUGGCUAGAUACCCCUCGAAUAGCGGCACUUUCUUUGUCUUCAGAUAGUUUUUCCAUAGCUUCUUCUUCCAGCUACGGAACAAUUCAACCAUCUUCUUUAGAGUCCAUUGCUUGAUUUGGCCCUCAGUUUUUUUGCGGCGUCUUCAUUCUCACAUUCUGGCAGGUUGAAAUGUGACAUGAGAUCAUUCCAAAGAUUAUCUUUGUACCUUUCGGCGACAUAGUCACUAUCGGCUGCCCCUUUGCGCUUGUUCCACUCCCGAACGCUGAUCGGGACGUGAUCCCUAACGAGAACUCCGCAUUGCUUCUUGAAUGUGUCAGUAGCAUUCUUAGGAAGCUUGGGUUCGCCCGUAGGCAAUAUCACCUCAAAGGUGUAAUGCGUCCGUGCAUCCAACUUUCUAGUCGGGCCUCGUUUCGUAGCUUUGCUCGAUGUGGAGGUCUAAGAGGGAGAAACAUUCGUCAAAUGAAUGUAUAUGUAUACAAUAUAGAGCUAUCUCCAAUAUUUUUCACAUAUUACAAGUGAUUGUCGAACUUCAUAUGUAUACCUCGCCGGACUUUAUUAUUUCUCCACCGGCUUCUCCACCGGCUUCUCCAUCAGUGGAGCUAUCACCUUCUCCGUCAUUGGACCUAUCUCCUGCCCCAUCGGCUUCAUCUUCGUGUCGGUCGACCUCCAUUCCAUAUUCGGAGGGGUUUAGAUAUGACGACGGAGAUUCAGCUGGUUCAACGUCGGGGCCAUCUUUGAUUAUAUCUUCGAGAAGUUCUUCCUCUUCGAGGUUCCUGAUAUGUGGAUCCAUAGUUCUGCAAAAAAUGGACAUUUGAUUAACUAAUAAACUAACAAACUAUAUAAGAGGGGUUGGAAACUUCGAAGUGUCGUUUUAUAUAGGAGGACCUUUAGUCCCGGGUCUUGGCUAGAACCUAAACUCUAAAAUAUGUCUAACGGAUUCUCUUAACCUUUAAGGAUUUAACAAAAUGGCGACAUUCUAGAUGUGUAGAAAAUGAUCCUAUUUUUCCUGAUCUCAUCUACCCUUCUAUAUGCCACAUUGUAUAGUGUCAAAGGACUUUGUUGAACUUUGUACCAAAAAAGAAUUAUUCUAUCAGGAACACCGUUCCAAAACAACUUUAGACCCGGGUCGUGGCUCCAUCCGGGACUCCUAGAUUUUUGCAUAGUAUUCAAAGUAGGAGUACUUUUCCAAUUUGAGCAUUCAAUAAGCAAAACCAAAUCGUAAAAUAAAGUAGUAUUCAAAUUAGCAUGCAUUCAAUUAUAAGCAAAACUACAUCAUCUCUUUUGUCCGUACAUCGUCGAAUAUUAUCACUAAUACUCCUCGAAUACUAUCAUACAUAUAGCAUCACUGAUACAGCUAGAACCGUAGCGCCCGACGGGUAUCGUCGCGGGCGGUGGACACCCAAAGAGAAGGAACCAUUACAGGAUCAUAGCUCCAGUGAGAUCCCUGAAGAACCUGCCAGGUAUGCUCGAACCUGCCCUCCAACGCAACCAUGUAGCGACGGACGUGCUCAUCCUCCUCGCUGACACGGUGACGUACCACCUCCGCGGUGUCCGGAAGCCUCGGCACCGUCACUGGCCCAUGCGACCGCCACCAAACAAGGAUCGGGUCAACAACGGGCUGGCUCCUCACCAACCUACGCCCCCCGAAAGGUAGCACCUCCCAAUACCAGCCGGGCGGAGUCCAGUCCCGGACAUGGCCCCUCUGAUCGAGCAGGUGUCCUCCGCCGAGUCGACGACGAGGAUGCGGGAUAGGCAUCGUAAAAUAAACUAAAAAAAUAAACUAGUUCUAUUAAUUUUCUUGCUAAAAAUAAACUAAUUGUAUAUAUAGUAAAAUAAACUAUUAACACUUAAGCAUAUACAAUAGCAAAAUUAAGCAAUAAUCUAAGAAACACUAAUUAAGUAUCUAUAUACGUAGAAAUGUCUUCUUCUUCUUCUUCUUUCUUAUUUUCUUCUCCGCUUCUUCUUCAACUUCUCUUCUUCUACUUCUCAUCUUCUUCUAUUUUUCCUCUUCUUCUCCUCUCCUCCUCUUCUUAUUCUCCUUUUUCUUCUUUUCUUCUCUUCCUCUUCUUAUUUUCCUUUUUCCUAAUCUUAUUUUCUUAUUUUUGUUCAUCUUUCUUCUUCUUGUAACCCUAACCUAAUUCUAAAUAUUACUAACCCUGAUAAUUUAGCACAAACCUAAUAACAAUAGGAAUUAAAUGACAAAAGAAAUAUAGAUUUUGGAAUUUUUUGUCUUUCAUAUUUACGAUUCCCUUUAUAUUCGACGAGAAGCCAGUCGGGACCUUGAUACUGAAAAGGAUUUCAAAGAAGAUUUGCUUCUCUUCCUUAGUAAUAGCGUAGCUGGCACGCCCUUGAAACUGCCCUGGAUGCAUGUCAUCUCUUCCUUUAUGACGUUCCUGGUCCUCCCGUGCUUCUGGUGUAUCUUUUGACUUCCCAUACAAGCCUAGGAAGCCUAGAAUAUUCACGCAGAGAUUCUUCGUCAGGUGCAUCACGUCGAUUGCCGAGCCGACCUCAUGGACUUCCCGGUAGGGUAGCUCCCAAAAUAUAGAUUUCUUCUUCCACAUGGGUACGCGCUUAUGAGGGCCGUUAGGAACAGGUUGGCUGCCAGGACCCUUUCCAAAUAUUACUUUUAAAUCUUUGACCAUAUCAAAUACUUCAGCACCAGUACGGAUGACAGGCUUCCCCCGGGGUUCUGCCUUGCCAUUGAAAUGCUUGCCUUUUUUCUUUAAGGGAUGCUUGGGCGGAAGAAAACGACGAUUGUACGGGUACACAUUCUUCCUACAUUUGUCCAGAUAUAUACUUUCUGUCUGAUCCAAACAGUGUGUGCAUGCAUUGUAUCCCUUGUUUGACUGUCCUGAAAUGUUACUAAGAGCAGGCCAAUCAUUGGUGGUUACGAAAAGCAACGCUCGAAGGUCAAAUUCCUCUUGUUUGUGCUCGUCCCACACACGUACACCUGGUUCGGCCCACAGCUGUAAAAUUUCAUCAACUAAUGGCCUUAGGUACAAAUCAAUAUCAUUGCCGGGUUGCUUUGGACCUUGGAUAAGCACUGGCAUCAUAAUGAACUUCCGCUUCAUGCACAACCAAGGAGGAAGGUUGUAGAUACAUAGAGUAACGGGCUAGGUGCUGUGACUGCAACUCUGCUCCCCAAAAGGAUUCAUGCCAUAUGUACUCAAACCUAACCAUAAGUUCCUUGCGUCAGCUGCAAAUCUCGGGAACUCUCUCGAUUUUUCUCCACUGCCGACCAUCAGCGGUGUGCCUCAACUUAUCGUCUUUCAUACGAUCUUCCAUGUGCCAUCGCAACAACUUCGCAUGAUCUUUAUUUCUGAACAGACGUUACAACCAUGGUAUUAUAGGAGCAUACCACAUCACCUUGGCAGGAACCCUCUUCCUGGGUGGCUCGCCCUCAAUAUCACCAGGGUCAUCUUUUCUGAUCUUAUACCGCAAUGCAGUGCAUACCGGGCAUUUAUCCAUAUUCUCGUACUUCUCACCGCGGUAGAGGAUGCAGUCAUUAGGGCAUGCAUGUAUCUUCUGCACGUCUAAUCCUAGAGGGCAGACAAGCUUCUUUGCUUCGUACGUGCUGGCGGGCAAUUCGUUCUUUCUUGGAAGCAUCUUCUUCAUCAGUACCAGCAACUUUUCGAAUGACGAGUCAGUCACACCGGUGUCUGCCUUUCACUUCAGCAAUUCCAGUGUGCUACCCAGCUUCUUCUGGCCAUCUUCACAAGUUGGGUACAACAAUUUGUUGUGGUCCUGUAACAUCUGCUCGAACUGCAACCUCUCCUUUUCUGUGUCGCAACCUCGCCGUGCAUCAGAAAUGACCCGACCAAGAUCAUCAGCGGGCUCAUCUGGUUCCCGUUCUUCAUCCUGAUCUUCUUCUUCAUUGUCUUCCAUUGCGGUAUUAGCAUACUCAGGGAACAUAGAUCGGUAGUUGUCAUCAUCGUUCUCUUCUUCUUCAUCGUCGUCUUCCAUCAUAACCCCUCUUUCUCCGUGCUUGGUCCAAACACUAUAGCCCGACAUAAAACCGGACCGAAGCAGGUGGCUCUGAAUGACUCUUGAGGAAGUGUAAUCCUUCUCAUUCUGACAUUCAACACAUGGACAAAACAUAUAGCCACCACCAUGCUUGUUCGCAUCGGCUGCAUCUCGAAAAGAAUGCAUGCCUUCUCUGUAAGCGGAUGUGCGUCGAUCACCGUACAUCCAUGGAUGGCUCAUCUGCGUUAUACGACAGUAUAUCAAAUACAAUCACGAUCCUAAAAAUUAGUACCGCACGGUCUAAACGAGGAAAUAUAGUUGCUAACCUUUUAGAAUAAGUAGAAAUAAAGAGGAAGAGGUUUAAGCGUGGCUCGGGCAUCUCAUAUCGUAGUUGUGUUCGGUGAAUUGAAGCGGCAUCGCUCUAACACACAUUUCAACAAACACCUCUAGUGCAUCAAAAAAAUGGAGAGCUAGCACACACCCACACUCUUCCAUCCAAGAAAAAUGCAAGGAAGAGGGGAGAGGGGGGCUGUGCUAUAUAUAGGCAGAGGACUUUAGUCCCGGUUUGAGAUACAAACCGGAACUAAAGAUGGCGCACAUGCGGGCUGCACACCGCGUAGCCCUUUAGUCCCGGUUUGAGACACAAACCGGGACUAAAGGCUCCUUACGGGCCGGGACCAAAGCCUCGUGGGCGUCAUUGCGAUUUGGGGCGACGUGGCCGGGCCUUUAGUUCCGGCCCAGAGGGAGGCCGGGACUAAAGGGUCCAGGCCAAAGGUCCGUUUUCCACUGGUGAUAACGCAGCUCCAUGGCUAGUAUGAAGCAAAGGCUCAUCGGCAAAAGGAAGUGCUUCAUUUUAGUGCAGGCUAUGUAUGGGAGCAAUUUUGAUCAUGAGCAUGUGGUAUACACGUAUUCGGGUAGACGGCCGGCAAGCUCGCGCUGGCGAGCUCGCGUGAGUAUCGUAUCCGAAUACACGUAAAAAGAAAGAAAAGAAAAAAAAAGAAAUGCAUGUCUAUAUGCAUAGUGAAUACACUUUGACUGGAUGGAUGCACAGUUUCACGUGCAUGGAUUGCACCAUGGUCAUGUAUCGCAUGGAAGGUAUACAUAUACGUAUUCGGGUAGACGGCCGGCAAGCUCGCCCAAGUAUCGUACUCGAACGUCCGUUCGUAUGCAUACACCAUAUUUAUAUGUAUUUGGAUAUAUAACUAUAUGCAUUUGAAUACCGGAAAACCGACGGAGCAACGCAUAAUCGGUAAGUAGUAAAAUUUGGAAGCAAAAGCAAUCAGCAUAUAUCAUGUUGGAAAGACAUGUGCCAUGUGAGUAAAAAGAUAUGUAUAAUAUCUAUUUUCUUUUUUAUGUAGACGUGUGUAUCAAGAAGGAGAUUAUGGAUGGAAAUUAAAGGAAGCCUACCGGACGAGGCAAUCCCCAGCAGCCUACAAGCACGCAUCCUAACAAUCCUCGGUUUAUACAACAUCGAGAUACAAACCCUCAAUCACAAUUAUUCAAGUUGAGAUUGCGACAAAAAGUCUCUAGCUACCGCACUGACAGCGGUUUAGUAAAUCCAUCAGCUACUUGAUCUCCAGUUGGAAUGGAACGAAUAUUGAAAAGCUUAUUGGCUACCCUUUCAUGAACAAAGUGAUAGUCAAUUUCAGUAUGCUUGGUCCUAGCAUGAAACACAGGAUUAGCAGAGACAUAAGUAGCACCAAGGUUGUCAUACCAUAACGAGGCUGCCUUUGGAUGAGGAACACCCAACUCAGUUAACAAAUUCUGGACCCAAAUAACUUCAGCACUAGCAUUUGCUAGUGCCUUGUACUCAGCUUUUGUGCUUGAUCGAGAUACAGUAGGUUGCUUACGGGCACUCCAAGAAAUCAAGUUACCACCAAGAAAGACUGCAAGGCCACCUGUGGACCAUCUGUCAUCUGGGCAACCCGUCCAAUCUGCAUCUGAAAAAGCACUAACUAACAUAGAGUCUGAUCUAGCAAGUUUGAGUCCGUAACCUUUUGUUGCUUGAAGAUACCGAAGAAUCCUUUUGACAGCUGUCCAAUGUGAACUAGUAGGAGCAUGGAGAAACUGACAAACCUUAUUGACUGAAAAGGAAAUAUCUGGUCUAGUAAGGGUCAAGUAUUGCAAUGCUCCUACAACACGGCGAUACCUUGUGGAAUCAAUGACACCAAGUAACUCUCCAUCAUGGAUUGAUAGUUUUCAGAGGUGGACAAGGGUGUAGGUGUGUUGGAAAUAUGCCCUAGAGGCAAUAAUAAUUAGUUAUUAUUAUAUUUCUUUCUUCAUGAUAAUCGUUUAUUAUCCAUGCUAUAAUUGUAUUGAUUGGAAACACAAUAGUUGUGUGGAUACAUAGACAAAACACUGUCCCUAGUAAGCCUCUAGUUGACUAGCUCGUUGAUCAAAGAUGGUCAAGGUUUCCUGGCCAUAGGCAAGUGUUGUUACUUGAUAACGGGAUCACAUCAUUAGGAGAAUCAUGUGAUGGACUAGACCCAAACUAAUAGACGUAGCAUGUUGAUCGUGUCAUUUUGUUGCUACUGUUUUCUGCGUGUCAAGUAUUUGUUCCUAUGACCAUGAGAUCAUAUAACUCACUGACACCGGAGGAAUGCUUUGUGUUUAUCAAACGUCGCAACGUAACUGGGUGACUAUAAAUAUGCUCUACAGGUAUCUCCGAAGGUGUUCGUUGAGUUAGUAUGGAUCAAGACUGGGAUUUGUCACUCCGUAUGACGGAGAGGUAUCUCGGGGCCCACUCGGUAAUACAACAUCACACACAAGCCUUGCAAGCAAUGUGACUUAGUGUAAGUUGCGGGAUCUUGUAUUACGGAACGAGUAAAGAGACUUGCCGGUAAACGAGAUUGAAAUAGGUAUGCGGAUACUGACGAUCAAAUCUCGGGCAAGUAACAUACCGAAGGACAAAGGGAAUGACAUACGGGAUUAUAUGAAUCCUUGGCACUGAGGUUCAAACGAUAAGAUCUUCGUAGAAUAUGUAGGAUCCAAUAUAGACAUCCAGGUCCCGCUAUUGGAUAUUGACCGAGGAGUCUCUCGGGUCAUGUCUACAUAGUUCUCGAACCCGCGGGGUCUGCACACUUAAGGUUCGACGUUGUUUUAUGCGUAUUUGAGUUAUAUGGUUGGUUACCGAAUGUUGUUCGGAGUCCCGAAUGAGAUCACGGACGUCACGAGGGUUUCCGGAAUGGUCCGGAAACGAAGAUUGAUAUAUAGGAUGACCUCAUUUGGUUACCGGAAGGUUUUCGUGCAUUACCGGAAAAGUUUCGGGCUCAUCGGUAGUGUACUGGGAGUGCCGGGAGGAGUGCCGAGGACUAUCAGGAGGGGUGUCACGCCCCAAGGGGUCUCAUGGGCUAUGGGAAGAGAUAAACCAGCCCCUAGUGGGCUGGAAUAAGUUCCCACUAAGGCCCAUAAGGUUUGAGAAGGAAAAAACACAAGGUGGAAAGAGUUUCCAAGUGGGAAGGUGGAAUCCUACUCCAAGUAGGAUUGGAGUAGGACUCCUCCACCUCCAGUUUCAGCCAAACCUUUAGUUUUUGAGGCUGCCUCCUCCCCUCCCUCCCUCCUAUAUAUAGUGGGGUUUUAGGGCUGAUUUGAGACAACUUUUGCCACGGCAGCCCGACCACAUACCUCCACGGUUUUACCUCUAGAUCGCAUUUCUGCGGAGCUCGGGCGGAGCCCUGCUGAGAUUAGAUCACCACCAACCUCCGGAGCGCUGUCACGCUGCCGGAGAACUCAUCUACCUCUCCGUCUCUCUUGCUGGAUCAAGAAGGCCGAGAUCAUCAUCGAGCUGUACGUGUGCUGAACGCGGAGGUGCCGUCCGUUCGGCACUAAAUCGGAGCGGAUCGUGGGACGGAUCGCGGGACGGUUCGUGGGACGGUUCGCGGGGCGGUUCGAGGGACGUGAGGACGUUCCACUACAUCAACCACAUUUCUUAACGCUUCUGCUGUGCGAUCCACAAGGGUACGUAGAUCGGAAAUCCCCUCUCAUAGAUGGACAUCACCAUGAUAGGUCUUUGUGCGCGUAGGAACAUUUUUGUUUCCCAUGCGACGUUCCCCAUCAGUGGCAUCAUGAGCUAGGUUCAUGCGUAGAUGUCUUCUCGAAUAGAACACAAAAGUUUUUGUGGGCGGUGAUGUGCGUUUUGCUGCCCUCCUUAGUCUUUUCUUGAUUCCGCGGUAUUGUUGGAUCGAAGCGGCUCGGACCGACAUUACUCGUACGCUUACGAGAGACUGGUUUCAUCGCUACGAGUAACUCCGUUGCUCAAAGAUGACCGGCGAGUGUCAGUUUCUCCAACUUUAGUUGAAUUGGAUUUGACCGAGGAGGUCCUUGGAUGAGUUUAAAUAGCAAUUCAUAUAUCUCCGUUGUGAUGUUUGCGUAAGUAAGAUGCGAUCCUACUAGAUACCCAUGGUCACCACGUAAAACAUGCAACAACAAUUAGAGGACGUCUAACUUGUUUUUGCAGGUAUGCUUGUGAUGUGAUAUGGCCAACGAUGUGAUGUGAUAUAUUGGAUGCAUGAGAUGAUCAUGUUGUAAUAGUUAAUAUUGACUUGCACGUCGAUGGUACGGCAACCGGCAGGAGCCAUAGGGUUGUCUUUAAACUAACGUUUGUGCUUGCAGAUGUAUUUACUAUAUUGCUAGGACGUAGCUUUAGUAGUAAUAGCAUGAGUAGCACGACAACCCCGAUGGCGACACGUUGAUGGAGAUCAUGAUGAUGGAGAUCAUGGUGUGACGCCGGUGACAAGAAGAUCGUGCCGGUGCUUUGGUGAUGGAGAUCAAGAAGCACAUGAUGAUGGCCAUAUCAUGUCACUUAUGAAUUGCAUGUGAUGUUAAUCCUUUAUGCACCAUAUCUUGCUUAGAACGACGGUAGCAUUAUGAGGUGAUCUCUCACUAAAAUUUCAAGACGAAAUUGUGUUCUCCCCGACUGUGCAACGUUGCGACAGUUCUUCGUUUUGAGACACCACGUGAUGAUCGGGUGUGAUAGACUCAACGUUCACAUACAACAGGUGCAAAACAGUUGCACACGCGGAACACUCGGGUUAAGCUUGACGAGCCUAGCAUGUGCAGACAUGGCCUCGGAACACAUGAGACCGAAAGGUCGAGCAUGAAUCGUAUAGUUGAUAUGAUUAGCAUAGAGAUGCUUACCACUGAAACUAUUCUCGACUCACGUGAUGAUCGGACUUGAGAUAGUGGAUUUGAAUCAUGUACCACUCAAAUGACUAGAGAGAUGUACUUUUUGAGUGGGAGUUCUUAAGUAAUAUGAUUAAUUGAACUAAUUGUCAUGAACAUAGUCUAAUGGUCUUUGUGAAUUACGAUGUAGCUUGCGCUAUAGCUCUACUGUUUUUAUAUGUUCCUAGAGAAAAUUUAGUUGAAAGUUGAUAGUAGCAAACUUUGCAGACUGAGUCUGUAAAACCGAGGAUUGUCCUCGUUGCUGCGCAGAAGGCUUAUGUCCUUAAUGCACCACUCGGUGUGCUGCACCUCGAGCGUCGUUUGUAGAUGUUGUGAACAUCCGACAUACACGUUUCUGAUGACUACACGAUAGUUUAGUGCAAAAUACCUAAUGGCUUAGAAGCAAGGCGCCUUUGAAACGUCACGGAACAUAAGAGAUGUUCUAAAGAGAUGGAAUUGUGAUUUCAUGCUUGUGCCCUUGUUAAGAGGUAUGAGACCUCCGACAAGAUUCUUUGUCCACGAAGUAAAGGAGAAAAUCUCAAUCGUUGAGCGUGUGCUCAGAUUAUCUGAGUACGACAAUCGCUUGAAUCAAGUGGGAGUUGAUCUUCCAGAUAAGAUAGUGAUGGUUCUCCAAAGUCACUGCCACCAAGCUGUGAGAGCUUCGUGAUGAACUAUAACAUAUCAAGGAUAGAUACAAUGAUCCUUGAGCGAUUCGCGAUGUUUGACACUGCAAAAGUAGAAAUCAAGAAGGAGCAUCAAUAGUUGAUGGUUAGUAAACCCACUAAGUUUCGAUAAAGGCAAGGGCUAGAAGGGAUACUUCGUGAAACGGCAAAGCAGUUGCUGCACUAAUGAAGAGACCCCAGAUUAAACCCAAGCCCAGGACUAAGUGCUUCUGUUAUGAGGGGAACGGUCACUGAAGCGGAGCAACUCUAGAUACUUGGUAGAUAAGAAGGCUGGCAAAAGUCGAAAGAAGUAUAUUUGAUAUACAUGAUGUUGAUGUGUACUUUACUAGUACUCCAAGUAGCACGAGGGUAUUGGAUACCGGUUCGGUUGCUAAGUGAUUAGUAACACGAAAUGAAAGCUACGGCAUAAACGGAGACUAGCUAAAGGCGAGGUGACGAUACGUGUUGGAAGUGUUUCCAAGGUUGAUAUGAUCAAACGUCGCACACUCCCCCUACCAUCGGGAUUGGUGUUAAACCUAAAUAAUUGUUAUUUGGUGCUUGCGUUAAGCAUGAACAUGAUUGGAUCGUGUUUAUUGCAAUACGAUUAUUCAUUUAAAGAGAAUAAUGGUUACUCUAUUUGCUUGAAUAAUCACCUUCAAUGGUUUAUUGAAUCUCGAUCGUAGUGUUACACAUGUUCAUGAUAUUGGUGCCAAAAGAUACGAGGUAAUGAUGAUAGUACCACUUACUUGUGGCACUACCGCUUGAGUCAUGUUGGUAUAAAUUGCAUGAAGAGGCUCCAUGCUGAUGGAUCUUUAUACUCACUUGAUUUUGAAUCACUAGUGACAUGCAAAUCAUACCACAUGAGCAAGGCCGUAUUUUCAUUGAGAUGAAACAAGAUAGUAACUUGUUGGAAGUGAUACAUUUUGAUGUAUGCAGUCCAAUAAGUGCUAAGGCACGCAGUGGAUAUCAUUAUGUUCUUACUUCAUAGAUGAUUUGAGUAGAUACAUGAGUAUUUACUUGAUGAAUCACAAGUCUAAAAUGUUGAAAAGUUCAAAGCUAUUUUAGAGUGAAGAUCGUCGUGACAACAUGAUAAACAGUCUACAAUAUGAUCAUAGAGAUGAAUAUCUGAGUUACGAGUUUUGGUACGCAGUUAAGACAAUGUGGAAAUUGUUUCGCAGUUCAUGCCACCUCGAACAUCAUAGUGUGAUGAUGUGUCUGAACGUCAUAGCCACGCACUAUUUGGUAUGGUGCAUGCUAUGAUGUCUCUUAUCGAAUUACCACUAUCGUUUAUGGGUUAUGCAUUAGAGACAUCCGCGUUCACUUUAAAUAGGGCACCGCGUAUUUCCGUUGAGAUGACACAGUAUAGACUGAGGUGUAGAGAAAUCUAAACUGUCGUUUCUUGAAAGUUUGGGGCUUCGACACUUGUGUGAAAAAGUUUCAGUCGAAUAAACUCAAACCCAAAGCGGAUAAAUGCAUCUUCAUAGGAUAUCCAAAACAGUUGGGUACAUCUCCUAUCUCAGAUUCGAAAGCAAAGUGUUUGUUUCUAGAAACGGAUCCUUUCUCGAGGAAAGGUUUCUCUCGAAAGAAUUGAGUGGGAGGGUGGUAGAACUUGAUGAGGUUAUUGAACCAUCACUUCAACCAGUGUGUGGCAGGGCGCAGGAAAUUGUUCAUGUGGCGCCUACACCAAUUGAAGUAUAAGCUCAUGAUGGUGAUCAUCGAGCAUCGGACCAAGUUACUACAAGCCUCGUAGGUUGACAAGGUCGCGUACUACUGCAGAGUGGUACGGUAACCCAGUCUUGGAGGUCAUGUUGUUGAGCAACAGUGAACCUACGAGUUAUGGAGAAAGCAAUGGUGGGCCCGGAUUCUGACAAAUGGCUGGAAGCCAUGAAAUCCGAGAGAGGAUCCAUGUAUGAAAACAAAGUGUAGACUUUGGAAGAACUACUUGAUGGUCAUAGGACUAUUGAGUAAAGAUGGAUCUUUAAAAGGAAGACAGACGAUGGUGAUAAGUCACUAUUAAGAAAAGCUUGACUUAUCGCAAAGAUGUUUCCGACAAGAUCAAACGGUUGACUAUGAUGGGACUUUCUCACUCGUAGCGAUGCCGAAAGUCUGUUAGAAUUAUGUUAGUAGUUGCUGCAUUAUUUAUGAAAUAUUGCACACAUGAUGUCAAAACAUUGUUUCCUCGACGGUUUCCUUGAGCAAACAUUGUGUGUGAUACAACCAGGAGGUUUUGUCGAUCCUAAAGAUACUAGCAAGUAUGCAAGCUCCAGCGAUCCUUCAAUGGACUGGUGCAAGCAUCUCGGAGUUGGAAUAUACACUUUGAUGAGAUGAUCAAAGAUUUUGGGUUUGUACAAGGUUUAUGAGAAACUUGUAUUUCCAAAGAAGUGAGUGGGAGCACUAUAGAAUUUCUGAUAAGUAUAUGUGGUUGACAUAUUGUUGAUCAGAAGUAAUGUAGAAUUUCUGUGAAGCAUAAAAGGUUGUUUGAAAGGAGUUUUUCAAAGGAAUACCUGGAUUGAGCUACUUGAACGUUGAGCAUCAAGAUCUAUGGAGAUAGAUCAAAACGUUUAAUAGAAGUUUCAACAAGACGCAUGCCUUGCCAAGUUUUUGAAGGAAUUUGAAAUAGAUGAGCAAAGAAGGAGUUCUUGACUGUGUUGUAAGGUGUGAAUUUGAGUAAGACUCAAAACCCGACCACGGCAGAAUAAAGAGAAUAGACGAAGGUCAUGUUCUAUGCCUUAGCCGUAGACUCUAAACUAUGCCAUGCUGAGUACCGCACCUGAUGUGUGCCUUGCAGGAAGUCUGUUAAGAGGUACACAGAGUGAUCCAGGAUUGAAUCACUGAUCAGCGGUCAAAGUUAUCCUUAGUAACUAAAUAGACUAAGGAAUUUUUUCUCGAUUAUGGAGGUGGUUAAAGAGUUCGUCGUAAAGGGUUACGUCGAUGCAAGCUUUGACACUAAUCCGAAUAACUAUGAGUAGUGAAACGGAUUCAUAUAGUAGAGUAGAUAUUUGGAGCAUUUCCGAAUAGCACGUAGUAGCAGCAUCUAUAAGAUGACAUAAAGAUUUGUAAAGAAUGCACGGAUCUGAAAAUUUCAAAACCGUUGACUAAAACCUCUCUCACGAGCAAGACGUGAUCAGACCCCAGAACUAUAUGGGUGUUGGAUUCGUUGAAAUCACAUGGUGAUGUGAACUAGAUUAUUGACUCUAGUGCAAGUGGGAGACUAUUGGAAAUAUGCCCUAGAGGCAAUAAUAAUUAGUUAUUAUUAUAUUUCUUUCUUCAUGAUAAUCGUUUAUUAUCCAUGCUAUAAUUGUAUUGAUUGGAAACACAAUAGUUGUGUGGAUACAUAGACAAAACAGUGUCCCUAGUAAGCCUCUAGUUGACUAGCUCGUUGAUCAAAGAUGGUCAAGGUUUCCUGGCCAUAGGCAAGUGUUGUUACUUGAUAACGGGAUCACAUCAUUAGGAGAAUCAUGUGAUGGACUAGACCCAAACUAAUAGACGUAGCAUGUUGAUCGUGUCAUUUUGUUGCUACUGUUUUCUGCGUGUCAAGUAUUUGUUCCUAUGACCAUGAGAUCAUAUAACUCACUGACACCGGAGGAAUGCUUUGUGUGUAUCAAACGUCGCAACGUAACUGGGUGACUAUAAAGAUGCUCUACAGGUAUCUCCGAAGGUGUUCGUUGAGUUGUUUGGAUCAAGACUGGGAUUUGUCACUCCGUAUGACGGAGAGGUAUCUCGGGGCCCACUCGGUAAUACAACAUCACACACAAGCCUUGCAAGCAAUGUGACUUAGUGUAAGUUGCGGGAUCUUGUAUUACGGAACGAGUAAAGAGACUUGCUGGUAAACGAGAUUGAAAUAGGUAUGUGGAUACUGACGAUCGAAUCUCGGGCAAGUAACAUACCGAAGGACAAAGGGAAUGACAUACGGGAUUAUAUGAAUCCUUGGCACUGAGGUUCAAACGAUAAGACCUUCGUAGAAUAUGUAGGAUCCAAUAUGGGCAUCCAGGUCCCACUAUUGGAUAUUGACCGAGGAGUCUCUCGGGUCAUGUCUACAAAGUUCUCGAACCCGCAGGGUCUGCACACUUAAGGUUCGACGUUGUUUUAUGCGUAUUUGAGUUAUAUGGUUGGUUACCGAAGACCUAUCAUGGUGAUGUCCAUCUACGAGAGGGGGUAUUCGAUCUACGUACAUUUGUAGACCGCACAGCGGAAGCGUUAGUGAAUGCGGUUGAUGUAGUGGAACGUCCGCACGUCCCUCGAUCUGCCCCGCGAACCGUCCCGCGAUCAGUCCCACGAUCUAGUGCCGAACGGACGACACCUCCGCGUUCAGCACACGUACAGCUCGACGAUGAUCUCGGCCUUCUUGAUCCAGCAAGAGAGACAACAAGGUAGAUGAGUUCUCCGGCAGCGUGACGGCGCUCCGGAGGUUGGUGGUGAUCUAAUCUCAGCAGGGCUCCGCCCGAGCUCCGCAGAAACGCGAUCUAGAGGUAAAACCGUGGAGAUAUGUGGUCGGGCUGCCGUGGCAAAGUUGUCUCAAAUCAGCCCUAAAACCUCCGUAUAUAUAGGGGGAAGAGGGGGAGCCUUGCCUUGGGGUCCAAGGACCCCCAAGGGGUUCGGCCGAGCCAAGGGGGGCAACCCUCCCCUUCCAAACCGAGUCCAACUAGGUUUGGAAGGAGGAGUCCUUCCCCCUUUUCCCACCUCCUCUUUUUUUUCUCUUUGAUUUUCUUCCUAUGGCGCAUAGGGCCUUCUUGGGCUGUCCCACCAGCCCACUAAGGGCUGGUGCGCCACCCCCAAGGCCUAUGGGCUUCCCCAGGGUGGGUUCCCCCCCCCCCCCCCGGAGAACACCCGGAACCCAUUCAUCAUUCCCGGUACAUUCCCGGUAACUCAGAAAACCUUCCGGUAAUCAAAUGAGGUCAUCCUAUAUAUCAAUCUUCGUUUCCGGACCAUUCCGGAAACCCUCGUGACGUCCGUGAUCUCAUCCGGGACUCCAAAUAACAUUCGGUAACCAACCAUAUAACUCAAAUACGCAUAAAACAACGUCGAACCUUAAGUGUGCAGACCCUGCGGGUUCGAGAACUAUGUAGACAUGACCCGAGAGACUCCUCGGUCAAUAUCCAAUAGCGGGACCUGGAUGCCCAUAUUGGAUCCUACAUAUUCUACAAAGAUCUUAUCGUUUGAACCUCAGAGCCAAGGAUUCAUAUAAUCCCGUAUGUCAUUCCCUUUGUCCUUCGGUAUGUUACUUGCCCGAGAUUCGAUCGUCAGUAUCCGCAUACCUAUUUCAAUCUCGUUUACCGGCAAGUCUCUUUACUCGUUCCGUAAUACAAGAUCUCGCAACUUACACUAAGUCACAUUGCUUGCAAGGCUUGUGUGUGAUGUUGUAUUACCGAGUGGGCCCCGAGAUACCUCUCCGUCACACGGAGUGACAAAUCCCAGUCUCGAUCCAUACUAACUCAACGAACAUCAUCGGAGAUACCUGUAGAGCAUCUUUAUAGUCACCCAGUUACGUUGCGACGUUUGAUACACACAAAGCAUUCCUCCGGUGUCAGUGAGUUAUAUGAUCUCAUGGUCAUAGGAACAAAUAUUUGACACGCAGAAAACAGUAGCAACAAAAUGACACGAUCAAUAUGCUACGUCUAUUAGUUUGGGUCUAGUCCAUCACGUGAUUCUCCUAAUGACGUGAUCCAGUUAUCAAGCAACAACACCUUGUUCAUAAUCAGAAGACCCUGACUAUCUUUGAUUAACUGGCUAGCCAACUAGAGGCUUGCUAGGGACAGUGUUUUGUCUAUGUAUCCACACAUGUAUAUAAGUCUUCAUUCAAUACAAUUAUAGCAUGGAUAAUAAACGAUUAUCUUGAUACAGGAAUUAUAAUAAUAACUAUAUUUAUUAUUGCCUCUAGGGCAUAAUUCCAACAGUCUCCCACUUGCACUAGAGUCAAUAAUCUAGCCCUCACAUCAUCAUGUGAGUUACAUUGUAAUAAAUCUAACACCCAUACAGUUCUGGUGUUGAUCAUGCUUUGCCCGUGGAAGAGGUUUAGUCAGCGGGUCUGCUACAUUCGGAUCCGUGUGCACUUUGCAUAUAUUUACGUCCUCCCCUUCGACGUAGUCGCGGAUGAGGUUGAAGCGUCGUUUGAUGUGUCUGGACUUCUUGUGAAACCGUGGUUCCUUUGCUAGGGCAAUGGCACCCGUGUUGUCACAGAACAAGGUUAUUGGAUUCAGUGCGCUUGGCACUACUCCAAGAUCCGUCAUGAACUGCUUCAUCCAGACACCCUCCUUAGCCGCCUCCGAGGCAGCCAUGUACUCCGCUUCACAUGUAGAAUCUGCUACGACGCUUUGCUUGGAACUGCACCAGCUUACUGCACCCCCAUUAAGAAUAAAUACGUAUCCGGUCUGCGACUUAGAGUCGUCCGGAUCUGUGUCAAAGCUUGCAUCGACGUAACCCUUUACGGCGAGCUCUUCGUCACCUCCAUACAUGAGAAACAUCUCCUUAGUCCUUUUCAGGUACUUCAGGAUAUUCUUGACCGCCGUCCAGUGAUCCACUCCUGGAUUACUCUGGAACCUGCCUGCCAUACUUAUGGCCAAGCUAAUGUCCGGUCUAGUGCACAACAUUGCAUACAUGAUAGAACCUAUGGCUGAAGCAUAGGGGACGGUGCUCAUAUGCUCUCUAUCCUCAUCAGUUGCUGGGCACUGAGUCUUACUCAAUCUUGUACCUUGUAAAACUGGCAAGAACCCUUUCUUGGACUGUUCCAUUUUGAACCUCUUCAAAACUUUAUCAAGGUAUGUGCUUUGUGAAAGUCCUAUCAGGUGUUUUGAUCUAUCCCUGUAGAUCUUAAUGCCUAGAAUGUAAGCAGCUUCUCCUAGGUCCUUCAUAGAGAAACUUUUAUUCAAGUAAUCCUUUAUGCUCUCCAAAAACUCUACGUUGUUUCCAAUUAGCAAUAUGUCAUCCACAUAUAAUAUUAGAAACGCCACAGAGCUCCCACUCACUUUCUUGUAAAUACAAGAUUCUCCAACCACUUGUAUAAACCCAAAUGCUUUGAUCACCUCAUCAAAGCGUUUGUUCCAACUCCGAGAUGCUUGCACCAGCCCAUAAAUGGAUCGCUGGAGCUUGCACACCUUGUUAGCAUUCUUAGGAUCGACAAAACCUUCGGGUUGCAUCAUAUACAACUCUUCCUUAAGGAAACCGUUAAGGAACGCCGUUUUGACAUCCAUCUGCCAGAUUUCAUAAUCGAAUAAUGCAGCUAUUGCUAACAUGAUUCUGACGGACUUAAGCAUCGCUACGGGUGAGAAUGUCUCAUCGUAGUCAACUCCUUGAACUUGUGAAAAACCCUUUGCCACAAGUCGAGCUUUAUAAACGGUCACAUUGCCGUCAGCGUUCGUCUUCUUCUUAAAGAUCCAUUUGUUCUGAAUAGCCUUGCGGCCCUCAGGUAGUACUUCCAAAGCCCAUACUUUGUUCUCAUACAUGGAUCUUAUCUCGGACUUCAUGGCCUCUAGCCAUUUGUUGGAAUCUGGGCCCACCAUUGCUUCUUCAUAAUUUGCAGGUUCAUUGUUGUCUAACAACAUGAUUGACAUGACGGGAUUACCGUACCACUCUGGAGCAGCACGUGGUCUCGUCGACCUGCGUGGUUCGACAGGAACUUGAACCGGAGUUUCAUGAUCAUCAUCAUUAACUUCCUCCUCAACCGGCGUCGCAAUGACAGAGGUUUCCCCUUGCCCUGCGCCACCAUCUAGAGGGAUGAGAGGUUCGACAACCUCAUCAAGUUCUAUCUUCCUCCCACUCAAUUCUCUCGAGAGAAACUCCUUCUCGAGAAAAACUCCGUUUUUAGCAACAAACACUUUGCCCACGCAUUUGAGAUAGAAGGUGUACCCAACUGUCUCUUUUGGGUAACCUAUGAAGAUGCACUUUUCCGCUUUGGGUUCCAGCUUUUCAGGCUGAAGCUUUUUGACAUAAGCAUCACAUCCCCAAACUUUAAGAAACGACAACUUUGGCCUUUUGCCAUACCACAGUUCGUAUGGUGUCGUCUCAACGGAUUUUGAUGGUGCCCUAUUUAAAGUGAAUGCAGUUGUUUCUAAUGCAUAACCCCAAAACAAUAACGGCAAAUCGGUAAGAGACAUCAUAGAUCGCACCAUCUCUAAUAAAGUACGAUUACGACGUUCGGACACACCAUUACGUUGUGGUGUUCCAGGCGGUGUCAACUGUGAAACAAUUCCACAUUGUCUUAAGUGAGCACCAAACUCGAAACUCAGAUAUUCACCCCCACGAUCAGACCGUAGGAACUUGAUCUUCUUGUUAUGAUGAUUUUCAACUUCACUCUGAAAUUGCUUGAACUUUUCAAAUGUUUCAGACUUGUGCUUCAUUAAGUAGACAUAACCAUAUCUACUCAAAUCGUCAGUGAAGGUGAGAAAAUAACGAUAUCCGCCGCGUGCCUCUACGCUCAUCGGACCACACACAUCGGUAUGUAUGAUUUCCAACAAGUCACUUGCACGCUCCAUUGUUUCGGAGAACGGAGUUUUAGUCAUCUUGCCCAUGAGGCAUGGUUCGCACGUGUCAAGUGAAUCAAAGGCAAGUGACUCCAAAAGUCCAUCGGCAUGGAAUUUCUUCAUGCGCUUUACACCAAUAUGACCUUAACGGCAGUGCCACAAAAAUAUGGCGCUAUCAUUGUUAACUCUAAUUCUUUUGGUCUCAAUGUUAUGUAUGUGUGUAUCACUAUCAAGAUUUAAUAUGAACAAUCCUCUCACAUUGGGUGCAUGACCAUAAAAGAUGUUACUCGUAGAAAUAGAACAACCAUUAUUCUCUGACUUAAAAGAGUAACCGUCUCACAAUAAACAAGAUCCAGAUAUAAUGUUCAUGCUCAACGCAGGCACUAAAUAACAAUGAUUCAAGUUGAUAACUAAUCCUGAUGGUAACUGAAGUGAAACUGUGCCGACGGCGAUUGCAUCAACCUUGGAACCAUUUCCUACGCACAUCGUCACUUCAUCUUUCGCCAGCCUUCGUCUAUUCCUCAGUUCCUGUUUCGAGUUGCAAAUAUGAGCAACAGAACCGGUAUCGAAUACCCAGGCACUACUAUGAGAGCCGGUUAGGUACACAUCAAUAACAUGUAUAUCAAAUAUACCUGAUUUUUCUUUGGCCGCCUUCUUAUCAGCCAGAUACUUGGGGCAGUUGCGCUUCCAGUGACCCAUACCCUUGCAAUAGUAACACUCUGUUUCAGGCUUAGGUCCAGCUUUGGGUUUCUUCGUCGGAUUGGCAACAGGCUUGCCGCUCUUCUUUGAAUUACCCUUCUUGCCUUUGCCGUUUCUCUUGAAACUAGUGGUCUUAUUCACCAUCAACACUUGAUGCUCUUUACGGAGUUCAGACUCUGCGACUUUCAGCAUCGCAAACAACUCGCCGGUUGACUUGUUCAUCCCUUGCAUGUUGUAGUUCAACACAAAGCCUUUAUAGCUUGGCGGCAGUGAUUGAAGGAUUUUGUCAGUAUAGCCUCUUGCGGGAGUUCAAUCCCCAGCUCAGCUAGACGGUUUGAGUACCCAGACAUUUUGAGCACAUGUUCACUGACAGACGAGUUCUCCUCCAUCUUGCAAGCAUAGAAUUUAUCGAAGGUCUCAUACCUCUCGAUCCGGGCGUUCUUCUGAAAGAUGAACUUCAACUCCUGGAACAUCUCAAAUGCUCCAUGACGCUCAAAGCGACGUUGAAGUCCCGGUUCUAAGCCAUACAAGACUGCACAUUGAACUAUUGAGUAGUCCUCCUUACGUGUUAACCAAGCGUUCUUAACAUCCUGGUCAGCCGUAGCGGGUGGUUCAUCUCCUAGCGCAGCAUUAAGGACAUAAUCCUUCUUCCCAGCUUGUAAGAUUAGCUUAAGAUUACGAGCCCAGUCUACAAAGUUGCUUCCAUCAUCUUUCAACUUAGCUUUCUCUAGGAACGUAUUAAAAUUCAGGGUGUCUGUCGCGUGAGCCAUGAUCUACAACACAAAUAUAUUCAAAGUGGACUUAGACUAUGUUCAAGAUAAUUAGAGUUUAACUUAAUCAAAUUACUCGCUAAACUCCCACUCAAAAAGUACAUCUCUCUUAGUCAUUUGAGUGGUUCAUGAUCCACUUACACUAGCUCAAGUCCGAUCAUCACGUGAGUUGAGUAUAGUUUCAGUGGUAAGCAUCCCUAUGCUAAUCAUAUCAUCUAUAUGAUUCAUGAUCGACCUUUCGGUCUCAUGUGUUCCGAGGCCAUGUCUGCACAUGCUAGACUCGUCAAGCUUAACCCGAGUGUUCCGCGUGUGCAACUGUUUUGCACCUGUUGUAUGUGAACGUUGAGUCUAUCACACCCGAUCAUCACGUGGUCUCUCAAAACGAAGAACUGUCGCAACGGUGCACAGUCGGGGAGAACACAAUUUCGUCUUGAAAUUUUAGUGAGAGAUCACCCUAUAAUGCUACCGUUGUUCUAAGCAAGAUAUGGUGCAUAAAGGAUUAACAUCACAUGCAAUUCAUAAGUGACAUGAUAUGGCCAUCAUCACGUGCUCCUUGAUCUCCAUCAGCAAAGCACCGACACGAUCUUCUUGUCACCGGCGCCACACCAUGAUCUCCAUCAACGUGUCGCCAUCGGGGUUGUCGUGCUACUCAUGCUAUUACUACUAAAGCUACAUCCUAGCAAAAUAGUAAACGCAUCUGCAAGCACAAACGUUAGUUUAAAGACAACCCUAUGGCUCCUGCCGGUUGCCGUACCAUCGACGUGCAAGUCGAUAUUAUCUAUUACAACAUGAUCAUCUCAUACAUCCAAUAUAUCACAUCACAUCGUUGGCCAUAUCACAUCACAAGUAUACCCUGCAAAAACAAGUUAGACCUCCUCUAAUUUUGUUGUUGCAUGUUUUACGUGGUGACCAUGGGUAUCUAGUAGGAUCGCAUCUUACUUACGCAAACACCACAACGGAGAUAUAUGAAUUGCUAUUUAACCUUAUACAAGGACCUCCUCGGUCAAAUCCGAUUCAACUAAAGUUGGAGAAACUGACACUUGCCACUCAUGUUUGAGCAACGGGGUUACUCGUAGCGAUGAAACCAGUCUCUCGUAAGCGUACGAGUAAUGUUGGUCCAAGCCGCUUCAAUCCAACAAUACCGCGGAAUCAAGAAAAGACAAAGGAGGGUAGCAAAACGCACAUCACCGUCCAUAAAAACUUUUAUGUUCUACUCGAGAAGACAUCUACGCAUGAACCUAACUCAUGAUGCCACUCUUGGGAAACGUCGCAUGGGAAACAAAAAUUUUCCUAUGCAGAAAUAGACCGGCACGCAGGGCUAGGCAUGCAGCAGGUCUACACGUGAUGUUUGACGAGACAACACAUGGUGUGUGCAUGCGACCACCAGCAUCACUGAGACAUUCCCAUGCGCCACACGUUCUUCAUAGGUGUCUCAUUAAUUUCAGCUUUGUUGGCUUGGCUCCCCACGAAUCGUCUGUGAGCGGGCGCUGGAGCAUCGUUUCCUUCUUCUUUGUAAAGCAGUGAAAGUGACAGAAUGAUGGAAACAUUGUUUUCAUUGAUGAAGAUGUGGGUAUUUAUACCCGUGUUACAGAGGUGGUUUACAAGGAACGGUUGCCAAAACAAGGCAACCGGCAACGCAGGGAUUAUCCCAUUAAUUAAUACAUUUAAUUAAUUCCUAACACUCCCCCUAAUCCAUGAUUGUCUUUGUAAAUGUGCAUCAUCUUGAUAAAUAAUAAUCCUUGUAAAUUUUUCUCUUUAAGAAUGUUCCUCAUCUUCAUCUUGAAAAAUCGUUGUAUAAUCUUUAAAGUCUCCUCCAAAAACCCUGUGGGAAAAAUAUGAGGAGAAUAGUGUAGAUAUGUUGCUAAAACUCCUUUAAACCCAGUGGGAAAAUAAUAAAGAGAAAAUUGUGCAACAUAUAAUGAUUAUUGCCUCAUGGUAACUCAUUUGAGAAAACCUUUAUAGAGGGAUAAAACUCAUUUUUGAGUUUAGAGUACUUCCUUUAAAAACCCCGAUAGGGAAAAUAGAAAGUAUGAUAUAUGAUCAUUGAUAAGAUAUUGCUUCAUUAAAAACAUUAUGAGAGAAAAUGUCAAAGAAACUCAUAAUGAAAAGAGUGCAAUGAGAUGUGCCAUGAAAAACUCCUUUAAAACCUAGUAGGAAAAAUAUAAGGAGAAAUAUGAUAUGGCAUGCAUCAAUACUUGUAUUUAAUUGUCUCGUUAAAAACCUUAUAUGAGAAACCUGUUGGAAAAACUCAUAAAGUAAAAGAGUACAAUAUUCAUUACCUGAUGAUAAUUAAAGGGUUAUAUUUUCAGGAGAUUUCUCCCCUUGAACUUUGCAAAUCUCUUAAUCGUCUCAUACCAAUUCCAUGAAUGUAUUUCUGGAACGUUGAAUUUGGUAAAGACUUUGUGAACAAAUCUGCUAGAUUGUCACAUGAUUUAGUUUGUAAAAUAUCAAUUUCUCCAUCCUUCUGUAAUGCAUGAGGAUAGAAUAACUUAGGAGAAAUGUGUUUUGUGAUAUUACUUUUCACAUAACCCAUUUGCAUUUGAGCAAUGCAGGCUGCAUUAUCUUCAUAUAUAAUAGUUGGUGAUCCUAAUGAACCAACACCACAUGAAGUUUGAAUAUGGUUAAUCAUCCUGCGAAGCCAUACACAUUCUUUAGAUGCUUCAAAUAAUGCAAUAAUUUCAGAAUGAUUAGUGGAAGUUGCUACGAGAGUCUGUUUUGUUGACUUCCAUGAAAAAGCAGUUCCACCGUAUAAGAAUACGAAACCUGUUUGUGACCUGGCAUUGUGAGGAUCAGAUAGAUAGCCAGCAUCAGUAUAUCCUACCAUAGUCAUAUCUUGGGUUUUCUGAUAGAAUAAGCCAAGAUCUUUUGUGCCAUGUAAAUAUCUAAGGAUAUUCUUUACUCCCGUCGAAUGACGUUUUGUUGGAGCAGCGCUAUGUCUAGCUAGUAAAUUUACUGCAAAUGCAAUAUCAGGCCUGGUGCAAUUUGCAAGGUACAUUAGCGCACCAAUGGCACUGAGAUACGGGAACUCAGGUCCUAAUAUCUCUUCGUCAUCAUCCCGAGGUCUAAAAGGAUCUUUAUUCAUAUCAAGGGAUCUGACAACCAUGGGUGUUUUGGUUGGAUAUGAUUUAUCCAUAUUAAAUUUUUCCAAAACCUUUUGAAUAUAUGCAGGUUGGUAUACUAAAAUUCUGAGGGAAGAUGCUCUAGCUGUAAGCCUAAGCAGAAUUUGGUCUUUCCCAAAUCUUUCAUCUCAAAUUCCGUCAUUAGAUGAUUGCGUGCUUCUUCGAUAUCAGGUGUACUUCCAAUGAUAUUGAGGUCAUCAACGUACACUGAGAUGAUGCAAAAUCCAUUUGAGGAUUUCUUUAUAAAUACACAAGGGCAAUCAUCAUUAUUUGAGUAGCCUUUUUGAAUAAGGAACUCACUCAGUCGGUUAUACCAGAUUCUACCCGACUGUUUUAAGUCAUAUAGUGACUUUUGUAAUUUUACACAAUAUGCGUUGCGAUUUGCUUUUGGAUUCGGCAUUUUAAGUCCUUCAGGGACUUUCAUAUAUAUAUCCGAUUUGAGUGACCCAUAUAAGUAUGUUGUCACUACAUCCAUCAACUGCAUAGAUAAAUUCAUUUGUACUGCCAAAGAUAUUAAGUAUCGAAACGUUAUUCCACUCAUUACAGGAGAGUAUGUAUCAUCGUAAUCGAUGACGGGUCACUGCGUGAACCCUUGUGCUACAAGCCUCGCUUUGUAUCUCACCACCUCAUUGUUUUCAUUCCUUUUUCGAACAAAAACCCAUUUUGCUCCAACAGGGAAGACAUUAUGAGGAGUAGGUAUUACCGAGGAAAAUACCUCUCUUUUGUUCAGCGAGCGCUGUUCUGCCUCAAUUGCUUCCUUCCAUUUAGGCCAAUCAGGACGCUUGAGGCACUCCCUGACGGUCUUUGGUUCUGGAUCCAGUUGAAUGGUUUCAGCAAUUUCAGAGGCGAAAUAUAUGUCGACAAUUGUAGUCUCUCUAUUAUAUGAUUCUCCAGAUUCUGUAUAGUUUAUGGAAAUUUCUUUUAUACCUUCAGACUCUAUGUGAUUUCCCAUAACAAUAGAAUCAUGGUGUUCCGAUGUACCAGCUAUUAUGUUUUUAUGCGCAUUUAUGCUAGGUUCAAGAUGUUGAGCAUCUGGUUGGUGUCCUUCAACUUGAGGUUGAAUUGCAUUUACUGGUAGAGGAUUUGAUUUCCUCUGUUUCCGCGGAGGCUUUUGAGAAGCUAUAUUCCGACUAACCAGAUUUCUCCCCCUCUUACUCUCAUUUGGGGUUUGAGUGGUUUUAGUUGGUACCUCCACUCGUUCUGGUGCAUUAACAGCGGGAAUAUGUGAGUUAGUGACACCUUUAUGGUCAGUAAAUGCAUCUGGCAGAUUAUUUGCAAUGUGUUGCAAAUCUAUGAUCCUCUGAACUUCAGUUUCAGAUUCUUUAGUACGUGGAUCUAAGGACUGAAUGCCUGUUACAUUCUAAUCUAUUUCCUGGCAUUCUUUGUGGUUUGAUUCUCCUCCUAAUGCCGGGAAAUGGUCCUCAUCAAAAAUAGAAUCAGCGUAACGGGCAGUAAACAGGUCCCCUGUAAGAGGUUCAAGAUAUUUAAUAAUUGACGGAGAAUUAUAACCCACAUAGAUCCCUAGUUUUCUGUGGGGGCCCAUGGAUGUACGUUGCGGUGGUGAUAUCGGUACGUAUACUGCGCAACCGAAUUUUCGCAGAUGGGAAAUACUUGGCUGAGUGCCACGUACUAGUUGUAGCGGGGAGGUUGUAUGAUAUGCAGUUGGUCUGAUUUGUAUCAGAUCUGCGGCGUGUAAUACCGCAUGUGCCCAACAAGAUGCUGGUAAAUUACAAUUCUGUAAUAGUGGUCGAGCAACUAAUUUUACUCUUUUGAUGAGAGAUUCAGCCAAACCAUUUUGAGUAUGGACGUAAGGCACAGAGUGUUCUAAAUGAAUGCCCAUAGCCAUGCAGUAGUCAUUGAAUGCACGUGAAGAGAAUUCAGCGGCAUUAUCCAUUUGAAUUGUUUUUAUCCUAUUUUCAGGAUGAUUUGCUCUUAAUUUGAUAAUUUGAGCAAUUAUCUUGGCAAAAGCAUGAUUUCGUGUGGACAAUAGACAUACAUGUGACCAUCUAGUAGAUGCAUCUAUGAGCACCAUGAAAUAUCUAAAAGGUCCUGAUAGUCGUUGAAUUGGACCACAUAUAUCUCCUUGAAUGCGUUCAAGAAAGUUAAGUGACUCACUUUUUACCUUAAGAUAAGAUGGUCUUAUAAUUAAUUUCCAGUUGCACAUGCGGUGCACACAAAAUCUGAUGAUUUUGGGAAAUUUUUAGUUGAAAGGCUGUGACCAAUAGAAUUGUCAAUAAUUUUUCUCAUCAUCCCUACGCCAGGAUGACCUAGGCGAUCAUGCCAAGUCUUGAAUUUAUCAAGGUCUUGAAAAAUUAUUUUGUACGCAACAUGUGAUACGGGUUUUAUAUAACUGUAAUAUAAUCCAGAUGAAAGUGAUGGAAAUUUCUCAAGAAUUUGUUUCUCAGACCCAUUACUCUUUGUUAAAAGCAAAUGUUCAGAAUUAUUUUCAGAUAUUGUUUCCAAAUGGAAGUUAUUUGAUCUGAGGUCUUUAAAACUUAGAAGAAUACGUGUAGAUUCAGGAUACAAUAGUGCAUCCUCAGUUACAAUUGUACUACCCAUAGGUAGAACGAGUGUGGCUCGUCCUGAACCAAUAAUCGACGCAUCGCAACCGGCAAUGGUCAUAAUAUUCCCUUUUCUCUUAGUUAGAGUUUGGAAAUAUUUUAUUUUCCUUAAUAUUGUGUUAGUGGUACAACUGUCCACCAAACAUAUUUCUUCUUCCAUUGGAUUAUUUCCCCGUAAAAUCUUUCUCUUGACUCUCUGUCGCUCUCGGCAGAGCGAGCGCUGAUAACGUGUAAAGCAGUGAAAGUGACAGAAUGAUGGAAACAGUGUUUUCAUUGAUGAAGAUGUGGGUAUUUAUACCCCUGUUACAGAGGCGGUAUACAAGGAACGGUUGCCAAAACAAGGCAACCGGCAACGCAGGGAUUAUCCCAUUAAUUAAUACAUUUAAUUAAUUCCUAACAUUCUUCAUAUGCAUAGAGAGAGGAGCUGGUAUCUGCUCUAAGCAAGGUCACCACCGGAGCUGGUAACUUCUUCACCCUGGUUUUCUGCCGGCGCCGAGCGGAGGGGACAAGCGUGAGGAUGGGGAACGUCCAACCCGGCAUUGCUGUCCACCUGCAAGAGGACGGAUCGUCGUCUUCUUCUUCAUCGGUGUCGACGGAGAGAUCGCUUGUUCGUCGCAGGGCCACCGUUGUGGUGAGCUUUUCUUUUGCUCAGUUGUUCUAGUUGUGCUGUUUAUCUGGCUCUAAUAUGCUAUCCACAUCCAAGAGGACAGUGCAUCGGUCCAGGGUGCAUUUUUUGCGCUCGUGCUAUCAAGGCGGGGUAUUCCUCGACGCAACUACGGGCUAGAAGGAAAGGUGUGACGGAGCAAGUCGUCGCAGAGGUUCAGGCCGAGCCGCAACAAGACGUGGCUAGUCGGGUUGUUGAGAAGGGAUCAAACACUCUAGGGAGUGCCCCUGCGAUGCAAGCAGCAGUGGAAGGAACAGCAGAUUCGUCUCCAGGUCCGGAAUCAAGAGGCACGGCCAGAGCAUGGACGGGAGCCGUGGGUGCCGGCGCGGUGUCAGCAGAGAUGGACGCCGUCCGCUCACCUACGGGUCGCCGCGACUUCUUUGAUCAUCUCAAGCAUGCGAGACAUGAAGAUCCUGAGGCCGUUCGUGCAACUCGCGAUGCCAAGUGCAAGAGACUAUCUUCUUCAGAUGCAGACUCGCAUGUUGUGUCAAAGCGGCAGGACACGGCACAGGAUCAUGAGCAGGCGGCUGAGGGCGGUGUAGAACGGAUCGACCCCGACGUCGGGUUUUUUCAUGGCGGCCGUCUGCGUCAGCGUUUCUGUGUUGAAGUUCAUGCUGGCGGGUUGCUUGAGCUUAGAUUUCCAGCAAAAAUAGCUGACAUUAUACUUGUUUCAGCUCCAAGGAUCGUGCGGAUUAGCACCGCAGGCAAUCACACGUAUAAGGUGAGGAUGAGCAAGGACGUCGGAGGUGCAACAGUGUUCGACUACGGGUGGAACGAUUUUGCAGCUCGUCGCGGGAUUGAGGAAGGAGACAAGCUCAUGUUCGUUGUAUAUGGUGAAGGACAAUGGGAGCUGUCUGUCUUUGGCGUCGACGGAUGCGAGAAGCUACUGGAUGUCGCCGGUGAUGUGCUAUAAGGAAGUACCAUUGGCGUAUGAGUCCACACUGAUCAAUGGAGAACAUCCGUCUUCAUUUUGAUUGCUCUUCUCAGCAUUACCAAUGUCUUGUGAUGUAUGCUUGGUUCAGGAAGACAUGAAGUCUUGCUAUUUUAGAAACUGUGUAGGGAGGACCAAGUCCAUUUUUUUUGGACCCCGAUAAGUGCCACAUGUCAGGUACGAGCACAAUAUGACUUUGAAUUUUUUUAUGACAAAUUUAGUGAUGCGAGGGGCAACUUUUGUGCUUCAGUUUAUUUUUGACAGAAACUUGCCAUGUGUGACUGGAAUUUCCAUCGAAAAAUGUCAAGGACGGAGAUCAAGACUUACCAUUUUGGUUUUUUAUUUCUUUAGCAAUUUUUUUAUUUUCAUUUUUAGGGAACGGACCAAGUCCUUGUAUUCCUUCGCGUGUUAUAGGCCCAUCUUGUGGUUUCUGGUCUUUUUAAUUUUUUUUGGCCAGGCCGCUUGAAAGAAAGUGGUCUGUGUAGGUUCACACCCAAUUUCAACCUGGUUUUCUAGUUCUCCCAAAUAUAUUAUCAGCACGCAUAUUUUUUUAAUAAUACCUAUUGUCGCAAUGAUUCUUUUUCAGAAGAAGUAGCACUGCGCAUUACAUUAUUCUUCAUUUCUACAGAAGGGCGAACACACAAAUAGAAAUUAAAUAAAUCCAAUGAAUUCNNNNNNNNNNNNNNNNNNNNNNNNNNNNNNNNNNNNNNNNNNNNNNNNNNNNNNNNNNNNNNNNNNNNNNNNNNNNNNNNNNNNNNNNNNNNNNNNNNNNACGGCCGGUGGGCCAUGGUCAAUGAGUGCAAACAACAAUAGCAACCACAUGGGAUGAAUCAUGGAUAGAUAGCAGCUACAUCAAUGUUGCUGUCAUCCCGUUGUCAAGUGUCUCCUAGCUUCCUUUAGCCUAGUUCAAGUUAGUUGCGGAUACCUUCAACCUAGUGGCAUGCCAAGAAUGGUAAUCUGGUCCAAGAACCUGCCUAUAACUGGACAAUAACAAGUAUAAAAAAAUUCUGUUAGCAUGAACCAAACUGGGAUGAGAUAAGAAAAGGGUGUGUCCUACAAACUCUGCUUACCCAAGAAUCAAUCGUGUGGUAGCAUGUGAUCUAGUGGCAGGCAAAAGUUGUUAACUUUUUUUUUAAAUGAAAAGUUGUUAACUUGGUAGUACCAACAAACCAAAAACUAAAUAUUUUUUGUUAGAACCAACCAAACUGGGAUUAGACAAGGAAAAGGGCUGUCUUGUCUGCUUACCCCAUAGUUAGGUACACUAUUUAUUUGCUAUCAAUGAUUGAUACCUAGGAUUCUUUGCUGAAUAAUCAAUUAUUGUCAAUGGGUAAUUAAUGUUUUAUUUUGUGAUUGUUGCAGUCGACCCCUCGCACGGUGGUGCUGGACACUAAGACAGGAAGCAACCUCCUUCAGUGGCCGGUGGACGAGGUGGAGACGCUCCGGACCAACUCCACUGACCUUGGCGGCGUCACCAUUAGACCGCGGCUCCGUCUUUUGCACUCAACCUUCANNNNNNNNNNNNNNNNNNNNNNNNNNNNNNNNNNNNNNNNNNNNNNNNNNNNNNNNNNNNNNNNNNNNNNNNNNNNNNNNNNNNNNNNNNNNNNNNNNNNAAAUUGUAGAUCACUUUUUGUAAAUUAAGAGUGUGUAAUUAUUUUUUUCCGUUGCAACGCACGGGUCCUUUUGCUAGUUAGUAAGAUUACCCUCUUCCUCUCUCUCGCACUGGGAUGGAUCCGACCAGUUAAUCAUCCCAGCUGCGGUAUUUUCUACUUACCAAUAACCAUUGUUAUCUUUUAUAUACUUCAAUUGCUAUAAUUUUGUGCAUAAGCUAAACUUCCAUUAUCUAAUUCUCAUCGUGUAUGUGUAUCGUUUUUACAUAAUACUAUAUAUGCAUGCUCAACUAGCCAAGUUAAGAAAAAGCUUGAUUGGUGAUGCAUGAGAAUUUGCGUGUACAUCCACUAGUGGUGUACUGUGUGUAUUAUUCAUUAAUAUGGAGUAUCGCUAGUUUAGAAAUUUGUUUGUAUUAUUUAUUAAUAUGGAGUAUAGCUAGUUUCUCCCGGAAAAAAACGAGUAUAGCUAGUUUACAAUUUUGAACCGAUGUACCUUCCCAUAUGCAUAUAGGUUAUCAAGGUGGACAUGAUUAACACGACUAUUGAAGAGAUUCUUAAUAAACCUUUUAUACAUGGCGAACGCUAGGUGAAGGACAAUGGGCUCUCGGCAUCUUCCGUCCUACAAGGUGUAGCAAAAUGCCCACAAUGUCAGAUGAGCCGUCGACAAGGUUGACAAGGCCUUGUCAAAUCCCACGUCAUAUUUUUUAGAAAAAGAGGGUUACCUCCAGCCUCUGCAUCAGCACGAUGCAUACGGCCCCUUUAUUGCAAAAAAGAAACGGUUCAUAUAGUCUCCGAUAGUACAAUAAAUCUGAGAUAAAAAGGAAAAGAGCCACAACCGGCCAAAAUAGAGCUAGAUGCCUAUCCAUCUAUCCUAUUACUGGACUGUCAUCCAAACCGGUUGAAGAUAUCCCGCGAUACCAUCUCCCAUCGGAUAGACCCAGUAACCAAAGGCUCCCUGGUGUCCGCAGGGGUGAGUAAUGACCACGUACGGAUCAAGGCCGCCGCUCUGUGAAGUACCUGUAGAAAUUGUAUAUUGAUACAUCUGUUAAAAACCACAUCAGUCCUGCAAUUCCAUAUAGCCCAAAGAAGUGCACAAACUCCUAUACGAAUUUGUUUUGCAAUCGUCUUGUCAACUCCAUGAAACCACGUUCCAAAUAACGUGUCGAUGCUAUCUGGAGGCCUUAUGUUAAAGGCUAUAUGAAUUGUGUGCCACAUAAGUCUGGCAAGUGGACAUAGGAGAAAGAGGUGUGUAAUAUUCUCAUUAUUAUCACAGAAGCUACAUUUAGUGCUACCGCCCCCCCCCUCCCAAUUUCGUUUAGCCAAAUUAUCCUUAGUGAGGAUCACCCUCUUGUGUACAAACCACAUGAAGACUUUGAUCCUUAAGGGAACUUUGACUUUCCAAAUAUUAAUAGAUUUGGGGAUGAUGGUAGUGUCUAUAAGAUCAAGAUACAUUGGUUUUACCAAAUAAACUCCGUUAUUCGUGAGCUUCCAAUGUACCCUAUCCGAUUCAUGUGAUAAUUGGACAUCCAUGAGUCUCCUCACCAAGUGGAGCCAGUCAUCCCAACGGUGCCCUAUCACAUGUAUAGGGAGAAUUUCACUUCCCGGCCUCUGCACCAACUAGGGAUGCAUACAGCCAGAUUAGUAUGAAUACCAAGCGCAUGCCCAACCACUGAGCCAAGGCUCUCUUUGCAAUAAAUCUCAUGUUUGAAAUGGCAAGUAUAUUGUGGCAAGCAAGACAAUUCCCUUCAUCAAGAAUGAAAAAUCAUGACAAAAAGCUAACCCUAGCAAGGAUUUGCCAUGAUUGCUGAAAGAAAUUGUCAUGCUCGCGACAACAUAACUUCAAAUCCUAGAUGUUAAAUUUGUCAUGCUUAUAAAUAUGAGAUCUGAUUUGUAGCAAAAUCAGAUUAAUAAAGCUCGAUAUUUUCCCCUAAACAAUAUUCCGCAUACAACGCAUGGAAUAGGAGGACUUGGUCCGUCCGCAACUUCUAAUUAGCAAGAGCUUAUGUCCUAAUCCAAAAUGCCAUGUUCAGUUACAGUUUUUUAUGUUUUUGCAUCAACCAAUGGUGUUUUCAGGAUCCAGAUCCACCAGUUGGAGUCUAGGCUUGGGAGAUUUUUCCUAUUUUUGAAGAUCACCAGGUACAAUUUAAAUUGGAACCAGGAAUGCAUCAUCCAUGAUCCAUCACAGAACUAGGGUUCAAAAAAGAAAAUGAGAAACAUAGUAGAGAGCAGGUGGCUGAUUCCUCCGCGUCACCGGCUUCUUCAGCGGUGGCUGAUUUAUUAGAUUUCAGUGCAUGUGCGUAUUCUUGUUCCUUGCUAUGAUCUGCACAUGAUUUCUAGCUAGCUUUGCCUGCUUGCUUUGCUUGCACUCGAGACAGGGCACAACAAGACCACAGACAUACCCGCCAGAUAACUAGUUUAGAAUAGUANNNNNNNNNNNNNNNNNNNNNNNNNNNNNNNNNNNNNNNNNNNNNNNNNNNNNNNNNNNNNNNNNNNNNNNNNNNNNNNNNNNNNNNNNNNNNNNNNNNNAAACACAUACUCAUAAACAACAACACAUUCUGGAUGUUGGCUAGUURGGGGRUUUAUGUACUUAUAAUACGUCUAAUAUAUGGGAUAAAUAAUAUUUAAUGCCUAAUUUCUAGAUUAUAUGCGGGUAUAUGGGUACACGGGUAUGGGGUUAUACUAAACCAUACCCUACCCACUAUACCCCGAUGGGUAUUGAAAAUUUUCCAUUUAUGUACCCACGUGUAUUUGUUUGGCUCAUACCCUUGCCUUAAUAGAAUUUUUAUCCACAAGGUACACGAGUGAUGGGUACCCAUUGCCAUCCCAGCACAGCUUCACAAGUAAAAAAGAAAAAAAUAGUUGUAGCAAUUCAUUUCUUAAAGGUGGUAGCACAAUGUACAUGUGCUUUUAGACGAUGAAAUAAAAUGUCACUUUUAUUGCCUCUGCAUCUUGCAAUUGCACACAAUCAAACUUUAUUCCUGACAACCGGUGACUUACCAUACGUACCAAUUAGAGAAAACCCUGUUCGCCGCAUUUUACGGCAAAUAGGGGAGGCUCCGCUCAACCCCCGGGAAGAUUUGGGCCGGCCCAAUUUGGGUUACCAUCGAUUUUCAAAACCUUCUAAGAGGUUCUUGAACCGGUUUUAAGAUUUUUUAUUGAUUUUUUAAUUUUCUAUAUUUGUUUCUUUCUUUACUUUUUUUUACUUUCUAUUGUUUAUUCUUUUUUAUUUCUUUUUAAGGUUAUUUUAUAAACUAAGUUCAUGUUUGAAAAUAUUUUUAAAAUUUCAAAAAUGUUCUUCUUUCAUAAAAAUGUUCUAAAAUUAAAAUGAUUGCAGUUUUUUCACAACUUAUGAAAAAUGUCAAAACUUGUUCGGAACAUAUUUUAAAUUCCUGAACAAAUUUUGAGAACAGGAACAUAAUAAAACAUGAAAAUGAGAACAUUUUUUAGGAUUACUGGACAUUUAUUAAAACACGAACAUUUUUUAACUUCUAAUCAAAACUUUGUAAUUACUGAAAGAUGUUUUGAAACACGAGUAUUUUUUGAAAUUCCCCGAAACAAUUUUUUUUAACAAANGUUUGAACAAAAACUUCAAAAGGAGAACAUUUUUUUUUAGAAAUUUUUGAAAAACUGAAACAUUUUUAAGAAAAAAAUGAAAAGAAAAGAUAAAAACGCGAAUAUUUUUUUAAAUAUCUNNNNNNNNNNNNNNNNNNNNNNNNNNNNNNNNNNNNNNNNNNNNNNNNNNNNNNNNNNNNNNNNNNNNNNNNNNNNNNNNNNNNNNNNNNNNNNNNNNNNCCAAAAACGGUCUCUGCCACUCGGCAUUGCUUAACCACACACACAUCCUCUCCAUCUUCUAUUGUUUGUCGUCGUCGUUGGUUUAGAGAUGCAGAAAAGGAGGCUUUCGUAUGCGGAAGAGUGUGUAACCACGGAAGGAGUAGAUUACGGCUAGCUGGCUGGCUGCUGGGACCGCCAUGAGACCAGGAGCAGCCCAUCGGUUUCGGCUCGCUGAAUUAUUUGCGGGCCCCUUUUUCUCUCAACAGAAUCUAUGGCUUUACACAUGGCUCCUUUUGUUUUUGGAAAAGGAGGUUAAACUCCCGGCAUCUACAACAGUAUCUUUAUUAAUUAUUUCAUAAAUGUCUGACAAGAACAUACAACAAUUUAUUCGAAGUCGUCACUCAUACCUACAAACUCGAUAAUGUAGAGUGCUUUCACUCACCAUAUCUAAAAUCGGUGUCAUCGGCAAUCCAUCCACAUAACGUAUCGGAACCAUCAGCCGGUGCAACAAACCUAAAGUGCAAACCAAAUGCACAUUUUUUAGAGUUCGCCAUCAUCAUCAUACCAUUUAUCCAUCUUCAGGAGAGAGAUCCGCACUAUCUUUGUCAGGCCNNNNNNNNNNNNNNNNNNNNNNNNNNNNNNNNNNNNNNNNNNNNNNNNNNNNNNNNNNNNNNNNNNNNNNNNNNNNNNNNNNNNNNNNNNNNNNNNNNNNGGUAGAUGAGUUCUCCGGCAGCGUGACGGCGCUCCGGAGGUUGGUGGUGAUCUAAUCUCAGCAGGGCUCCGCCCGAGCUCCGCAGAAACGCGAUCUAGAGGUAAAACCGUGGAGAUAUGUGGUCGGGCUGCCGUGGCAAAGUUGUCUCAAAUCAGCCCUAAAACCUCCGUAUAUAUAGGGGGAAGAGGGGGAGCCUUGCCUUGGGGUCCAAGGACCCCCAAGGGGUUCGGCCGAGCCAAGGGGGGCAACCCUCCCCUUCCAAACCGAGUCCAACUAGGUUUGGAAGGAGGAGUCCUUCCCCCUUUUCCCACCUCCUCUUUUUUCUCUUUGAUUUUCUUCCUAUGGCGCAUAGGGCCUUCUUGGGCUGUCCCACCAGCCCACUAAGGGCUGGUGCGCCACCCCCAAGGCCUAUGGGGCUUCCCCAGGGUGGGUUCCCCCCCCCCCCCGGAGAACACCCGGAACCCAUUCAUCAUUCCCGGUACAUUCCCGGUAACUCAGAAAACCUUCCGGUAAUCAAAUGAGGUCAUCCUAUAUAUCAAUCUUCGCCGUACAUUACCGGAACCCUCGUGACGUCCGUGAUCUCANNNNNNNNNNNNNNNNNNNNNNNNNNNNNNNNNNNNNNNNNNNNNNNNNNNNNNNNNNNNNNNNNNNNNNNNNNNNNNNNNNNNNNNNNNNNNNNNNNNNCUGACAUGUCAUCUAGUAAAGUGUAAGGAGGAGCAAAAGUGCAUGGAUGCGUGUACUGACCGAAUGGCGCACGUCAAGGCGGAGCGAAAAAUUGGCGCCUCUCAUGGCCAGGGGUUGGGUUCGACAAAUUUUUGGGCCGCUUGAAUUAGGUGGAGUGGAUAAAUACCGACCCCUAGGAUAAUAUUAUUGCCAUGUCGAUGUUGAUGGGUCGAUAAUACCGCAAGAAUUGUUAGAGCAAAUACAAUAGAGUUGAGUCAGUUGGCUAUAAAGAAUACAGUAGUAUAUAUAUUUUCUUAGUUGAAGAAAAAARGAGAAGAAAGAAGGUAUGCGGCCUCUUAGUUAAGAACUAGCUUUAGUACGUGCUCCUAAACAUUUUGUGAGAAUAAAUGGUGGACCAUAUAAUUAAAAAGUAGUAUACUCUUUUAACCAAAUAUUAUACAUGUUAGUUAUAAGAUGAACUAUAAGUGACAUGUCAAUGCCUUAACCAUGCUCUUAUGGUGUUAAGUUUAUGCAAAAGGACAUAUAUCGAUCAUAUAUGGGUAGCCUAGGACAGUGACACACAUGGGCCUGCAUUUUCGAUGGUGCGGAUCUCUCUUCAUCCCUGGUUAUAGUUCACCUAUCGAUUCACAUAUUUGUUUUGUUUUUUCUUUUUCAAAUGAAUGGGUCGUUUUGUGCAUGUUACACGUACCUAGCUAGUAUUCGUCCCACGCCAUUGCUUCUUGUCGUCCGCAUCAUGCACGAUCAAAUGCANNNNNNNNNNNNNNNNNNNNNNNNNNNNNNNNNNNNNNNNNNNNNNNNNNNNNNNNNNNNNNNNNNNNNNNNNNNNNNNNNNNNNNNNNNNNNNNNNNNNGUUUAGUUGUGUGUUCGAUGCUUCUAUAAAGGAAUAAUAGUGUUGUGCUCAAUGCUAGAUAAUUCUUCUAGAAAAAAUCAUUUCGAAUUCACAUGUAUUCGCAAUAGAUUAGCUAGUUUGGUUGAUGGAUAGUUUAUUUUUCAUUGUCCCAGGACACUAGAUACUGUAGAUGCUAAGUUCAUGUGAUUUCAUCUGAAAAUACAGUUCCCUGGAAAAUAAAUCUAAAAAACUUUUCGCAUGCAAACCUAAGUAGUGUCUACAGCUAGNGUCGCCGAAGCAUUUUGCAAGCCAGCAGUUUAACGGGAACAAAGAUACAUGCGUGAGUAGAACUCAAAAAUUUGAUUCGAUGAACGGAUACUAGAAUUUGCACGAACUCGCAGAAAGUAUAUAUUAUUUUUUCCUUUUCUAUUUCGUGCCAUGUCCAGUUACAGAGUAUGUUGCAUCAAUAUGUGGUGUCGCAGCACCGGCAAGGCUGAUAGCCUGGACCAAACUGACAUCUCGAUGUAUAUAGCCAUAUCUUACAAUGUAGAUUCAUUCUUUUUGCUUUAUAUGUUAUCCGUAACAGAAUUUUUUAAAAAGACUUAUGUUUAGAAACAGAGGAAGCAUGUGCAUUUUCUCCAUGCAUGUGCUGAUGAUUACAUUGCCAGCGAGCUGGCGCCCGAGACUGGGCACAAGACACAAGUCCACAUACAUAUCUGUCAGUUACUUAGUUUAGAAUAGUGUAUUAUUGGCGAACAAUUAUCGCAGAGAAUCUACACCANNNNNNNNNNNNNNNNNNNNNNNNNNNNNNNNNNNNNNNNNNNNNNNNNNNNNNNNNNNNNNNNNNNNNNNNNNNNNNNNNNNNNNNNNNNNNNNNNNNNACCAUUGUAAUUCAUGUGCAAUAGACAUGGCAACUUUUAACCCAACAAAAGUCAUACGCAUAUUGAUAUGAGAUCUGGUUUUUGAAGAUCUCUACGCGAUGGAUUUAAUGGUGAAAACGGAUCUUUAAUUGGAUUUUUUCAUUGAAGAGAUAAAACAUUUUAAAAACUGGAAUAAAAAAAGAUCCUCACAUGCAUGCAUGCGGUAACGUGACGCAAUAUAUGUGUUAUAGGUGUAUGGGCGGAUGUUUCUCCCACCACACGUGUGAGCAUUAUUACAACCCUAAAAAAAAAUUCUUAUUCCGUCAUGCUAUUUUAUGGAAAACCCAUUGAUGUUUCUGAUAAACCCGUAAUACAUCUAUACUUAUACUAAUUUUUGACUCCCCAAAAAUUACCACGUUAAUUAGAAAUUACCAGCCGUUUAUCUGGUGGGGCCGAAUUAUAACGAUGGAGAUCAAUCAAUGAAAUCCUUGGCAAAAAAGUUGUCCAUCUGAUCAUGAUAUUAACUAUCUACAACCGUUGGUUGAGGUUUAAGAGUCCUCACCCAAUGUCCCACGUCCUCUCUACAGAUCUAUUCUACCAAUGCACUCCAAGCUGUCAAAAAGAAAAAUAUCCAACGAGUUUUGACAACUACUCCAUACAACUGUCCGAUGGGUGCUAGGGAAAAUCUGGAAUUUAUUAUCACAAGAUUGUAGCCUUUCCAUCACGUACAUAGUCUUUUCUUUUCACAUAGCGACGUUACCCAGUGCUCCAGCCCUUGUUCUUCAUCCUUUUCAACUGCGUGUGUCUUCAUCUGGGCUGCAGGUCCAUCCGGCAACCACCGCAUCCAAUUGCAAUAUUAGUAAAUCUCUAAAAAACAUAGUUUUCUAUUUCAGUUUGUAUUUUUCUAAAGCAGAAAAUUUUAAUGCUUCUCAUCCGACUUUGUAUGAUAUCUGUUUCCUUGUAGUAGGGUCCAUGAUUUACAUUCAUUUACUGCCGGCAUCGUCCGCUUCAACGAAUUCAUUGGCAACCGGAACUCUCAUCCGACUUUGUAUGAUAUCNNNNNNNNNNNNNNNNNNNNNNNNNNNNNNNNNNNNNNNNNNNNNNNNNNNNNNNNNNNNNNNNNNNNNNNNNNNNNNNNNNNNNNNNNNNNNNNNNNNNCAGCCCGCCGGUCUAAAUCCUAAGCACAAAGGGUUCGUGGGCCCAGUUCCCCUUCACGCUCCUGCACGUGGCGUGGGCGGCCGACGUCAGUCCUAGCAUCCCUUAAUCACAAGCGCGAUGCAUCUCGGGACCACUCGGGCGCGCGCCGCUACAUUGCUGGCAUCUGAAAAGCUUCGAAUGAUACCGCGACGCCGAGUACCCAUAAUUCUUCCCGCGUAGCCGGUUAGUGCGAAAAGGUCUCCGACCAACCCAGAUCAAAUACCCAAAUCCAUUAGCAUAAUUAGGCCAGCAACACAGUCUCACGGGAAUCCACCCGUCUUACAACUAAUCACCAAUGAUCCCAGUAACAUGGUCGAGUAACUUUGUGGUUGUAACAUCGGGGGGAAUCCGAGGUAUCACCCUCGUUGGAUUCCGAACGAUGUACCCGUCAAGGUGGGCUUAGAGGAAUCACCCUCGGGGGUCCCACACUCGCGGGGUGGCACGAUAGAGACGUCAUCGGGAAUGGUGAAAGAGGAAUCAUCCUCGAUAACCAUGACCGACUAGCUAUACUACAGAGAUAUCAUCAGGAGUACUUAGUGAGGUGUCACCCUCGGUACCCGAUAGUAUCUCUGUAGCGUCGUACAACAAAAGGGGGGUGAACGUGUUGUGUCGGGUCUGGCUCGUCGAUCAGAGAUCGAGACUUGAAAACAAGCGAGGCAACUGGACUACGGGGUCAGAGGGGAGGCGACUGCUCCACCUAUACUAGGCAGAUUAAAAGGUACAGGACUGAAAGUAGCAGUUCAUCAAAAACAGGCUAUGCAUCAGAUAUAGGAGCUAACUACAACAGUAGCAAAAAUACUAAUGCAAGCAGUAGGAAGAAAGACAUAGACGAUAUAGGAAUGAUCAAGGGGAGUUUGCUUGCCUUGCUGCUCUGCGGCAAAGGACUGAUCGGCAGGGUCGUAGAUGUACCCGGCAGCAGCGUCAGUCUCGGGGUCUACCGGUAAGAAGAGGGGGAAGAAACAAUAAAUAAUAGCACCGAUGCAACACAAAGCAUGACAUGGCAAGAUGCAGGCUAGACAUGAGCUAACACAGCAACAUCCGUCAUAGACGGGUCGGAAGAAUAUCUGACGAUANCCGGGUUCUCGGGCUACUACCGGUUAUACUGGAAACGAAGAAAAUGUUCCAUGUUUGCUAUGCUAGGGACGCGUGACAGACGAAUGGACCGUGUAUCCGGGUUCGUCUCGCUUUGCUGAUCAACUUUCAUGUUGAAAUUAUUUCGAUCUGACUUACGGAUUAUUUAAUAUUAAUUUUCAAAGUUUUAUUAAUUAUUUAGGAAUUAAAAACAGNNNNNNNNNNNNNNNNNNNNNNNNNNNNNNNNNNNNNNNNNNNNNNNNNNNNNNNNNNNNNNNNNNNNNNNNNNNNNNNNNNNNNNNNNNNNNNNNNNNNCUUCAUUAUCAUCCAUUUUGCCACGUCAAAACAGAUCACAUCAGCCAGAAUAUUUUUGGUUUUCGGCUUAAAAUGUUUUAUCUCCUAUUAAAAAUCCAACUAAAAUUUUGUUUUUACUAUUAAAUCCGUUUCGACGAGAUCUUCAAAACUAGAUUCUAUGUUGAUAUGCUUCGAUGAAAAAAAAAUUUGGCCAAAAGUUGUCAUGAUGUUUACACAGUGGUUGUCAUAGUGUUUACACUAAAAUUGCCAUGACAUGUUCUAUCUAUUUGUUUUCUUCUAUAUUUAAAGUUACCGUUAUAUUUCAACUACUUUUUAGGCAAUUUUUAUUUAUUGACCAUGGUAACUUUUGGUAAUUAAACACGGAAAAUUUAUUGCAUGGAUCAUGACAAUUUUUAGUGAUCCAUCAUGGCCAUGUCAAAAUUUACUUUUAAAGGUAGAAGAAAAAUAGUUGAAACAUAUCAUGACAAAUUCAGUGUAAACACUAUGACAAUUCAUGUAUAAUAUACAUGGCAGCUUUUAAUCCAAAAAGUCGUCGAAACAUAUUGAUACGAGAUCUACUUUCGGAGAUCUCGUCGUGAUGGAUUUAAUGGUGAAAACGGAUCUUCAAUCGAAUUUUUCAUUUAAAAGAUAAAACAUUUUAAAACUAGAAUUCAAAAAAUUCCCACAUGCAUGCAUGCGGUAACGUGACUGCAAUCUGUGUGUUAUAAUCGUGUGGGCGGAUGUUACUCCCACCACACGUGUGGGCGUUAUCAGGACCCAUCUUUUUCUAUUUUUGGCUUAAAAAUGUUUUAUGUCCUAAUUAAUAAAUCCAAUUUAAAAUUUGUUUUCACCAUUAAAUCCUUCUCGACGAGAUCUUCAAAACUAGAUCCUAUGUUGAUAUGUUUUGAUGAAAAAAAUUGGCCAAAAGUUGUGUUGUUUACGCUGCAGUUGCCAUAGUGUUUACAUUAAAGUUGCCAUGACAUGUUUUAUUUAUUUUCUUCUAGAUUUAAAGCUACCGUUAUAUUUUCAACUACUUUUAUGGUAAUUUUUAAUUGACCAUGGCAAUUUUAUUAAUUAUCCAUUGCUAAUUUAAUGCAUGGAUCAUGGCAAUUCUUAGUACUUCAUGAAAAUUACUUUUAAAUGUAGAAGAAAAAAAUACCUGAAACAAGCAUAGCAACAUUAGUGUAAACACCAUUGUAAUUCAUGUGCAAUAGACAUGGCAACUUUUAACCCAACAAAAGUCAUCGAAACAUANNNNNNNNNNNNNNNNNNNNNNNNNNNNNNNNNNNNNNNNNNNNNNNNNNNNNNNNNNNNNNNNNNNNNNNNNNNNNNNNNNNNNNNNNNNNNNNNNNNNCGUGUAGUGGUUGCAGAGCGGGCGGCUCAUAGCGAGCGGGAGCCGGCAAACCGGUGGGCUCAGGUGGUGUUUCUUUGCCCAGAGACUAACUAAAAUUCCCUUUUAGUCCCUAGAUAAAGAAACAUAAGGGACUUUUCCUUAAGGAAUUAAAAGACUCUAUUGAACAGACUUUUUCUUUAGUCCCUGAGACUAAAAAGUACUAGUCCCUGGGAAAAACGCCACCUCACUCGCGAAGCGCUUCGCGGUCAAUAUCGUGCGAGUUAUGAUGGGCGUAGCCGGUGCCAAACGGGGCCGGCACGGUAUGGUCCGUGCAGGCACGAACAUUAGCUCGGUCGUGCCGUUUUGAUUCACGUGCGCAGCUUCUAGACCCAAGCACGACACUGAACCUAUACAGACCGAUUCGUCGGCACGCUAAGCUCGUUGUUUAUUAGGCAUUUGGUUUUGAGAUCGUUUUAGACUGAUUUUGGUCUAUUAGGCUAUUAUAUAUAUGUAAUUUAAAAMYAAAAUAAAAACUAUAAAUGGGUCGUGCCGUGCUGGCUCGCGUGUCCAGCCUUCAGGCCCAGGCACGGCUCGAGGCGAACUGCGGACACGGCCCGAUUAGUCUUUGUCGUGCCUGGCUCGUAACGUGUGUCGGUCCGUCAUGCUUCUAGACCGCCCAGAAAGCAUGGCAUGUUUGGCCAGGACUGGGCGUAGCACUUGGGCCCAUAUCGACUGGGCGUAGCACUUGGGCCCAUAUCGCGUUAACGCAUGGGCAUGGGCUUCGAGUAAAAAAAAUAGAUCUGAUCAUAAACUCAAAUUUCAUCGGAUCCCAGCAAACACAAUAAAAAAGACUCACAUCAUAUGGAUCUUCAAAAGACCAUUGUAUUGAUAAUUAAGAAAGAGAGAGGAAGUCAUCUAGUUAAUAACUACGGACCCGUAGGUCUACAAAGAACUACUCACGCAUUAUCGGAGAGGCACCAAUGGACAUGAUGAACCCCUUCGUGAUGGUGUCUAGAUUGGAUCUGGUGUUUUUGUACUCUUCGGCGGCUGGAAUUGAUUUUCGUCCCCCUCCUUAGGGUUUCNNNNNNNNNNNNNNNNNNNNNNNNNNNNNNNNNNNNNNNNNNNNNNNNNNNNNNNNNNNNNNNNNNNNNNNNNNNNNNNNNNNNNNNNNNNNNNNNNNNNUUCUAGAUUAUAUGCGGGUAUAUGGGUACACGGGUAUGGGUUAUACUAAACCAUACCCUACCCACUAUACCCGAUGGGUAUUGAAAAUUUUCCAUUUAUGUACCCACGUGUAUUUGUUUGGCUCAUACCCUUGCCUUAAUAGAAUUUUUAUCCACAAGGUACACGAGUGAUGGGUACCCAUUGCCAUCCCAGCACAGCUUCACAGUAAAAAGAAAAAUGUUGUAGCAAUUCAUUUUCUUAAAGGUGGUAGCACAAUGUACAUGUGCUUUUAGACGAUGAAAUAAAAUGUCACUUUUAUUGCCUCUGCAUCUUGCAAUUGCACACAAUCAAACUUUAUUCCUGACAACCGGUGACUUACCAUACGUACCAAUUAGAGAAAACCCUGUUCGCCGCAUUUUACGGCAAAUAGGGGAGGCUCCGCUCAACCCCCGGGAAGAUUUGGGCCGGCCCAAUUUGGGUUACCAUCGAUUUUCAAAACCUUCUAAGAGGUUCUUGAACCGGUUUUAAGAUUUUUUAUUGAUUUUUAAUUUUCUAUAUUUGUUUCUUUCUUUACUUUUUUUACUUUCUAUUGUUUAUUCUUUUUUAUUUCUUUUAAGGUUAUUUUAUAAACUAAGUUCAUGUUUNNNNNNNNNNNNNNNNNNNNNNNNNNNNNNNNNNNNNNNNNNNNNNNNNNNNNNNNNNNNNNNNNNNNNNNNNNNNNNNNNNNNNNNNNNNNNNNNNNNNAGGGAGGACCAAGUCCAUUUUUUUUGGACCCCGAUAAGUGCCACAUGUCAGGUACGAGCACAAUAUGACUUUGAAUUUUUUUAUGACAAAUUUAGUGAUGCGAGGGGCAACUUUUGUGCUUCAGUUUAUUUUUGACAGAAACUUGCCAUGUGUGACUGGAAUUUCCAUCGAAAAAUGUCAAGGACGGAGAUCAAGACUUACCAUUUUGGUUUUUUUAUUUCUUUAGCAAWUUUUUUAUUUUCWAUUUUUAGGGAACGGACCAAGUCCUUGUAUUCCUUCGCGUGUUAUAGGCCCAUCUUGUGGUUUCUGGUCUUUUUAAUUUUUUUGGCCAGGCCGCUUGAAAGAAAGUGGUCUGUGUAGGUUCACACCCAAUUUCAACCUGGUUUUCUAGUUCUCCCAAAUAUAUUAUCAGCACGCAUAUUUUUUAAUAAUACCUAUUGUCGCAAUGAUUCUUUUUCAGAAGAAGUAGCACUGCGCAUUACAUUAUUCUUCAUUUCUACAGAAGGGCGAACACACAAAUAGAAAUUAAAUAAAUCCAAUGAAUUCNNNNNNNNNNNNNNNNNNNNNNNNNNNNNNNNNNNNNNNNNNNNNNNNNNNNNNNNNNNNNNNNNNNNNNNNNNNNNNNNNNNNNNNNNNNNNNNNNNNNAUUCGAGUAUUUGCGGCCCGCCGGCAAACGCGUGAUCUGAAUACCCGCGAUGCGGCUACUUAACCACACCUAUGAUGGAUUAAUUGACAUGUUUUUGGUUACGGCUGGUGCAAUACAAGUUGAAGCUUUUACAUCAAGCAUUGAUGGAGUCCGCUGCUACGUUAUGGCUGGCACAAUAUGAGCGCCGCAAGAAUGGCAUGGUUUUGAUGCAACAGGGUCAGGCUAGCUAUGUAUUGGGAGGCUACGACGAAUCUGACGAAGACCGAACCGGAAGGACUACAUCAUAUACACCAAGGAGGCCGUGGCUAGCUAACCUCACCGUUGUUUAUUUUUUUGCGAUGAUAACCUCACCUUUUUUUGCUGACAUACACUAGUGGGAACAAGGUCUAUAGCCCCGGCCCGUAAGGGGUUUUAGUCCCGGUUCACCAACCGGGACUAAAGGGGCGAGACUAAAGGCCUAACCUUUAGUCCCGGCCCUGUUCCAAGCAGGGACCAAAGGUGCUCCACGUGGGCGUCUCGGAGCGUCCUCAGGGGCAGGCCCUUUAGUCCCGGGUCUUAACACGGACCGGGACUAAAGAGUUUCUGCAGAUUUAUUWUAKKKUKKKAGGGUUUUUAAGGUUUAGGUGUUCGGGAGAUUAACGUGAUGCCUCGUUUGGUGUUCGGGAAUUAGUUUUCAUAUAAUUCUAAAUAGAAAUAAUUAUGCAUAUAUAUAUAAGAUUAAGUUAUNNNNNNNNNNNNNNNNNNNNNNNNNNNNNNNNNNNNNNNNNNNNNNNNNNNNNNNNNNNNNNNNNNNNNNNNNNNNNNNNNNNNNNNNNNNNNNNNNNNNUUUUGAAGAUCUCUACGCGAUGGAUUUAAUGGUGAAAACGGAUCUUUAAUUGGAUUUUUCAUUGAAGAGAUAAAACAUUUUAAAAACUGGAAUAAAAAAAGAUCCUCACAUGCAUGCAUGCGGUAACGUGACGCAAUAUAUGUGUUAUAGGUGUAUGGGCGGAUGUUUCUCCCACCACACGUGUGAGCAUUAUUACAACCCUAAAAAAAUUCUUAUUCCGUCAUGCUAUUUUAUGGAAAACCCAUUGAUGUUUCUGAUAUUAAACCCGUAAUACAUCUAUACUUAUACUAAUUUUUGACUCCCCAAAAAUUACCACGUUAAUUAGAAAUUACCAGCCGUUUAUCUGGUGGGGCCGAAUUAUAACGAUGGAGAUCAAUCAAUGAAAUCCUUGGCAAAAAAAAGUUGUCCAUCUGAUCAUGAUAUUAACUAUCUACAACCGUUGGUUGAGGAAGUAGUCCUCACCCAAUGUCCCACGUCCUCUCUACAGAUCUAUUCUACCAAUGCACUCCAAGCUGUCAAAAAAAGAAAAAUAUCCAAACGAGUUUUUGACAACUACUCCAUACAACUGUCCGAUGGGUGCUAGGGAAAAUCUGGAAUUNNNNNNNNNNNNNNNNNNNNNNNNNNNNNNNNNNNNNNNNNNNNNNNNNNNNNNNNNNNNNNNNNNNNNNNNNNNNNNNNNNNNNNNNNNNNNNNNNNNNCAACACUAAAACAAGUUAUCCAUAGCCCAUUAUACUCAAUCAUUGAUCCAUUCAUGAAACACACUCGAAUAUUAGCUACACCCAAAGCUCAAAUACGAUCAUAGUGCCCCUUAGUUGGUGCUUUAUGAGAGAAGAUGAAGACUCAAAUUCAAAAUAAAAAUUGCAUAAGUAAAAGAAAGGCCCUUCGCAAAGGGAAGUAGGGAUUUGUUGAGGUGCCAGAGCUCAAAGAGAAAAUUGAGAAAUAAAAACAUUUUGAGAGGCAUACUUUUCCCACCAACGAAAACGACUUAGAGCUCCCAACACUUUUCAUGCUAGAUACAUCAUAGGCGGUUUCCAAACAGAAAAUAAAGUUUUUUUCCACCAUUACUUUCACUUUCCAUGGCUUGUCCGUAUCCACGGAUGCCCUCCAUACCAACACUUUCCAAGGAAUUUAUUAUUUGACAACAAAAAGUAUUUUUUUAUUUCGGGACUGGACAUCCCUAAUACCUUUUGUCGUACUCUCGUGCAAUGACAAGUGAAUAAGCACUCAACGUGAAAAUAACACAUCUAGCAUGAAAAAUAUUGGCCACCCCUCACCGCCUCGCGAGCAGUKGAGCACACAAAAGAGAAAUUUAUUUURGAAAAUUAGAGACGGCACAUGCAAAUUUGCUAAGAACGGCAUAGAAAUACUGCAUAUAGGUAGGUAUAGUGGACUCAUAUGAUAAAACUGGUUUAAAGGAUUUUUGGAUGCACAACUAGUGNNNNNNNNNNNNNNNNNNNNNNNNNNNNNNNNNNNNNNNNNNNNNNNNNNNNNNNNNNNNNNNNNNNNNNNNNNNNNNNNNNNNNNNNNNNNNNNNNNNNGGCAUGUGGACUGCAAAUCAGUGAGAGCGUGAGGUUACCAAGGAUGCUCAUGAUAAUAAGAUUCUGGAUCUUCUCCACCACUCACCUGACGGCUGGAAUUAUUGGCCACCAGCAGCGUGGAUCUAGUAUCCGCCUACUCCAUGGGUGCUGUCAUGGAUACCUGUUCUUGCCUUAUGCAUGCAUGUUGGUUGGUGUGCUUGGUGUUUUAGAAAGGAAAAUAAAGUAGCACCCCAACCGGCUUAGUCAGAAUUUCAUGUAGUUUGCACAACUUCACCGUGUUCUCUUCAUGAAACUACAUGAAAGUUUGCAUAUGAAGCUAGUUGUUCAUAUGCAAACCUUUGUAGCGUCUACUACAUGCUAGUUUAUCGGAAGUCUGUAUUUCGUGAAACCCAAUUAAUCAGCAAAGAAAAGAAAAAGACACAUGAUCACAACCGGUUUGUGUGGUUCCUGCCUUGCUAUUGUUGUCCACAAACAAAACUGAAUCAUUGCCACGUCGAACAAUGCAUUAUUGCACAUGCAUUAGUUGCUUCCAAGUUUGCUCCAAAAGAGGUUAUAAUCGACAAAAGACAAAUAGACACAACCUGAGAGUCAACAAGGUAACAACACACACACACACCCAUGUGUGCAUGCCAAGCGGAUGCAUGGUUCAUUCUUAACCUUGUUGAGUUAUCCACACUACAUACAUAUUGAUCCACACGUCUAUACGUGUUGAUAUGUGGCGGGUAAGUGGGCAACAUCACACAAAAACGAGCAUAGGUGGUGUAAAAAACUAUAAGCUGGCUGCCAAGCAGUAGAGUUUGCCAUGUCAACUAGUAUUAUGACUGACUGCAAUAAUAUGUUGCCAUUUGUCACACGUCGCCUUGUCGGCGUUGAGCUCCAAGCAUCGAGGUUACAACGCCCAUGUGCGUUCAUUUCUAUGGCCAACUUUUCAUCGCAUUGGUAGAUAACUACGGCCGGUAGCCUCUUCACAUGACUUCCUAAUCAUUGGUAGAUAUAUCAACUAUAGCCACUUGUUAUGUUGCGCGAGCACGCAACGUUUUGUGUGCCCACCGCCAAAAGAGAAAUGACAUCUCACAUGGCAUGGAUCUUAUAGAGCGACACGUGGAGAGAGCCACGUCUAGAAGUUUGGAUUUCAUGGAUGGGCCGGGUUUGAGANNNNNNNNNNNNNNNNNNNNNNNNNNNNNNNNNNNNNNNNNNNNNNNNNNNNNNNNNNNNNNNNNNNNNNNNNNNNNNNNNNNNNNNNNNNNNNNNNNNNCGGACGGGGUCAUUGGAUGGAUCGUGAACCGAAAUCAAUGGGAUGAUUCUAUGUCCACAAAGAAAUGCUUACAAGAACACCUAUGGCAUGAGUUAUGGAGCUUUACCAGGCGAUUGUCGUCAUGAUUUCGGAGUGUGCAUGUAUGUCGUCUGCUCAACAAGCUGCCACACACGUUUCCCUAAAAAACAAGCUGCCACAUGACUCUCGCAGCACUGCCAAGACCGAGUACGCCGGCCAGAAGGUCUGGAGGAGGCAGAUGAACAGCGACCCAGCAGUGUUCCUCGUACCAUGGGCUCCAACGCAACACCAUGUUGGAGAUUAGAAACUACUCCCUCUGUCUUAAAAUAACUGUCUUAACUUUGUACUACCUCUAGUGCAAAGUUGUACUAAGCUUAUGACACUUAUUUUAGAACGGAGGUAGUACCUUUUGGUGGAAAGGUUUGAGGGUGAAGAGGUUUGAGGACUAAUGCUUCGUGGGGACAAGUACUAGGAAAUCAAAAGAUUUGAGGUCAUAGUGGCAUCGCACAGGGUUGUGAUGCAUGUGAAAUUUCCGUCACGGUUUUUCCCUCUACACGGUAUUAGGAUAGAAUCACAUGCUAAUUGUACCGGGUAAUCGACCACUAAUCGGGAACACGAUCCACGUUCCAAAAUAAAGUCCCGAAGAUGUAUACCCCCACGCCGCACCUCCUCCAGGAAGGGUGGCGAGCCACAACCCCGUUCCUCGUUCCACAACCCGAGCGACCCACAUUCCCUGACAAUCAUGGCUAAAACAUGGAAAUAAAAUUUUUUACAAACAAAAUACAUGAGAAAGCAGAUUCCAUGGAACCAAAAAGCAGGCCCCACAAAUAAUGCAGCAAACCGAAACCGAUGGUGUUUUUGUCGGACCCACCUACCUUACUCUCCUAUGACCUUUCUUAUUAUCUGCNNNNNNNNNNNNNNNNNNNNNNNNNNNNNNNNNNNNNNNNNNNNNNNNNNNNNNNNNNNNNNNNNNNNNNNNNNNNNNNNNNNNNNNNNNNNNNNNNNNNUUUUUAACUUCUAAUCAAAACUUUGUAAUUACUGAAAGAUGUUUUGAAACACGAGUAUUUUUUGAAAUUCCCGAAACAAUUUUUUAACAAAUUUGUGAACAAAACUUCAAAGGAGAACAUUUUUUGAAAUUUUGAAAACUGAAACAUUUUAGAAAAAAUGAAAGAAAAGAUAAAAACGCGAAUAUUUUUAAAUAUCUGAGCUUUUGAUGAAAAAAUAAAAUGAAUUCAAAAACGGAAAGAAAAUAGAAAAAAAGAAAACAAAAAACGAAAAGCGUUUAGAUCUCUAAGACUUUAGUGAUCUACUCUUAGUGAUCCAAACACUGAUAUUGUUUUUUACAGAGGGAGUAUUUUAUUGUUUUUAGAAUGUUCUAGUAUUAGUGUAUUAUGUUGUCAAUUUCCAAUGUCAGUAUGAUAAACCAUGUUAUUAUUGUUCACACGAGACUUCAAUUCUGGGUCAUGUACAUAUUUGUCGGUUGAGAUAUACAUAACAAGGAUUGUCAUGAUACAUGAGUGACUUUUACUUUUCAUGACCAAUUCUUAUUUUACUCUUAAGAUUUUGUAAGGAAAAAUAAGCCACAUUGGGACAUCAAUGCAGUUAAUCCGUAUUUCNNNNNNNNNNNNNNNNNNNNNNNNNNNNNNNNNNNNNNNNNNNNNNNNNNNNNNNNNNNNNNNNNNNNNNNNNNNNNNNNNNNNNNNNNNNNNNNNNNNNAAAACAUUAAUUACCCAUUGACAAUAAUUGAUUAUUCAGCAAAGAAUCCUAGGUAUCAAUCAUUGAUAGCAAAUAAAUAGUGUACCUAACUAUGGGGUAAGCAGACAAGACAGCCCUUUUCCUUGUCUAAUCCCAGUUUGGUUGGUUCUAACAAAAAUAUUUAGUUUUUGGUUUGUUGGUACUACCAAGUUAACAACUUUUCAUUUAAAAAAAAGUUAACAACUUUUGCCUGCCACUAGAUCACAUGCUACCACACGAUUGAUUCUUGGGUAAGCAGAGUUUGUAGGACACACCCUUUUCUUAUCUCAUCCCAGUUUGGUUCAUGCUAACAGAAUUUUUUUACUUGUUAUUGUCCAGUUAUAGGCAGGUUCUUGGACCAGAUUACCAUUCUUGGCAUGCCACUAGGUUGAAGGUAUCCGCAACUAACUUGAACUAGGCUAAAGGAAGCUAGGAGACACUUGACAACGGGAUGACAGCAACAUUGAUGUAGCUGCUAUCUAUCCAUGAUUCAUCCCAUGUGGUUGCUAUUGUUGUUUGCACUCAUUGACCAUGGGCCCACCGGCCGUUGCCAGCAAAGGANNNNNNNNNNNNNNNNNNNNNNNNNNNNNNNNNNNNNNNNNNNNNNNNNNNNNNNNNNNNNNNNNNNNNNNNNNNNNNNNNNNNNNNNNNNNNNNNNNNNUGUCAUCAUCCUCUUGUUCUUCAUUCUUUUCCAUUAGAACCCCUCUUUCUCCGUACUUGGUCCAACAGUCAUAGCCGGACAUGAAACCAGACGUAAACUGGUGGACUUGAAUGACUUUUGGCUUAGAGUAAAUGCUAUCAUAUUAACGACAUAUUUUCUAAUUUUUCUAAUCUUCAAGCGCAUUGCAUCCAUAUUGAUCUUGUUAUCAUCGACAACAUCGGAGACAUACAACUCUAUUUUCAUCUUCUCUUCUUCAAUUCUYUUCAAAAAAAAAUUCAAAUACUCGUUUUCUUUUUCAACUAAAUUUAACUUCUCAACAAGAGGGUCGGUUGAAAAUUUCCGGUUCACAUACCUCCUUGAUAAAAAUAUCUAUGUUAACUUGAUGGGCAUAAUUGUCAUAAACGAGAAAUGCAACAAAUACUUAUAGAAGAGAAUAUACCACAUCCGAAUUAUAAACCGGACGAGGGCCGACGGGAUGGAUAUCAAGACCAUGGCACUAUGUAUAACAAACAAUCAUACAUGUAAGAACACUAUUUAAAUCAUACAAAUAAGAUUUUUGAAUAAAAGGAUAAGAACAAGAGGAUCACCAAGGUGGUGCCGGCGACGGGACGGUGCGGACGAUCGAUGGUGGUUAGGACGGGGACGGGAAGGCACUAAGUAAUCCACAUGUGCAAAAUAAGAAGUUAAUUUAAUCUCAGAUUGCAUAUAAAUCAAAUAAACUCCCACAAAAAUUAUUCCCCAAACUAAAACCACAAAUCACUAUACUUAUAGAGCAUUGCACGAGCUAAUCCAGCAANNNNNNNNNNNNNNNNNNNNNNNNNNNNNNNNNNNNNNNNNNNNNNNNNNNNNNNNNNNNNNNNNNNNNNNNNNNNNNNNNNNNNNNNNNNNNNNNNNNNAAGCUUAGGAUCCCAAUGUGCUGGAAAGACUAAAUGGUCCAGGCCAAAGGCCCGUUUUCUACUAGUGCGGUGGAGUUGAGUUCUCAAAGGGAGCCCUACCAGGGUUUGGGAGUUAUGCGGCGGCACUCAUGACUUGGAGCCGGCUCGGCAUAGCCUACAUCGACAACCAGCGAUGGGGACCCGAAGCGAAUUCCCUGGAAUCAGGCUACAGGGUCCCCUUCGGCAAGAUCAACGUCUUCAUCGGCAUGAUCGGGUCAUCCGUUCCUGAGCCGGACAUCUCCUCUGACAUCGUCGAGCCGGCCAGGUACGUUCAUCCAGUCAUAACACGGAAUCUGACCCGCCCAGUCUUUGUGGGAUUCACGCAGGGGUCGGAGGAGCCGGAACACGCGGCGGCUCAAGGAGUCACCCCCGUCAACUCUGACGACGAGUCAUCCAUGGGCGAUUCAGACUCCAUCCAGCCCCUCCACGGAGACGGCCUCGGAGGCCUGUCAUUGGCCAUGCAUCCGGAAAUCCUCGAUCGAACCCGCCGCCAGAUCGCAAUCUACAUGGCCGGGGCGACUCAACCCGCGCACAAUCCCGCCGGGGGCGAUGGAACCGGCGGGACGUCCAAAAGUGCGUCGGCAAUCUUGGUGGAAUUAGCGGCGGAAAUCACAAGACUAAUGUCAACCCCCCUGACGCCGGAGAACCAAGAAGAGAUAAAUGCGGAGUUAGCAAAAUUGAGGGAGGCGGUGGCGAAGGCCCAUCAGGAUGCUGAGACAGAGUCCGCCAGGAUGGAGACUCGACAAGCCCAGAUUACGGCCGAGAGGAUGCGAUUGAACAUCGACAACUGGCGGCUUGAAAGACAGCAGCGCGCAUCCGACGCCGUCCAUCAACAGAGACACCAGGGACGCCUGCCCCACGAUCUCAAUCCGACUCGCCUGUUCGACACUCCCCAAACACCCGGGAUGGGAGCCGCCCCAGCAGGAGGGUUGGGCCGCCCCCCUAACCCGCCGAUUCAGCCAACCGAGGGUCAAAUCCCUCGGUUCCGUACCCCUCGAGGCCACUUCUCGAACCCGGUGGAUAAUGUGCUUGCCGCCACUCGCCAUCUGGAGUCUCUCCCGAUCCACGGCAACACCCCAGCCGAGAUCGAGGCGAGGAACGCCAUCGAGAUGUUGAAAACGGCGGUGGUCCAAAACGCGCAGUUCUCGCACAGCCCCGAGCGAUUGCAUUCCACCCCCAGGCGAGUUACACCAGGGGCUGGCCGGAGGAUCAGCCAGCCGUAAACAGCGCCCCGCGACAGGACAACCCGCCUGAGCGGGACCCGCCGGGCAGAGGUCCCCCUAACAUUCAAGAGAUUCAGACUCCUCCCGUGGGAACUGGAGGGCGAGUGGGGGUGCCCUGUUUGUCCCUGGCCCUUCAAAACGAAAGGAUGCCCAAGGAUUUCAAAGGACCAAGAAAGGUGCCUAAUUACACACCAGAUCUCGAACCAACGUCUUGGAUCGAGGGCUAUGAGAUCGCCAUGGAUAUGCUCGACGUGAACGAGGCGGUUUGCGCCAGAUAUUUCACCAUGAUGCUCGAAGGAUCGGCACGCACUUGGUUGAAAAACCUACCCCCCCCCCCCAAUUCCAUCCAUUCCUAGGCCGAGUUGAAGGAGCGCUUCAUCAAAAACUUCCGGGGAACCUGCAAACGGCCGAUGACGAUCGUCGACUUACAACACUGCGUGCAACGCCCGGAUGAGUCGGCGCACCAUUGGUCGCGGCGAGUCCCGGAAAUCAUUCAUUCAUCGGAUGGCAUCACGGCAGCACAAGCUAUGCUUAUCCUCGAGCACAACUGCCACUAUGAACCGCUGUUCCAGAAACUGGGGCGACUCAAGCGGAAGGUUCAGGAUAUGGGCGAGCUGAUGGAUACCCUCACUAGGUACGCCGAGGCUGACGAUACCAAGGAUCCCGGCGAGAAUGGUAAAGCUAACUCACCCAAGAAGGGCGACUCGACUAAAAGCCACACCCGCCUCCAAGGCCGGAACCGUCACAACCAGGGGACCAACGGCAAGCGUAGGCCGCAUGAGGAGCCCUCGGAUCUGGUUGCCAACACCAAUGCCAAUGACGGCAAAACGAAGAAUCGAGGCUUCAGUGGGAAAAGACCGCGUAACUACGAAGAGCUACUUAAACGCCCAUGCCCGCACCACGCCACGACCGACGGCCCGGCGGGUCACUCUUGGGAGAACUGCUUCGUGAUGCGAGAAUUUCGGGCCGAGGCAAUCAAGAAGAGCCAGAGCGAAGAUCCGAACCGUCGCCAGGACCAACUCGCCGCACCCAACCAAAGGCACAACCCCUUCGGCGGUUUUCCCGAACAAGAGGCAUAGGGGGGCCCGCAGCCAGGCGGCGGCCAGUACCCGGUGCACCACCACUGGCAGUACAACUCGCCGGGAGUUUUCCAACAGCCGCCCCCACAGGGGGCCCCGCAGGAUCAAGAUGACCAUGGGGGCUUCCGCAAUAAUCCUAAACAGCUAAGUAAUGGGCAAUAUCAUGUUUUUACCACUAAUGCCUGCAGGCACGAUAAAAAGGUACAUCACCGGGCGUUCAGCGUGAUUGAACCGGCAGUUCCCAGAUAUCUCCAUUGGUCAGAGCAGACCAUAACAUGGAGCAGAGAGGAUCACCCGCCACGAAUAGAUAACCCGGGCGACCUGGCAUUGGUCGUGGCUCCCCAAGUGGGGGGAUACACUCUAUCGAAAGUAUUAAUGGAUGGUGGCAGCAGCAUUAAUAUCCUAUACUUCGACACCUUCCGGAGGAUGAAUCUGUUAGAGAAAGACUUGAUGCCUUCAACCACGGUUUUCCACGGCAUCGUCCCGGGCAAGUCGGCCUAUCCCAUAGGCCGGGUUAGGCUCUCAGUAGCGUUCGGAACUGCGCAGAAUUACAGGUCGGAGUCUCUGAUAUUUGAGGUGGUCAAACUAAAAAGCCCGUACCAUGCGUUGUUUGGGCGACCGGCUUACGCUCGGUUCAUGGCCCGCCCGUGCUACGUUUACCUCAAGCUCAAAAUGCCGGGUCCUAAUGGGCCUAUCAAAAUUGAUGGAGAUAGAAGGAUCGCAAAGGAGUGUGAGGAAGGAGACGCGGCCUAUGCGGAAGUCGCCUGCGCGGCAGAAGAACUCAAAAACCACCGGGCUAAUGUUAACCCGGCCGACAUGUCGCCGCUGAAGAAGCCAACUACAGAUUCCGAGUCGCCCCUCAAGUUCAAAGCAACGGAUGACACGAAGACAGUCGACUUCGUCCCUGGCGAUUCAUCCAAGCAGUUUACCAUUGGGACGGGUCUGGACCCCAAAUAGGAAAGCGCGCUCAUCGAAUUCAUCCGUGAGAAUCGGGACAUCUUCGCAUGGAAACCCUCUGACAUGCCGGGUGUACUGAGAGAAUUCGCUGAGCACCAUCUUAAUAUUGACCCAAAAUGCAAACCUAUCCAACAAUACCUUCGCAGGUUUAAUGAGGAGCGACGGAAGGCGAUUGGAGAGGAAGUCGCCCGUCUCUUAGCUGCUGGGUUCAUCGUGGAAGUUUUUCACCCCAAAUGGCUAGCUAACCCGGUGUUAGUACUCAAGAAUAAUGGCACGUUCCGUAUGUGUAUUGAUUAUACGGACCUCAACAGAGCUUGUCCCAAGGAUCCUUUCGCUCUUCCCCGCAUCAACCAAAUUAUCGACUCGGUGGCGGGAUGCGAACGAUUGUGCUUCUUGGACGCCUAUUCAGGCUAUCAUCAGAUCAAAAUGGCUGUGAAAGAUCAGGAGAAGACUGCUUUCAUAACCCCCUUCGGGGCCUUUUGCUAUGUAUCCAUGCCAUUCGGGCUCAAGAGCGCAGGGGCGACUUACCAACGCUGCAUCCAGAAUUGUCUUCAUAGCCAAAUUGGCCGCAACGUCCACGCCUAUGUUGACGACAUUGUGAUCAAAACUCGCCGGGAGGAGACACUUCUCGAGGAUCUUAAGGAAACCUUUGAUAAUUUACGGGUAUAUCAGAUGAAGCUAAACCCUACCAAGUGCAUUUUCGGCGUACCUGCGGGAAAACUACUGGGUUUCUUGGUAUCAGAGCGCGGCAUCGAGGCUAACCCGGAAAAAAAUGAAGCAGUUACUUCACUCAGCAAGCCGACGAACGUUAAUCAAGUUCAGCGAUUGGCGGGUCGUGUAGCGGCUCUCAGCCGUUUCGUGAGCCGCCUCAGAGAAAAGGCGAUUCCUCUUUAUCAACUGUUGAGAAAGUCUGACCGAUUCGGGUGGACAGAGGAGGCUGACGAGGCGUUUCAGGCCUUGAAACAUCAAUUGGUUAACCCGCCGGUCCUGGCGGCCCCGACUGAAAGGGAGCCUAUGCUCCUGUAUAUCGCCGCAAAUUCCAAAGCGGUCAGCGUGGCUGUGGUCGUCGAGAGAAAGGAGGAAGGAAAGGAAUACCCGGUACAACGCCCGGUGUACUUCGUCAGUGAGGUGUUAACCCUUUCCAAACAGCGAUACCCACAUUGGCAGAAGCUGGUCUAUGGGGUGUUCAUGGCGAGUCGAAAGCUCAAACAUUAUUUCCAAGAACAUCCGAUCACCGUGGUCAGUUUCGCACCCCUUGGUGACGUCAUCCAAAAUCGCGAGGCAACGGGGCGAAUCGCCAAAUGGGCAAUAGAACUUGGGUCGCAUCACAUACAGUAUACCCCCCGCACGGCCAUCAAGUCCCAGGCGCUAGUUGAUUUCGUCAAUGAUUGGACGGAGCUUCAGGUUCCGGAGGAUCGGCCUGACCUUACCUAUUGGACCAUUUAUUUUGAUGGAUCCAGGCAGUUGGAGGGUUCGGGGGCGGGUGUGGUGUUAAUAUCCCCCCAAGGAGAUAAGUUCUGCUACGUCCUCCGGCUCAUGUUCCCUUGCACAAAUAAUGCGGCAGAGUAUGAAGCCCUGCUUCACGGUUUGCGACUCGCAAAAGAGAUGAACCUAACCCGAGUCAGAUGCUUUGGGGAUUCAGAUUUGAUGGCGCAACAGGUUUCGGGCGCUUGGGACUCUCGAGAUCCUAUGAUGGCGGCUUAUAGGCGGGCUGUAUCUAACGUGGCGGGCUAUUUUCAUGGGUACCAGGUUGAUCAUAUUGAUCGGCGACUUAACGAGGCAGCCGACGCCCUCUCGCGACUCGGCUCACAGAGAAAGCCGGUUCCCCCUAAUGUGUUCCUGGAUGUCCUGCAUAAACCGUCCGUGACUGUUCCCACGGAGGAGGAAUUGGCGAUACCAGAUCCCGAGUCUCAGCUUGUGGCGGCUCUCCAUGUUGCUCCGGAUUGGGCUCUGCCUUACUUAGCUUAUCUUGCUCGUGGCGAGUUACCCACUGACGAAGUUCUGGCUCGCCAGAUUGUUCGGCUUAGCAAGUCCAUGGUUAUCAUUAAUGGCGAGUUAUAUAAGCGAAGCACUUCGGGACUCUUUCAGCGGUGCGUUUCUUCCGAGGAAGGGUGCGUGAUCCUAAAUUACAUCCAUUCUGGGGACUGCGGGCAUCACGCCGGGUCACGUUCUUUGGUAUCAAAAGCUUUCCGACAUGGUUUCUUCUGGUUGACGGCUCACGCAGACGCAGAAGACAUAGUGCGGCGGUGUGAGGGGUGCCAACGAUAUGGGAAACAGGCUCAUGUGCCGGCUCAAGAAUUAAGGAUGAUCCCCAUUACUUGGCCUUUCGCGGUCUGGGGGCUGGACAUGGUCGGUCCCUUUAAGGUGUCCUCCAACAAGAAAACUCAUUUGUUGGUGGCGGUUGAUAAAUUCACUAAAUGGAUUGAGGCGGAACCGGUCGGGGCUUGCGACGCGGAGACCGCGGUAAAAUUUCUGAAGAAGUUGAUUUUCCGUUUUGGAUAUCCACACAGCAUCAUCACGGACAAUGGUACUAACUUGUCCCAAGGAGCGAUGCUGGAUUUCUAUCGCCGCGAACACAUCCGGCUUGAUAUCUCGGCAGUCGCUCACCCGCAGUCGAACGGGCAGGCCGAGCGGGCGAAUCAGGAAGUCUUGCGAGGAAUCAAACCUCGGCUCAUACCUCCCCUAGAAAGAACUCCAGGAUGUUGGGUGGAGGAGUUACCUUCGGUAUUAUGGAGCAUCCGGACCACCCCGAAUCGGUCCACGGGGUUCACCCCUUUCUUUUUGGUAUAUGGAGCAGAAGCCGUUCUCCCUACCGACAUAAGGCAUGAUUCUCUUAGAGUCGUCACAUAUGUGGAGCAAGACAACGAGCUGACGCGUCAGGAUUCUUUGGAUGCUUUGGAGGAGGCACGCGACUUAGCAGCGGCUCGUUCGGCGAUCUAUCAGCAAGAUCUGCGGCGUUAUCAUAGUCGCCGAGUGAAGAGUCGGAUUUUCCAGGAAGGCGAUUUGGUGCUUCGACUGAUUCAAGAUCGGGCAGGCAUGCACAAACUUUCGUCCCCGUGGGAGGGGCCUUUCGUUGUCAGCAAAAACCUCCGCAAUGGCUCUUACUACUUGAUGGAUCUUCGGCCUGAUCGACCGACUACGGGGGCUGAGUCAACUCGCCCUUGGAAUAUUGCCCAUUUGCGGCCCUACUACACUUGAGUUCUUAAAACUCCAUGCUUUGUAAGUUUUUCAGUUUCACUAUGACGUAAUAUAAUGUUUCCCUAUCUUGGGGGCUUCUUUAAAAGAAAGCAAUGUCAUGACAUCCUGUUGCGACCUUAUGAGCUGACAGAACAUGCAUGAAGGGUGGGUGCACGAGNNNNNNNNNNNNNNNNNNNNNNNNNNNNNNNNNNNNNNNNNNNNNNNNNNNNNNNNNNNNNNNNNNNNNNNNNNNNNNNNNNNNNNNNNNNNNNNNNNNNNNNNNNNNNNNNNNNNNNNNNNNNNNNNNNNNNNNNNNNNNNNNNNNNNNNNNNNNNNNNNNNNNNNNNNNNNNNNNNNNNNNNNNNNNNNNNNNNNNNNNNNNNNNNNNNNNNNNNNNNNNNNNNNNNNNNNNNNNNNNNNNNNNNNNNNNNNNNNNNNNNNNNNNNNNNNNNNNNNNNNNNNNNNNNNNNNNNNNNNNNNNNNNNNNNNNNNNNNNNNNNNNNNNNNNNNNNNNNNNNNNNNNNNNNNNNNNNNNNNNNNNNNNNNNNNNNNNNNNNNNNNNNNNNNNNNNNNNNNNNNNNNNNNNNNNNNNNNNNNNNNNNNNNNNNNNNNNNNNNNNNNNAGCUUUCUGACUCGCCUUCCCCUGUCGCGACUGUAUGAGCCGACAAAAUUACUCGUGUUAUGGUUUGACCUUGGCAGACUAAGCACUGCAACCAUUUUUGAUAAGGAUUAACCAAAUAUUUUAACCCGCCUCAAGAGCGGUACAAGGGUUUUUUGCAGAUGUCAUCAAAGGAUAGUACUAGCUAUUACAUGGCUCUUGGGCCAAAUUCAAGGAAAAUUUAUUUCGCUAAGUCCUGGUGUGAGCUCUGACCAGCCUCGAUCUGUAAGUCGCCCAGAACCCAAUUGCAUCGGGACAAAGAGGCAAAAUCAUCUUCGUCGGUCAAGAUUGAUGCCAGGUCUGCUUCCCAGUCAAAGGGAUUUUUGGGUCGCCGAGGGAUCAGAUUGGUCACCACGAAGGUUGGCGGGCUGAUUUUCUUAUUCUUCUCAUCGUAAGCCGCCUGAUAUUUCGUCAAGUCAAGGCUGGCGGGGAGCUGAGUGGCGGCCAACCGAGAGUCUUUGACAACCUUCUGGUAGUCUUCUUCCAUGAAUUCCGAGCCAUCAUCUUUGAGCUGAGAGAAGCCGGCAACCACCUCUUCCAAAUUGAUUUCCGAAGCGUACGCCGAGCAGCGACUCAGAGCCGUCAGGACACCCUUUCGGGCGGCUGAUCGGGUUAACUCGCCGAUCUGGGGAGGCAGCGUGGAUAGAUAUUCAAGGACCUUUUUGAUGGAAGUUAUGGGCUCCUUUGCACCUAUCAUGGCUUUGACGGUCAGUACGCUGCCUGUGUACAGUUGUUCCGUCAGUGUAUAGAUCGCCUUCAGCAUCAACACGCAGUCAUCUUGAAGAUUGGCGACUCUCGAGCCUGGGAUUGAAUAACCGGUAAGUUAGCGGUAAGGAAUUUGCUCAAAGAAGAGGAUAGGAUUCGAAAGUUAGAUAAAAAGCUUACCAAAGAUGGCUUGUGUCAUGUUGGAAAUAUGGCGCUUUAAGCCGGAUAGCUCUUGCUGCACAGUCGCCAGUUUGGCUUCUGCUUUUUCGGCUCUUGUCAAGGCAGUAUUACGGUCAGCCCGAGUUCUUUCUAACUCGGCUUUGAGCUUUUCCAUUUCAACUAGAGCCAACUUGUAUUUGUCUUCUGAUUGAGUUCGGGCAUCCUGCUGGUCCGCCAAAUUUUUCUUUAAAUCACCCAGGGCCAGUUCGGUUUGGACAAGGCUUUCCUGUUUAAAUUUUUUUUUUUAAAAAAAACAAAGACAAGUCUCAGAAUUAUUGCAAGGCAAUACCCCUGACACUUGGGGGCUAAUGUAUAAUUUCUCAAAGGAAAUUAUACAGAAAUUGAGACCCGGCUCAUCAUUUUACUGAUGACCCGGCCCCUGGGGGUUACUGGUCGUGAAGCUUGUUAAAAAGACCCGGCUCAUCAUUUUACUGAUGACCCGGCCCCUGGGGGUUACUGGUCGUGAAGCUUGUUAAAAAGACCCGACUCAUCAUUUACUGAUGACCCGGCCCUUGGGGGUUACUGGGAAUAGUAAAGUAUAAAAUUUACCUCAUGCUUGUGAUUUAACAUCUUCAGCAGAUUCUUCUCCAUCUCAUAACUCGCUUCCAGGCGACUUGCGAAGCCGGAACAGAGUUCUUUGAAUUCCAGACCUGCGUAGUCAGAAAGUUUCGCCUUGGAAGGCCCAGACUCGGGAAUCGAUGGAGGAGGUGAUGCUGUGUGCUUGGAGAGGAUCGUCGUUGCCGGCUUGGAGAAACCAAAACCAGUAACGACUACAGCAUCUGGUUCUUCAGCUGUUGCCAUUACGACCGGUGAUCUAGGGACAUCCGGUGACCCUUUGGGCGACUCAGGAAAGUCCGCUUGAAUUGUCGGCUCGUCUUGACUCGGGCCAUCUUGGGUCGGAGUAGUUUUCAUUGGAGGCUCAGAAGUGGCGUCAGGGAUUGAUCCACUGGUCUUCCUUUUUUUGGCUUGCGCCCUAAUGAAAGAGAUAGGUAUGUUUAAAAAUUAAAAAGCAUGCUUUCUCAAGGAUCAAUAUAAGAAAAUUACCCUGGGACUCGGAUCAUUGGUGGAAGGGUCGACAUCACUGAGUCGCCAGAAGUAGGGGGAGAAUCCUGCAGAAUUUGUACAUCGAUGAUACAGGCGGGUUAUGAUUAUGAUCCAAAGCAGCACAAACAAUGGUUGCACAAAUAAGAAAAAGGGGGGAGGUACCUUGCUUGGUUUUCUUUUGCUCGUUGUUGGCAAGCCAGGUGUUAAGUCGCCGGAAUGACUUCGUGUUUUCCGUUUCGAGGCAUGCUGCAUUUUCUUCAGUAAGAAAUUUGGGUCCAAAUGGGCAUUUGGAUGUGAGAGAGGUACUUUCCCACAUAUUCGCCGGGCCGGCUUAGGUGGUGAAGGAGAUGAAUCGGAGGAGACGGAAAUUACCUCGACAGAAUCUUCCUGGCUUUCGUUAUCUUCAUUCUGUUACGAGAGGAGUAAGAGAUGUAAAUGAAAGUUGGAAAGGUGAUAGGCGGCGAGUGAAAAAGAGGACGGAUUGGUACCUCUGAGAGGGCGUCGCCGGCUUGGGAUUCGUCGACUUCAGAUGGCUCGGCCGCAGUGGAUUUACCUUUGCCUUUGCUCUUCUUGGAAGGCGGCUUAGCACUUUUCAUGGCUUGCUUCUUAGGUCUCCUAGACCAGAACUUGUCGCCUUUCUGGAAAGGGUAUGGCAUAAAGUCAUGAUGGCAGUAAGGCGGAUGAAAUAAAAUGGCGAGUUAGCUUUGGUUACCUUGGGUGCCGGGUUAAUCUUGCAGAAGGGCUUAAGGCCGAUUUGGCCGCACUUUGCUGCAGGUUCACCAGUCAAUUUCCUGAUGAUGGCGACGAUAUCUUUUUCCGUUAACUCUGUGUGGAAAUAGCAUCGGGGAUGAUCCAGAGUGCCGUCAAAAUCGCACAUCAGGCCAUCUCGGCGACUCAGAGGAAGGAUCCGCCAUUCGACCCAGCAGCGGAUCAGGUCGAUCCCGGUGAGACCAUUGUUAGUCAGAGAUCUCAACUCGGACAGAACUGGGAUAAAGUCCGACUCUUCUUCUUCGGUGAGCUUGCCAGGGAGCUUAAAGUUGACUGGAAGGCGGGUUGGCCUAUAGCCCAGCAGUUUGCUCUCGCCAGCAGGGGAUGUUUCCUUGCAGUAAAACCAAGAUUCACCCCAACCUUUGGGGUGGCUAGGCAUAGUGAGUGAAGGAAACGGACUGUCCCUGCGACGUUGAACGUUGACCCCGCCAAGCUCCAAACUGGGGCCAUUGUGGAACUCCGUCUGGCGAUUCAAGUGGAAAAAGUCCAAAACAGAGGGACGGAAGGCUCGAUCCGCAAAUAAGCUUCGCAAAGGACUUGGAAUUGACAUAGGUUGCUUAUGGAAUUGGGUCCCAAAUCCUGGAGUCGGACAUUCAUGAAGCUCAGGGCGUCCCUAAGGAAUUUGGAUCCUGGCGGCUUGAAACCCCGUUCCAAGUGUUCCACGAAAACUACUAUCUCCCCUUCCUUGGGGUUGGGGAGGUCCUCUCCUAACCCGGUGCGCCAUCCGAUGACAUCUUGGGGAUCCAAGCAGCCGGUUUUCACGUAAUUCGCCAACACAGCAUCGUCGACCUUGGUGGGAAGCCAGUCACUCUUGAAAACGGCACCCAUGCUACAAAUAGGUAAGAGUGGCAUUACAUGUCUCGAACAUUUACUAUGUGAAUCGGGGUCGGCUCUCCGCUUAACCCGCCGGACUCGAUAGCCGAGUCAGGCCGAUGUGGCGACUUAUCGGAGCAGGGCUAUUCUCGAGAGUAAUCUAUUCUUUACGAAACGCUAAGGAAAAGACGGAGUUCCCAAACAACUUUCUACAAACAGUGAAUGAGAAAUAGAUCUGUUGGACAGUUAUAAGGGUUCGUCAGCGUGGCUCAAACAUGGACGAUGUGCUGUCGGGGUGGUGCCUCAUGCUUAGAGAAACUAGUACAUCUAGAAAAACCGCAAGGGCGUAGAUGGAUAAGGCUGUCCAAAACGCCGGAGCCCUAAUGGCAUUUGGACCAAUCAGUUCGGAGGUGACAAUUUGUUGCAAGCAAAGGUUUUUUUCUCGGGAGCAUGGCAAUGGCGGAAGCAAGAACAGGGGACAAAUCUGCCCUUAAAAGGAGGGGAGAUGGUGGCCUAACCUGGAGAUCUUGGUCGGAGAAGGCCGACGAUGACCGAGGCUGUAGGAGAGUUGCGGGGACCCUCGGCGGCGACAGAGCUUGGCGGCGGCGACGGUUCGCAGGCGGCGUCGGAGCUCCUCGAGCAGCGACGGCUUGCGGGCGGCGCUGGAGUUCCUCGAGCGGUGGCGGUUUGCGAGUGACGCCGGAGUCCUCGAGCGGUGGCUGGUGGCGAACGGCACCGGAGUUCUUCGGAUAAGGGCAGAAGUUGCGGUCGGCGGCGGAGUCUUCGGGAUGCGUCGCUCGUAUUUCCUCGCUGUGAUGAUGGUGGAGAGAUCGACGGGACUGGUAGGUGGAUGCUGUCAGCCCUGUCCCCUCCGCCUAUUUAUCAGGAGGGGCGCGGGAAUCGAGGCGCCGUGAGCGGGAACCGUUGAGAAGGAAAAGAUUCGUUUUGAUGACGUCCGAAAAUUUUGGGAUAAUGAUGCGCCCGAAGGAUCCGUUGGGAUUGUGUUGGAGUUCCCAAAAAUCGAGGGUUAAGGAAGGCGCCGAGGGGAAAUGCGUUGGCGGUUCAAAGAUUUCUUUCAGUAUCGUUUGGCGAGUUAAAAUUUCUGGCGCAUGGAGAACGUCGAAGAGUGAAUCACCUUCAAUUAAAAAUAAAGCAUUGGCAUGAGGAUUCAAGUUAAUUUGGGGCCUAAUGUUGGGGAUAUUACCUAUUAAGUGACCCGCCGGAUAUGGGCCGGGUUACUUGUAGGGCGAUUCACCCUUUAAGGCUAGUUGGGCCUCAGCCUGGGCGGUUCAAAGUCCCAAGAUGGUUAUGAUCUAUGGCAGGUUUCCGGGUUUUGCAAGGCGGCGACUUAGAGACCGUAGUGUUCAUGAUUUGUAAAGAGGAAAGGACUCUUGUAAACCCUAAGGCCUCGACCUAUAUAUAAAGGCGAGUUUAGGGAGGAAGAGGUAGGUUAGAAAUCAUCGAGUACUAGGUAAGGCGAGUUACACCUUUCUUGUAAUCGAAUCCACAUCAAUACACACCAAGCAGGACGUAGGCUUUUACCUCCACACGAGGGGCCGAACCUGGGUAAAUCGCCGUAUCUCUCCCGCUUAACCCCUUUGAGUCGCCACCAAGGUGCGAUGGCUCCAGUACUAAGUCCUUUCACGAGGACAUCUGCCGUGACAAAACCACGACACGUUUGGGCCAUUAAUCCCGGGUUGAGCCACCNNNNNNNNNNNNNNNNNNNNNNNNNNNNNNNNNNNNNNNNNNNNNNNNNNNNNNNNNNNNNNNNNNNNNNNNNNNNNNNNNNNNNNNNNNNNNNNNNNNNNNNNNNNNNNNNNNNNNNNNNNNNNNNNNNNNNNNNNNNNNNNNNNNNNNNNNNNNNNNNNNNNNNNACCAACCGGGACUAAAGAGGUAUACCAAACGGUUGCCACCACUACGGCAGGGCACGUGUUAGGCUUUUAGUCCCGGGUUAAGCCACCAACCGGGACUAAAGAGGUAUACCAACGGUCGCCCCACUACGGCAGGCCACGUGUUUAGUCCUUUAGUCCCGGGUUGAGCCACCNNNNNNNNNNNNNNNNNNNNNNNNNNNNNNNNNNNNNNNNNNNNNNNNNNNNNNNNNNNNNNNNNNNNNNNNNNNNNNNNNNNNNNNNNNNNNNNNNNNNNNNNNNNNNNNNNNNNNNNNNNNNNNNNNNNNNNNNNNNNNNNNNNNNNNNNNNNNNNNNNNNNNNNNNNNNNNNNNNNNNNNNNNNNNNNNNNNNNNNNNNNNNNNNNNNNNNCGCGUAGCCCUUUAGUCCCGGUUUGGGACACGAACCGGGACUAAAGGCUCCUUACGGGUCGGGACUAAAGCCUCGAGGGAGGCAUUGAGAAUUGGGGCGACGUGGCCGGGCCUUUAGUCCCGGCCCAGAGGCACUCCGGGACUAAAUGGUCCAGGCCAAAGGCCNNNNNNNNNNNNNNNNNNNNNNNNNNNNNNNNNNNNNNNNNNNNNNNNNNNNNNNNNNNNNNNNNNNNNNNNNNNNNNNNNNNNNNNNNNNNNNNNNNNNCGUCACCCCUAUGUCGGAGAGCAUUCUCAGAUACUUUUCAAUGAGUGUCUUUGUAUGAACAUCGAGGAUGUUGAUCAGCUCUCUUCUUAGAAUUUCUCAACAUCGUUUGCUAAAAACACAGAAGAUUUACUAUUAUUUAUCCUCUUAUUAUUUAUCCUCUUACCUGAAGCCUGACAAUAAGAAUUCAGUAAUUUGACACCUCCAUUGCCCCUCAACCAUUAGCCUUGAAAAAUACCAGGCUAUCAUCAACAAAGAGAAGAUGGUUUACUAGAGGCGCCGAGGGGACCACCUUAAUUCCACCAACAUGCAAUGACUGAACUUUGGAUUUGAGGAGACUUAAUAGGCCGUCUUGUGCUAAUAAGAAAAGGUAGGGCGAUAUUGGGUCUCCCUGCCGAAUGCCUCUUGUAGUUUUAAAAUCCUCCAGUUUCUCCCCAUUAAGGAGAACUGAGGAAAAUACCGAUCUUACCAUGCUCACUACUCUAUCUACCCAAAUGGCCGAGAAGCCCAACUUAAUCACUAUAGGUAUUUGCACUCGAAUCGGUCAUAAGCCUUCAUCAUAUCAAACUUCAGCUUACAAUGGCGAUGCUUAAGUGCUUUGUUCCUCUUCAUGAAAUGAAGGCAUUCAUACUCCAUUAUGUUGUUAUCUGUAAUGAGCCUUCCNNNNNNNNNNNNNNNNNNNNNNNNNNNNNNNNNNNNNNNNNNNNNNNNNNNNNNNNNNNNNNNNNNNNNNNNNNNNNNNNNNNNNNNNNNNNNNNNNNNNCAAAAUCGCCACGACACCUGAAGAGGCCGCGGCUGCCAAGCAAGAUGGAGCAAAAUCUUCUUCUGCUGCAUCAAAGUACAAUGCCAUCUCUCAACUGGAAACUAGUAAAGGUUCUUCUACCUCCCCUGUCAAGAAAGAAGCCGCCGCUACUUUAGCCGCUACGCAUUAUGCUGCCGCUGAGAAGUCCAUCAAGAAGGCCGAAACUGCCAGGACCCCUGAAGAGGCCGCGGCUGCCAAGCGAGAUGCAUCAAAGUCUGUUGCUGAUGCAUUGAAGUUUGGCGCCAUCUCUCGGCAAGGAGCUGGUACAAGUUCUUAUACCUCCCCCAACGAAAAAGAAGCCACCAAUGACUUAGCAGCCAUGCACAUUGCUGCUGCCAAGAUGUUCACCAAAAAGGCUGAAACUGCUACCACACCUGAAGAGGCCGCGGCUGCCAAGCGAGCUGCAGCCAAGUCUACUGCUGCUGCAUCCAAGUAUGGUGCCAUUUCUAAGCAAGCAGCUCGUACAAGUUCUUCUACCUCCCCCAAGAGGGAAGAAGUUGUCGAGAAGUCCAUCAAGAAGGCUGAAACUGCCACCACAUCUGAAGAUGCCAUGGCUGCCAAGAAAGAGGCAACAAAGUCUACAACUGCCGAAUCAAAAUAUGGUGUAAUCUCUCAGCAGAAAGCUAGUGUAAGUUCUUCUACCUCCCCUAGCAGAAAAGAAGCUGCCACUACCUUAGCUGGUGUGCACAUUGCUGCUCCCGAGAAGUCCAUCAAGAAGGCUGAAACCGCCACCACGCCUGAAGAGGCGGCAUCCGCUAAGAAGGAGGAUCCUGCGAAACCUGUGGCCGAUGCAAUGAAGUACGGAGCCAUGUCUCAGCAGGCUGCCGGCCAAAAUGGUGCUUGAGUGGUGCCUUAUACACGUAUUCAUGCGCAACAUCAUCUGCAUACUACCAUGCAUGCAAAAUAGCAUUGGAUAUCCCAUUAUGCUAAUUCUCAUGCAUGCACGCUUUGUUUAAAUAUUUCCAUUGCGAAUCAUGUUGUAAUGUCUUGCUUGUUUUACUUCUAGUGGUAAGACACGCCUGACUUGUUAAAAACAAUACAAUGAUCGAUGUAUGCAUCUGAAAAUUAAUAAUAUGAGUUCCACCAUAAUUUGUGUUUUUUUGUCAUAAUUUGGGUGCAGUCAAUGCACAUAUCCAAUACACAAAACUGGAGGAGUCAAUGUAUUUUGGCACCAUGGAGCCGUGGAUCCUGUUGUAAUGUCUUGCUUGUUUCACUUUUAGUAGUAAGAUAGCUUGACUUGCUUUAAAAACAUACAAUGAUCGACGUAUACAUGCGUUAUCCAAAUCCACCGUAAUUCACAUUUUUGUCAUAAUUUGGGUGCAAUCAAUGCGCAAAUCCAAUACACAAAAUUGAAGAAGUCAAUGUAUUAUGGCACCAUGGAUCGACAUAUAAUGAUAUAAUUUAUACAUCACUACUUUAGAAACAACUUAAGGUUUCAUCAUACAUUUGCCCUUCCUCCAACCUCCCUACCUACCUCCUUCAUGCUUUGAUCUUUUUCUCCCAUCUUUGAUUUUGGGACAAUUGGAUAAAUGCCACUCGAAUAUGACGAUUCUGAGAAAUGUCAAUGUAAUUUCCAAACUUUGAAAAAAGCCGUUGCAAUUUUUGGAAAACUCUAAAAACACCACUGCCGACUUCAAAAAAUUCCACUCGAAAUGGCAUCUUUCAAAGCGUGCUCGGAAUCACCAGAAUUCGANNNNNNNNNNNNNNNNNNNNNNNNNNNNNNNNNNNNNNNNNNNNNNNNNNNNNNNNNNNNNNNNNNNNNNNNNNNNNNNNNNNNNNNNNNNNNNNNNNNNNNNNNNNNNNNNNNNNNNNNNNNNNNNNNNNNNNNNNNNNNNNNNNNNNNNNNNNNNNNNNNNNNNNNNNNNNNNNNNNNNNNNNNNNNNNNNNNNNNNNNNNNNNNNNNNNNNNNNNNNNNNNNNNNNNNNNNNNNNNNNNNNNNNNNNNNNNNNNNNNNNNNNNNNNNNNNNNNNNNNNNNNNNNNNNNNNNNNNNNNNNNNNNNNNNNNNNNNNNNNNNNNNNNNNNNNNNNNNNNNNNNNNNNNNNNNNNNNNNNNNNNNNNNNNNNNNNNNNNNNNNNNNNNNNNNNNNNNNNNNNNNNNNNNNNNNNNNNNNNNNNNNNNNNNNNNNNNNNNNNNNNNNNNNNNNNNNNNNNNNNNNNNNNNNNNNNNNNNNNNNNNNNNNNNNNNNNNNNNNNNNNNNNNNNNNNNNNNNNNNNNNNNNNNNNNNNNNNNNNNNNNNNNNNNNNNNNNNNNNNNNNNNNNNNNNNNNNNNNNNNNNNNNNNNNNNNNNNNNNNNNNNNNNNNNNNNNNNNNNNNNNNNNNNNNNNNNNNNNNNNNNNNNNNNNNNNNNNNNNNNNNNNNNNNNNNNNNNNNNNNNNNNNNNNNNNNNNNNNNNNNNNNNNNNNNNNNNNNNNNNNNNNNNNNNNNNNNNNNNNNNNNNNNNNNNNNNNNNNNNNNNNNNNNNNNNNNNNNNNNNNNNNNNNNNNNNNNNNNNNNNNNNNNNNNNNNNNNNNNNNNNNNNNNNNNNNNNNNNNNNNNNNNNNNNNNNNNNNNNNNNNNNNNNNNNNNNNNNNNNNNNNNNNNNNNNNNNNNNNNNNNNNNNNNNNNNNNNNNNNNNNNNNNNNNNNNNNNNNNNNNNNNNNNNNNNNNNNNNNNNNNNNNNNNNNNNNNNNNNNNNNNNNNNNNNNNNNNNNNNNNNNNNNNNNNNNNNNNNNNNNNNNNNNNNNNNNNNNNNNNNNNNNNNNNNNNNNNNNNNNNNNNNNNNNNNNNNNNNNNNNNNNNNNNNNNNNNNNNNNNNNNNNNNNNNNNNNNNNNNNNNNNNNNNNNNNNNNNNNNNNNNNNNNNNNNNNNNNNNNNNNNNNNNNNNNNNNNNNNNNNNNNNNNNNNNNNNNNNNNNNNNNNNNNNNNNNNNNNNNNNNNNNNNNNNNNNNNNNNNNNNNNNNNNNNNNNNNNNNNNNNNNNNNNNNNNNNNNNNNNNNNNNNNNNNNNNNNNNNNNNNNNNNNNNNNNNNNNNNNNNNNNNNNNNNNNNNNNNNNNNNNNNNNNNNNNNNNNNNNNNNNNNNNNNNNNNNNNNNNNNNNNNNNNNNNNNNNNNNNNNNNNNNNNNNNNNNNNNNNNNNNNNNNNNNNNNNNNNNNNNNNNNNNNNNNNNNNNNNNNNNNNNNNNNNNNNNNNNNNNNNNNNNNNNNNNNNNNNNNNNNNNNNNNNNNNNNNNNNNNNNNNNNNNNNNNNNNNNNNNNNNNNNNNNNNNNNNNNNNNNNNNNNNNNNNNNNNNNNNNNNNNNNNNNNNNNNNNNNNNNNNNNNNNNNNNNNNNNNNNNNNNNNNNNNNNNNNNNNNNNNNNNNNNNNNNNNNNNNNNNNNNNNNNNNNNNNNNNNNNNNNNNNNNNNNNNNNNNNNNNNNNNNNNNNNNNNNNNNNNNNNNNNNNNNNNNNNNNNNNNNNNNNNNNGAUGUCAAGGAUUCAAUUAAUCCCGUAUACGAUUCCCUUUGUCUGUCGGUAUAGAACUUGACCGAGAUUCGAUCGUCGGUAUACCUAUACCUUGUUCAAUCUCGUUACCAGUAAGUCUCUUUACUCGUUCCGUAGCACGUCAUCCUGUGACUAACUCCUUAGUCACAUUGAGCUCAUGAUGAUGUUCUACCGAGUGGGCCCAGAGAUACCUCUCCGUCACACGGAGUGACAAAUCCCGAUCUCGAUUUGUACCAACCCAACAGACACUUUCGGAGGUACCCGUAGUGCACCUUUAUAGUCACCUAGUUACAUUGUGAUGUUUGAUACACCCAAAGCACUCCUACGGUAUCCGGGAGUUGCACAAUCUCACGGUCGAAGGAAAAGAUACUUGACAUUAGAAAAGCUUUAGCAUACGAACAAUACGAUCUAGUGCUAUGCUUAGGAUUGGGUCUUGUCCAUCACAUCAUUCUCCCAAUGAUGUGAUCCUGUUAUCAAUGACAUCUAAUGCCCAUGAUCAGGAAACCAUGAUCAUCUAUUUGACUAACGAGCUAGCCAACUAGAGGCUUGCUAGGGACACAUUGUGAUCUAUUUAUUCACACAUGUAUGACUGUUUCAUGUUAAUACAAUUAUAGCAUGAAAAAUAGACGAUUAUCAUGAACAAGGAAAUAUGAUAAUAACCAUUUUAUUAUUGCCUCUAGGGCAUAUUUCCAACAAACCCAACUCCCACACUAUCGAUGGAGGAAUCAUUGGUGCAAUGAGGAAGCAGAAGGGGGCGCGAUACUUACAUAGGCAGGUCACUCACUUUGCCUCACCGACUAGUAUGAGGAUCCAACAACUCGCAUGAUCCGGAGAUCCAUGAUUUGCAAAAUUUCCUCCCAAACCUUCGAUGCCACCAACGGAGGAGGAAGCAGAGGGAUUUACCGAUCUAUAGACCGAUAAGAGAAGAAUGUUGUCCUCAAAUUAGCAGCACCAUUAAGGUGAAGGAUGAACGGAUGAUUUAUUUGACCCAUCGUGAUGAAUCCUUACCCAUUAUGUCACCGUCAUGGACUAUAGCUACCCUAUCUACACAAUGUACCAAGAGAAACAGAUCCCCACCACCUCCACCAUCGAAGCAAGCGGAGGAGGCAGGGAUUUGCACCCUCACCGAUGGGAUGAGGGGAUUUGCUCGACCGUCCCCUUUUAGUCUCUCUUAGUAGGAAAGUAAACGAAACCCUUAUCAAAAAUACCGUCAACCUCAACCAUGUGUAUUUAUUGUGAACCAAUCUGAAGCUUUAUGGUUAAAAGGAUAGUGAUAAGUUCUAGACUUGCACUUGUGCUCGCAUUUUCCUGAUUUAAUUAUUUCAAACUGUCCAACAAUGUGCGCUCAAUGGGAGGAGAUGUCCUUGUCGACUACGAAGGCGUCUAUGGCGACUUCAUCAAUCUUUGAGAUGCCCAUAAAGAUAAUAUGUUGUAUUUAUAGGGUGAAUGUGUAUGUAUAAGUGUGUGCAUUAACUUUGACCUUUCUUGUCUUGUAAUACGAGAAAAUGAAAGUUCAGUCACUUACAACACCACGGAUGAAAAUUAUAAAAUAUGCCAAUAGUGAGCGGAGAGGCGCACAUGAUAUAUUCUCCCUAGUGGGUUGAGGUUACAACGGAUGAAUACAAGAAGGAUUCAAACAGAUGAAUUUUUUAAUAUGAUAUGAAUACAACAGAAGGAUUCAACCUCCUUGCCUCCCUCUCCGAUGACUUCCUGCAACGGGUGCACAGGUUUGACACCUCUCGUGCCAUUUCGGCCCACCUUGAGGAGAUGUACAACACCCACUGUUGAGCAACUAUUGUGAAAAUCAAGCUGGACCUCGCAAAGUUCCGGAAGGGGAAACCUUCCAUGGCGGACUACUUCGCCAAGAUUUGCUCCUAUGCUGAUCAACUAGCUGCUCUUGAUCAUGCCAUGCGGGAUGAGGACAUCAUCAACACCGUCAUAACCGUCCCCGACAGCGAGUACGAUCCCCUCAUCACUACGACAACCACUCGCAUCAAUGUCAUGACUCGUGGGGAGUUCUACUCCCACACCAUCGCCUUCGAACGUCGGUGCGAGUACAACGCAUCGUGCCUUCAUCUCCAAGCUGGUGGCUCCUCCAUCAACUAUGUCGCCCAGGACAAGACAACACCAACCCUCCCAACAACAACAACAACAACAACCAGGGUCAGGGAAACUACCAUGGCAAGGGACGCUUUAACUCUGGCGGCGAUCACGGCGGCUACAACAGCAAUUCUCGCUCUGAUGACCACGAGAACUGCAACGGUGGUAGGAAUGGAUGACACCGUGGCGGUGAUCGUGGUGACUACGCUGGCAGCGGUGACAACCAUGUCUAGUGUAAGAUGUGUCGUGGCCCUGGGCACUAUGCGUGGGAAUGCGGUCAGCCCUACAACCAUGCCUUUCAGUCGCAGCAAUCCAGGAUGGCUGCCCUUACUGCUGCCUCUCCUCCGUCGAUCCUAGGUGAUCCCGCCUGGUUCACUGACACAGGGGCCACAAAUCACAUCACCUCCGAUAUGGAUCGCCUUAGUGUGUGGGAGAAGUACCCAGGAAGGGAUCGUAACCACAUGGCUAAUGGCUCAGGUUUGCACAUAACAUCCUUCCUACACCUUCCGCAAAUCAUAAACUUCGCAAAAUCUUGCAUGUUUCUAAUGGUGAUAAGAAUCUUCUUUCAGUAAAUCGUCUUGCCAUUGAUAAUCGUGCUUAUCUAAAAUAUUAUCCUACUCAUUUCUUCUGAAUGAUUUGAUCACCAAGAGGGUUCUUCUUCAAGGAAGAUGUGAAAAUGGGCUUUAUCCCAUUCGUCCAUCUCCUUUCCGCGUUUUUUCUUUGGUUCGACUCUCGGCUGAAGACUGGCACGCUAGGCUCGACCAUCGCUCCAUUCAAGUCAUUCAGCUAGUCUUAGUGUCAAAUAAGUUAGCAUCCUCGAGUCGGUCAAUUACCCAUGUGUGUAAUAUAUGUCAACAAGGCAAAGAACACCAACUUCCCUUUCCUAGAUCGUCAAGUGUUUCCUCUUUUCCUUUAGAACUUGUUUAAUCGGAUGUGUGGUGACCCGCCAAAACUUCAUCUGGUGGGUUCCAGUAAUAUGCCUCAUUUAUUAAUGAUUAUAGUAAGUUGUGUGGAUUUAUCUUCUCAAGCGAAAAUGUGAUCUGUUUGAUGUCUUUCGACUUCCUGGUGCAUGUUGAAAUCCUCCUUUCUCGCAAAAUAUUAUGUGUUCAAUAAGACUAGGGCGGGGAGUACGAAAAACUUAGCAACACAUUCUUCCGUCAACUUGGUGUCUCGCAUCAUGUAUCAUGUCCACACACACAUCAACAAAACGGUUCUACUAAAAGGAAACACCGUCACAUCGUUGACAUGGGGAUGUCCCUCUUAUCACAUGCGUAUAUGCCUCGACGGUUCUGGGAUGUGGCAUACCUUUUGGUGUGUUAUCUUAUCAAUCGACUUUCCACCGGUGUUAUUGGUAAUUCUAGUCCUAUGAAAAAGUUGUUUAACAACAAACCUGACUAUACGUCACUCCGUACAUUUGGUUGUGCGUGUUGGCCGAAUGUACGCCCAUACAACACUCACAAACUUGCCUUUCGAUCUCAACAGUGUGUGUUUGUUGGCUAUAGCAUCCGCCACAAAGGGUUUAAAUGGGUUCAUCUACCAACAGCUCAUGUUUACAUCUCUCACGAUGUUAUCUUUGAUGACAAAGUUUUUCCAUUUGCUAGUACCACCAACUCUCCCACACCGCCUAGAGUUGCAGAACAUGCCAUUCUCUUAUUUCCUCAUGACCACAUGAACUAUUUUGCGUACUAAUACAGAUGUCGGAACCUCCUCGGCGUAGAAGCUCCCCGGUGCCCUUGGAUCCUAGCAGGAUCCUGGCACAUGAUCCGACAUUGAUCCGGUCUCGGAUCAUGCGCCGCUAGACGAGACCGACGCGGGAUCUCCCGUUCUAAGUCACCGCAGUGCGCCUUCUCUCGCAUUGGCCCACGUGGCGCUCACGGGUGGGCCGGUUUCCUCGCUAGCCAGCCCACCCUUCCCUGACCGGCCUGCCUCACCACACGCUUCAACUCCGCUCAUGGUUCCGUCGCCUCUGGAGGGCAUGCCUUCGUCGUUCACCUGCGUCUUGGCGCCCGAGGCAGAUAUGUUGCAUGCUUCUCCAUCUUGUCCUGUAGGCGAUGCGGGACCGGAUCUUCUGUGCUGCCUGGUGGGUCGAAAGCCCCACCUCUUCACACCAUGGUGACCCCCGCGCGUGACAACACACGCAAAGUGCUUCAGCGCACAGAGGACACGACCAACUACGACCCAUCUCGUCGUGCGUUUAUUGGCUCUAGGGAACAUGUUGAUCAUCGUGAAGCUGUUACGUGUCUAGCUUGUCAUAUGGCCAUGCAACUUGAUCUUGAUGCACUUCAUCAGAAUGAUACAUGGCCCCUGGUUGCGCCUCCACCCAAUGUCAACGUGAUUUACUGUAAAUGGGUCUUCAAGAUCAAGAACAAGGAUGAUGGUUCAGUUUCUCGUCACAAGGCUCAUCUUGUGGCCAAGGGGUUUACACAAAAGUAUGGACUUGAUUAUGAUGACACGUUCAACCCGGUUGUCAAGCCUAUCACUUUCGCCUCGUUCUCUCCAUUGUUGUCUCUCGAGGUUGGUGUCUCCGAUAGUUGGAUGUUCAAAAUGUUUUUCUCCAUGGAGAUCUGCAGGAGGAGGUAUACAUGCGUCAACCCCGUGGCUUUGUCGAUCUCUAUGCUCCUCGUCAUCUGUGUAAGCUCUGGAAAGCUAUCUAUGGACUCAAGCAAGCUCCCUGCACAUAAUACUUCAGGUUAAGCUCUCAGGUUCUUCAGUUUGGUUUUGUGGCAUCCAAGGAAGACACAUCCUUGUUUGUCUUUCAUCAUGUUCAUGUCACCAUGUUUAUGCUAGUCUAUGUGGACGAUAUUAUUGUGGCCAGCUCGUCGCCCACUGCUACUACCAAGUUGUUGGCUGAUCUUCAGGCAUAGUUUGCUCUCAAAGAUCUCGAUCCCUUGCAUUUUUCCUUGGGGUUGAGGUGAAGUCCUCGCCAAGGGGGAUUUUCCUCUCUCAACAGAAGUACACUGUUGAGACAUUCUUCAUCGUGCUAAUAUGGAAAACUGCAAGGUUUCUUCUACACCAAUGUCCUUAAGUGAGAAAAUCAACAAGGGCUAUGGCGUUCUUCUCUCUCAGGAUGACAGUACCACAUAUCGCAGUCUGGUUGGUGCACUCCAAAGGCUCAUACUUACCAUGCCAGAUAUUUCCUUUGUUGUGAAUUGUCUCUAUCAGUUUUUGCAUGCUCCAACAACUGGACAUGUUUUGGCAGCCAAAAGGAUUUUGAUAUACUUAAAGUAUACACGCGGUAUGGUUCUCUCUCUACGGAAGUCUCCGUCAGUGGUGUUAAGUUGUUUUUCAUAUGCAGACUGGGUUAGGUGCGGUGAUGAUCGCAGAUCUACAAGUGGGUUCACUGUCUUUCCUGGUCCUUAUCUUGUGUCCUGGAGCUCACGGAAACAGGCCACUGUUUCUAGAUCAAGCAAGGAGUCUGAAUACAAAUCUCUUGCAAAUGAUACGACUGAGAUAAUCUGGAUACAAUCAGUCCUUGGAGAGCUUGGAGUUUUCAUGUCACGCCCUCCUUAAUUGUCGUGUGACAAUAUGGGCGCCACGUAUCUAUCUGCUAAUCCGGUAGUCCAUGCAACGACUAAGAAUAUAGAAGUGGAUUUUCACUUUGUUCGAGAAAGAGUUGCAGCCAUGGCACUGGAUGUUCGGUUCAUCUUCUUCCAAAGAACAAGGUGCGGACAUAUUCACGAAGCCCUUAGCUGAGACACCGUUUGUCUCAAACAGAUACAAUCUGAACCUUCUUGAAGGAAAUUUAGAUUGAGAUGGGAUGUUAAGCAGAGUAUAUAGUUGAACCUUAGUAUUUUGAUUGUACUUAUCUCCUGUAACUACCUCUGUAAUCUUGUGCCCUAUCUGCACCCUCUACAUACAUCCCGAGGUCACCGUUUCGGUUGUUCAUAAAAGAGAUGCACCCUAUAUGGUAUCCUAGCCAAGAGGUCUUGAGUUCAAGACCCUGCUAACACAGUAUUAAAACAAAAAAAGAUUCUGUGACCUACAUUGAAUCCACAUCUAAGGAUAAAUAUAGCCUAGACAUGAGGGGGAGUGUUGAAACAUAUUUCCCACCUCCUUUUAUCAGUUCACACUUUUGGAUGAGUUGACUGGAGCAUGAAUUCAAUAAUCCAUGCCCAUCGGCAUUAUGACAUUAGUUUGGGGCACCCAUCAGCUGCAGCUAUGCAACAAUUAAUAGAAUAUUUUCUGUCUCAGAUCUCCGGGCAACAUAAGAAGGCCGACACAUUCUUCUUUACCAGGGUAGCACAUUUUAAGCACAGUAGCACGUUUUACAAACUUAAACUACAUAUGGAAGGAAUGUCAAUCUGUAGUUUAUAAGGGUUUACGCUGAGGUGAAAAGCCAAAUCAAUGAUAUUAGAAAUUAAUAAAAGAGAUACACCCACCUAGAGACAUGUUGCCGUUACAAAUGAAGCUACCAUGGGAAGGGCAAGCGGGUUUGUUCCUCGUAUAUAAAUUAAAGCCAAAUCUAUCUGCCCCAGUCGAGUAUUCCUACGUGAUUAAAUUGGAGCACAACCUUUGGAAAUUAUACCCAAUUAUGAGUGAUGAGCAUUAGUGUAAUAUUUUUGUUUUCACUCAACAAAUGCUAUUGGUAAUCAUGUCAAUCCUCAACUAUAGACACUUGCACCUUUUAUGCAAGUGUUCUUUGUCUUUUUCUUUUGGAUUGAAAUGAGUGUGCCGUGAAUCACAAAUAUCUUUCACGAGUCUUAGAAAGUGAAUAUAUAUCAAUGGAUGGAAUAGUAGUGGAUAGUUGCCCCUACUGAAUCAUUGAACACAAUCACAAGUUCACGACCCAAUGUUGCAUCACAUAACUAAAUUACUGAAAACAGAAAUUUGCUACUUUUGUUAGGAUGUAGAAUGAGCCAAAUAAGCUUUCAGUGUCGUGCAUAGACUUAUAACUCUGUUGAGAGCCACAAACUGGGCUAAACUUCAAGCUUUCACUACUCCAGAAAAGCCUAGCAGUAACACGAAUUUUCCCCAUCACUACAGGAAAAAACUUAUAAACCGAGUGCCCGAAACACUUGCCUUAUACGUGAAAACACUCGGUUUAUAUAUAAACCGAGUGUUUUCAUCACACGGUUUACUAGGGAUCGGGCUAUCAGAUGUAAGCCGAGAGCCAUAGCAAAAACACUCGAUUUAUAUAUAAACCGAGCAGUGAACUGUAAGCCGAGUGCCACCAGGCACCCGGUUUAUACCUGACGGCAUCCCGACCCUAACGGCAAGCCACAUCAUCGUUUAUAUAAACCGAGGGCCAACAUUUACACGGUUUAUAUAUAAACCGAGUGCCAACGGUCGCACGGUUUAUAUAUAAACCGAGUGCCAACCGUCGCACGGUUUAUAUAUUGCCAAAUGCGCGCGCACAGUUUAUAUAUAAACCGAGUGCCAACAGUGCACACGAUUUAUACAAUUUUACAUAUUAGCCGAGCUGCACUAUAAACCGGGUGCCACACCAUUAGCGAGGGUCACGCCAUAUAUGCUUAUAAUCCGGGUGCCAAGCCUUGGGACACAUGGUUUAUAUCCUAUAAACCGGGUGCCAAGCCCUGGGACACACGGUUUAUAUGCCGAACUGCCUUAUAAACCGGAUUUCAAGCCCUGGGACACACNAGCAGCAACAACAUAUAUAUCCAACUACAAUAUAUUACAAGUUCACCAAACAAUAAGUUUAGAGUAUAUACACGCAUACAUAUCCAAUAUAGUAUCACAAAAGCAUGCGUACAGCAGCAACAAGAAUUCACAAAUGAAAGGAUGCAUACAUAUUCANNNNNNNNNNNNNNNNNNNNNNNNNNNNNNNNNNNNNNNNNNNNNNNNNNNNNNNNNNNNNNNNNNNNNNNNNNNNNNNNNNNNNNNNNNNNNNNNNNNNNNNNNNNNNNNNNNNNNNNNNNNNNNNNNNNNNNNNNNNNNNNNNNNNGGAUGCAUACAUAUUCAACAUGAGUUCGAAGUCCACGGAUGCAUACAUAUUCAACAAGGGUUCACAACAACAUGCCUACAUAUGCAACACGAGUUCACAAACGAAAUCAUGUGUUCCAAGUUCACACCAAGCAUGAGUUCAACCUAAAAUAUGCAAUGAGCUUCCACCGCAGCAUGUAUGCCAACCAUCGGUGACAUCCUCAAUGCAAACCUAUAAAUUCAUUACCACACGCAUAAGUUUCCAAAGUUAAAUUGCAAAUGAUUGAUCAGACACAAGAUUCAACAAGCAUCCACAACCUAAGAAUUAUGAAUAAUAUAAGGAUCAACACUUGUGGGCUUGUAUGAAUAAUAUAAGAAGUAUGAAUAAUAUAAGGAUCAACAAGCAGCAAUGCACAAGUUGUGAGUGGAGGCACAACCAACGGCAAGACACAAGCAUCAACAAUGCACAAGCAUAGACAGUGGGAUCCAAUCAGGCUUGAUGAGCAGGUUUACAGGGUUGAGUUUCCGACUAAGGAGGAUCUUACCAAGCUGCUAAAGUUUGGGAUGAGUAAAGUUCCGAACAUCACUUGUAUUUUGGAAUUUGAUGCUUGGACACAGAAAGAUCCUGAAGGCAUGCCACUGACACAGCUUUGGGUUUGGUUCAAUGGAGCUCCCCAAAGGGCAUUGGAUGAUUUCAUGGUUACUUGGAGUCUUUGGCUUAUAGCAUUAAACAUAAAUGCAGGGAAAAUCACUUUAGAACUUUUUUGAAUUUGAAAAUUUAUAAAAAGUAAACCGAGUGCUUGUGUGGAACACACGGCUUAUAUUGCGUGUAAGCCGAGUGUUUUUUCUCAAACACACGGCUUAUAGUCUGUAUAAGCCGUGUGCUUCAUCAGGUCACUCGGGUUACAGCUUACGGCGUGACGGCGCCGUCAGCCGCCUCUGUUGGAGACACGUGGUAGGUAUUUUUACCGGGUGACAUGCUAGAAGCCGAGUGUUUUAUGCGUAGAUACCGUGUGUCGCCUAUAAACCGAGAGCUUUUUCGGGUCACUCGGUUUAUAGGAUAGCAUAAGCCGAGUGUUUUGUUGUUACCGGGUGUAUUUUAUGUGGAACACGGCUUAUAUGCCGAUAAGUCGAGUGCCAGAAAAAAAGCACUCGGCUUAUGGCUUACCACACAGUAAAACAGUUUUUUUCCUGUUUGAAAGAGAUUCUUUCCAAUGAGGCGGAAAUGAGAGAGGCGACUGUGCGGGCGACAGGGCGGCCGACAGGGAAGGCGCCCCCGUUCAACACUUCGGCCGUCGCUUGUUCACCGCGGUGAGACUGCUCGCCUCCAGGAGGCCGCUUCUGGGUGCUAGCAGAGGGAGAUGAGGAGGAGGACGAUGGGAAUGAGAAAUUGAUCUCAAGCUUCGCCGGAAGUGGCAGGAUUGUCGCGGCCGGGAGACCAAUCAAGGUACUCCCUGACGGUGAUGCCACUGAAGAAGGACUGGGACAGGCGGUUCAAGACGGCGGACAACCAGGGGCCGGCACGGCGGAGGAAGACGGCGGCGACGUCAGUACGUCCUUGGCGGGGGCCAAUCCCGAAGGUGAGUUUGCAAGCCUUGACUAUUACAGACUGCAUCCAUCCCGAUGACUGGAUCACCGUUCGAACCAAGAAGAAGAAAAGGCAGCCGGCUGCUGCAGCGACGGCGCCGGCUAUCAAGAUGGCCGAGAUCCGAUCCCGGCGGCUAAACUUUUUAUUGGGCCCGACCGGGCUGCAUGAGAACGAGUACUCCAUGGGCUGCGCAGAUGAUGGGUAUGUGGCCCAGCUGGAGCCGUCUUCGCUUGAUACGUAUCGUUCUCGACCAGAUGAGGCGAUCGAUCUAGUAAUAGCCAGCGCUAGGUCUGGCCGUACGAGGAACGCGCCGGGCUUCCCUUCGAUCGGAACGGGCAGAGCUGCGCGUGUGAGGCCGCCGUCGGCGAAGAAACCCGCUAUGGCUGGCGAAGGGGCUCACCUGCCUCCAAAGGCACCGGCGGGGACUGGUGCUGUCGCCGGGCAGGGUCGCGGAGGAGUCCAGCAACCAGCUCGUGGUCGCGGGGAUGUCCAGCACCCUUCUCGUGGGUGCGCCAGCCAUGGUGGUGGUCGUGGUUAUCACCACAACGAUGGCCACAGCUUUCCCGGGAAUAGAUGGGGAGAUGAUGGCUAUAAUGCCUACGGGCAUGGAGUACACCGUGGAUCGUCAUCGACGGGCGGCGGCCGUGGAGAUGGUACUUCAUGGGGUUCAAUGGUCCGCCGGGGCCCUUCGUCGAGGGGGCUACUGGACCGUUGAACCGGCACAGACCUUCAUAUCGUCACCCGGGAGGUCGUACCGGUGGACGUCGCCCAAGAGGCAAUAUCCCGCCUCGCGGUGAUCCGCCUGCAGAAGCGGCAGUCGGGCAGGAGCUGCUGCUGGCGACUUCGGCUAAGGAGGGGACAACGACUCUUGCGGCGGUGGAGAUGCCUACUGCGCCUGUGAGUGUUACUUCUGGGGCUGCGUCUGAUAAAAACAACGAUAAGUCAAAGGGGGAGAGAGCGUCCAAAUGGGCACGCAAGAAGGAAAGGAUGACGUGUUACCGAUGUGGAGAACAGGGACAUUUUCUGGCUGAAUGUUCGGUUGAGCUUUAUGACUUAUGUCGCAAGCCAAAGCAUGUCUGAGAGGAGUGUCCCCUACUACUCAAGCCCAAACCAGUGGUUACUAUUUAUGGGGUGUGUUGCUCUGAGCUUAUGUUCUUUGAGUCACCAGGGCGGCUACGCAAGCUCUAGAGAGUACCGGGACAGGAGUGGUCAAGGUUACUCGGUGCACUAUGACCGUUGAGCAGGUUGUGCAGAGGUUGCGUGAGCUUGUUUCAGAGUCAUUUCAGUGGGAUCCAAUCAGGCUUGAUGAUCAGGUUUACAGGGUUGAGUUUUCGACUAAGGAGGACCUUACCAAGCUGCUAAAGUUUGGGAUGAGUAAAGUUCCAGACAUCACUUGUAUUUUGGAAUUUGAUGCUUGGACACAGAAAGAUCCUGAAGGCAUGCCACUGACGCAGCUUUGGGUUUGGUUCAAUGGAGCUCUCCAAAGGGCAUUGGAUGAUUUCAUGGUUACUUGGAGUCUUGGCUCUUUGAUUGGCAAGACGGAGAAGGCUGAUAUAGUUUUCACUCGGGCACAGGGGAUUGCUCGUCUUCUUGUAUCUGUGAUCAGCGUCGAGCAUAUCCCUGAUACGGUCAGAUGGACGUACAAUGGCAGAUUUUUUUAUCUUGAUAUUGAGCUGGAGGAGAGUGAGGACUUUCACGAGCUGGCCAACCAUGUUAACAUGGAUACGGACGAGGGGCAUGGUGAUGAAGGAAACUUAGAUAAGGAGAAGGAGCCGAGAGAUGGCACUGAUAGAGGUGCAUCAUCGGCAGUAAAACCAAAAGAAAAUGCUACCACCAAGCAGCCUCUCCGUACUUCUUUCUCACAUCAGUUGAGGUUUGAUUCUUUUGGGUCAUCAUCCGCGCCUGCUAGACUCUGGGGAGCCAGGGUUGAGAGCGAGGACCCGGAGGAGCAGGAGUUACCUCGACUUUCCCCUCCAGUGACGCCUAAUGUUGGAUCGUCGCGUCGCGUUACUCCUGUGUCUACCAGCCAUGGGGACAGGACGAUAACGGGGUGCACGGCCGACGCGCUGCCGACUUCUCCCGGGCAACCGACCUGCCAGACAUGGACGCCGAGAUUGGGGAGGUGCUCGAGUCACCCAGGGGUGACUUUCACCACGGCGAGACCUGCACAGAGCACAUAGGCGGAGCGCGAAUCGCCACACUUACGACUGUGUCCUUGGAAGGCCAGCCUAUGCUCGCCCUCACCGAGACACUAUCCACACCACCUGGCUCCACGUGGUGCUUUGCCGGGAGGGCGAUCGAUGGCUGUGAUGGGCAUCGCCAAGCAGGACAUGUGACAGGCAGUCAUAGUCCAACUGACCCUUCUACUAAGGAGGUUAUUGAGUUUCGAGGCAUUCCUGACCCGGCCACUGGAGCUCGGCGUUUGAGUGCUCGCCUACAAGCCGAACCAGACGUCGACGAGUUGCAGAUGGGCCGUGCCAUGCAGGCGGCUAAGAUUUGUGAUGUCGAGACAUCCACAGGUACUACACAGAGCAGCGACAUUGAUCCUUACAUGGUUGUUACUCACUCCUGCGAAAACCAGGGAGCAUUUGAUUACUAGGUCUACCCGAUGGGAGAUGGUAGCACGAGAUAUCUUCAACCGGUUUGGAUGGCAGUCCAGUAAUUGGAUAGAUGAGUAGACAUCUAGGCCCAUUUUACCGGUUGUGGCAUUUAUCAUUUUGCUUUUGCCUUUACUUUCAAUUGUCAGAGACUAUGUUGGACCGAACUUGGAUUGCUUGCUUAAUAAAGGGGCCGUAUGCAUCGUGUUGAUGCAGAGGCCGGAGGUAAUCCUCCUUUUCUAAAAAAACAGGUUGAUGUGAUGAGAUACAAUAUCACAUAUGCAAGCACAACAUAGCAGAUAUAUACUUUCAUUUUGAAGGUUGGAAGAUCAACACCACAACUUUCAAGAUUUAAACUACCAGUUUCAUUAGGCAUUAGCAAGGACCAGCGUAGUAAGUGGCAGACAUACUACAGCAGAAAAACAACAUCUCUUUAGGGGAAAUGACACUAAUGUGAAUUACGUGCUUAUUCUGCAGAAUGAAAACUUUGUUGCACCAUACGCGGUUACAGGUUUGCAAGGCAGCCUAUUGGUUCAAGUGAAUAUGAAUGUAGUCAGCAUUCCGCUGUGCAAGCAUCAGCAUAGUCUCCAGCAAGGAGUGUUAGAGCUUCCUUGUGAGCGCACAUGUGCUUCUCCAUGAAUACCUUUUCAGUCAGCAUGACAAUUGAAUAGUAGUUUGGGUCGCCCUUAAGCAAUCCAUUUUCCUUGAGAAACUUUACAACGUAAGCGGGGUCUCAGCCGGCCCUCUAGGCUGAAAGUAAUCACUAUCGACGGUUGAGCAAUGUAGGCCGAUUCUAGAAUUCGGACCUCCACUGCAGUUUUCCUUUGACCUCAACAGUAGAUACAGAGCCUUAGACAGAGAAACAACCAGGCCGGGGCGUGGCCUCCUUUUCGAAAAAAAAAACAGAGAAACAACUACUUCAGCAUCUGACCACCUGAAUGUAUUCUUCAAGUAGUCUGCUGCGGCAGCCAUCUCCCUCGUUGCUCGGGAAUGCAAUAGCCUUCAGCGCGUGCUUGAACAUUCUAGAGUCACGGGACACGCCGAGGCCGUUCGCACGCGCCACCAUUGCCUGGACGUGUUCCAGGGUGGCGGUGAGCGCUAAUGGCAUGCGGAUCAACAAGUAGGCAAUGUCGCAGUCAGCUAGCCCGCACUCCUGCAUGACCGCGAUAUCGGGCUUGACGCUCCUCUUGAGGUCAGCACUGACAAGGUAGGAGCCGUCGUUGAGAGCCCGAAUGAGGUUCUCGAAGGAGCCGAAGAAGAUGAGGUAGUAGCAUAGUUUGGAGUCGAUGCCUGUGUAGCGGAAGUGACCGGCGAUGGCAGUGAGGGAGAUGACACGGGCGAUCUGACCAGGCGAGAUCGCGAGAGUCCUUUGCAGACCAGAAGGCUGGCUUUAAGGCAGUAGACCUCCUCAAGAAGGUGCUAGCGAACUUGUACUGCAAGAUAUGUAUCUAGUAGAUCAAAUAGGCCUCUACCCCUUGUCCACCUCUAUAAGGGGAGGUAGGUGCCUUCCGAGUCGGUACCUACAACAUCAUCACGGCAAACACAUCUCUCAUAAGAGACACCAUGAAUACAAUCAGAUAUGCGGGAGUAGGGUAUCACAUCAUAUGAAGGGCCCAAACUGGGAAAUUACUUGUCUCGUGUGCACCAGUCUGAUCCUCUAUGAAUAGUCUGCACUAUGAAUUGAUAGUUGGCGUGCCAGCUAUGGUUGUGCGCAUAGAUCUAUGAUUGAUGAGUUUUAUUUUAGCGGAUCGACAUCUCGCGCAUACCUCAUUCGGCGGAUCUCACGCGCAGACGUCCCUGGUGAAUCCCACCGAACAUACCUCCCCGGAGGACCUCACCGUGCGAACCUUGUCAUAUCUUCCUUCCAUCUCUUAUACACACAUUCAGCAUAGACCUAACCGCUCCGCGGAUUUUGACCUCGUCAUCUAAGCUCUAUGUCGAUGAUAAUCCUUCCGGUCUAAAAUAAUUUUGCGAAGAAUCUUUUUUUCCCACUCUGGUUUGCAUUAUUUUGUGUUCACUGAUUUGUCUAAGAUGGAGAUCGUAAGAAAAUUUUGACUCUACGAACUCCGACCUCGUCCACGUCUCGCUCCAACCUCAUUGUUUCACAUACUUUUAUGUCGUUGCACCGUUACUUCACCGGCUCACCACGGCUGAGUCUGACUCAUCGCACUUGGAUUGAGAACUCCGCCCUCGCCACGUCCGCCUUGAGGACUCCGACUUGACGAUAAAGAAUCCCGCCUUAUAUUAUAAAACAACCAACCGAUACAUUUACCAUGUUGGGCCGUAGCACAAACUAUACCAAAAGAAAAUAUGAGAGAAGAAAGAAAGAGAAACAAAUGCUCUUAUCGCUUGCAGCAAGUUAGUCCUCCUGCGAACUUUGUUUCCACAAGAUGUCCUCACGAUGGUAUAGUUCCACGAGCUGAUUUGUGAUUUUUAUUUCCUGGGUAGACGGUCACGUAUGACCUGGAACCCCUCUUAAGAUUUCUAGUUCAUGCUUCAUUUUUCUAAUCUCCCUCCUGACAUUGCCGAACGUCUCUAGAUCCCAACCCGAGACAUUCAUCGAGAUCUCAACUAAGUUGGUCGCUAAUUCAUGAACCUCUCGAUCUGUCUCGGGAUUACCCAAACCACGACAGUUCCAACAUAAGUUACUCAUUUUUCUUGACGGCUUCCCUCAAAUGGUGAUGUCGAUACAUCAUUCUCCAUUUCCAUCAUAAUAGUGUCCAUAGAUGUAUCCUCAACGCUUUUUGGUUUCAUUUUGUUGGCAUUUUUUGUGGGGUUCCAUACGGCUCCACCGUAUCCACAUUUCGAUCAAGCUAAUCCACCAUAGCUGCAACUUUUGUCCCCUUAUCCGCUGGCAUGAUCGCCCCCACAAGAUCCUUGGGGAUAGCGGCAGCUUCCUCUUAAGAAAUCGAGUCCUCGGCCACUCUUUUGCUAAGUACACCGCCAUCUCCUUGUAUAUCCCGGUUUGUCACUGCGAGGGUUGUGUUCGUCCCCCCAUCCGCUGGCUGGUUAUGACCUUGUUGAUAUACUGCGUUGAAACACCAACUCAUCUGGUUUGUAGUGUCCCUGCCUCUGCCCCUUUCCCAAACCAUCAUCAUAUCCGUCACCUCUACCCCGUCCAAGGGGGUUAUCAUCAGCACUAAAACGCCCCCCCCUAUCCACGACCUCCCCGUCUUCCUCUGCCUCUUCCUAGGCCCCCACCUACUAUUAGGAAGUCUCUCCUCUUCAGACUAUCCUCAUCGUGCUCUCCACUGCUGCACUCUUCAUGCCAAUGCCCCAUCAUACCAUAUAAACCGCAGAACAUAGGCAGUUUUUCACACUUCACCUGAUACCAUUCAUGUUUCAUGUCCCUUGUCAUGGAUACAAAGCGGGUAAUCUUCUUCUCCACCUUUAUGCGCUCACUCUCACUCUAACAAGUUUGCCCACAAAACCAGUCGGGUGUUUGACCUGAAACUCCAUGACAUCUCCCAUGUUGCGGCACAUCCCUCUAACAAUCUGCCCAUGCAAGAUAUUGUCCUAAAGCUUGUGAACCUUUGCCGAUACUAUGAUCUUGUCCAGAACCACCGUUCCAGGGUUACCAAAACCAUCAUAUUGUUUCAUCAUCACAACCUUGUUACGAAAGAACCAAGGGCCAAUAACCAUCGCCUUGUUCCAAUCACCUAAACACCCCAAUUGCACUAUGAUGAGAUUAUCAUCUACGAGCCUCAAGAUCGGGUUUUUGCGGAAUUCCAAGAAGAUAUCAUAUCAGCAUACAAAGUACUAGGGUUAAAACCACUAAUUGUGUGAACUUUGAUGAUGGUGUGCCAUUUAGCCUUCGCGAGUUGUUCGGACACCUCUUCCCAUACGAAUCCAUCAUCUUCCUCGUCGUGGAGGUCCAACCUUCCAAGAAGCUUCUGAACCGGAUCGGCAGGUCCGCUGCCUUCCAUAGUCUCCAUUAGGUUUCUAGGAGAAAAACAAACAAGUUUAGAGAAACCCUAACAUGCCCUCGAUGCAGCUGGUCAAGAAGCCCGCUAAGGGAAGAAACGAUCGCUAGUGGUGGAGUAUGAUACUGGCGGUGAUUGGAUUGCUAGAGGAAAGAGAAACCCUAGCCUUACCCGAGGGGAAAGACAUAUUAUCAAGUAACUUACGGCUGGGUAAUUAGUUGCAGGCUACUUUUUGCACAUGAAACUAAAGUUGUCAUGGUCGUUGGUCAUAGAUAGUCAAAACAUCUGUCAUGACUCUCUUUACCCUUAAAAAUAGUCAGAUAAACAUUGCAAAAUGUUGGCUGAAAGUUAAGUGACUUAGGCUCUCAGAAAUAUAGCUUUAUUGGACAAAUAAUAUAUGAAAUACAUGCAUUGCAUAUGUAUGAUGUUCCAAUAGAAGGGUAAAGUUGAUUGAUUCUUGAUAGUAUCACAUGAAUAUAUCAAUCAUGAAUUCAUUCAUGUUCCCCGUUGCAACGCACAGUCACUCACCUAGUAAAGGCGAUGAUUUGUUGCUAGUAGAAGCUUCUCGAUUUUUAAAGGUUCAAAUGCUAGCCAACAUGACCCGGCUGGCUCAAUAUCGCACCUCUGUCAGUGGUGCCAAAACCCUAAGAAAAUUCCCUCAAAUCUCUUGUUAUUUCUAUUGAUUGACUGAACGUGAGGAGCGAUAGUAGAUGAAUAGCGGACUAACAGAGGGAAAAAGAAAUGAAUACAAGUCGGUAAAAUUAUCAAAGUGGUACAUGUACUUUUUAUAACAUCACAUGAAGCCGCGAAAAAGGAAAGACAACUCAACGGAGAAACUACAUAGGAGACCUAUCUAGAGUGAACAUUGCAUGGAUGUCGUUGGCCGCAUCUCACCGCCUUGUUGUCCAGAAUAAGAAGUGAAUGUUAAUCCUGCCGCUGCCUCCAUGUCUAUCACCUUGUCGUCCAAGCCCGCAACAACAACAACAACACGGAGGACUAGAGCACGAGAGGAGAGCUGCCCGGGGAAAUUACCUUUCUUGAUGUUAGACUUAGAGAUAUAUUAUUGUUGUAAUCUCAAUCUAUCUCUAUCUCUUCCUUAAACGAAUCCUAUCUGAAUUCCUUUCUUGAAACCAAGGCAAGGGUUUUGCCCAAUAUAAAUAAACACCGCGGCUCCUCUCGAGGAGUAGGAACGCUUCCAUCUGACAUGGUAUACAGAGCCAACCUCUUCCCAUAUAUCUAGCCACACCAGAAACCCAUCGAUCGAUAACACCGAUCGCCAUGUCCUCUUCUUCGGCCACCGUCGCCCUAAACCUUGGAGCGCCGCCCGCCGAGAAGCUAACCAAGGGGAAUUUCCUCCUAUGGAAAGCCCAGGUAAUGCCAGGCCUGCGAGGAGCGCAGGUCACCGGCCUCCUGGAUGGAUCCGAUGCAGCGCCCGCAGAAACAAUGGAGCAGCAGAAGACGGACAAGACAAUGAUCACGGUGCCUAAUCCACUUUAUGCACCGUGGCUGGCCAGAGAUCAACAAGUUCUCAGCCAUCUCCUCAACUCCUUAUCAAAGGAAAUCCUCGCCCAAGUUGUGAGUAAAGAAAAUACCUUUGAUUUGUGCACUGCCAUCAUCACCAUGUUUGCUUCGCAGUCCCAAUCUCGAAUUACCAAUUUGAGAAUUGCCAUCGCCACCACCAAGAAGGGCUCCAUGUCGAGCACCUCCUACAUCGCCAAGAUGAAAAACCUAGGCGAUGAACUUGCUGCUGCAGGCCGGCCUGUCUCUGAUCCAGAGAUGGUGGACUAUGUCCUUGCGGGUCUAGAUCGUGACUACGACUCGGUUGUGGCGGCGAUCGGCAUUGUCAAAACCUCCAUCACCGUCGACGAACACUUCGCUCAAAUCUCCGCCUUUGAUCAAAGGGUGGAGAUGCUCGGCGAUGGACCAAAAGCUGGCUACAACACCUUUGCAAAUAUGGCGUACAGGGGGCGUGGCCAGUCCCGUGGCAGAGGACGCGGCCGCGGCAGCAGAGGCCGCGGUCGAGGGAGACGCUCACCCUCGUCAUCCUCUCCAAACGGCAACGACAGGAGAGGCGGUCGGUCUCAGCAACAACAGCAGCGUCCACCGCACCGAGACUACCCCGAGUGCCAGAUCUAUCUCAAGCAUCAUCGCGGGGGUGCCCGUGAAUGCUGGGAUCGCUAUGAGGAAGAUGAAUAUGAGGACAAGGAGGCCAAUAUCGCCUUAGACUCCUACGGCAUCGACACCAACUGGUAUGCCGACUCCGGCGCCACCAACCACAUCACAGGCGAGCUGGACAAGCUGACGAUCAGAGACAAAUAUCGCGGCCAUGAUCAAGUCCACACUGCAAACAGAUCUGGUAUGAAAAUCACUCACGUUGGAAGUUCAGUUGUUAAAACCCCCAUGAAAAACCUACAUCUUAACAAAGUCCUAUAUGUGCCCACAACAUCAAAAAACCUGUUCAUAGGUUUACUCUUGAUAAUCGUGUUCUCAUUGAGUUCUAUCCUUAUUUCUUUUUGGUAAAGGACUUGGACACGAGGAAAAUACUUCUUAGGGGCAAAUGCGUGGGAGGUCUCUACCCACUCAUAUCUUCAUCAACACCAUCCAAUAAACAAGCUCUUGCUGCUGUCAAGCCCUCUUCAUCAAAGUGGCAUAGUAGACUAGGUCAUCCCUCCUUACUUAUUGUCAAAUUUGUUCUUAACAAGAACAAUCUUCCUUAUUCUCAUGAGUCUAGUGUUGAGUCUAUUUGUGAUCCAUGUCAGCAAGCUAAAAUUCAUCAGCUACCAUACUCUAUUUCUACUAGUAUUUCCACUGCUCCUCUACAACUUGUGUUUUCAGAUGUAUGGGGGCCAGCCCCCACCUUUGUCGGCAGACACUCAUAUUAUGUUAGCUUUAUUGAUGAUUUUAGCAAAUUCACAUGGAUCUAUCUCCUCAAGAAACGUUCUGAAGUUUUUCAUGUCUUUAAGAACUUUCAAAAGCUUGUUGAGCGCAAGCUAAACACCAAAAUCAUUGCCAUGCAAACAGAUUGGGGAGGUGAAUACAGAAAAUUAAAUUUCUUUUUCCAAGAGCUUGGUAUAUCACAUCAUGUUGCAUGUCCCAAUGCACAUCAACAAAAUGGCUCAGCCGAGAGAAAGCAUCGCCAUGUUGUCGAGGUAGGACUAGCUCUUCUUGCAAACUCAUCUAUGCCACUAAAAUUCUGGGAUGAAGCUUUUCUAACCGCCACCUACCUGAUAAAUCUGCUAACUAGCAAAGUCAUCAACUUUGAGAUACCCAUCACUCGCCUUUUUGGCAUCUCCCCUGACUAUAAGUCACUUCGUGUCUUUGGUUGCGCUUGUUGGCCCAAUCUUUUGUUGGAAAUAUGCCCUAGAGGCAAUAAUAAAUUAGUUAAUAUUAUAUUUCUUAGUUCAUGAUAAUCAUUUAUUAUCCAUGCUAUAAUUGUAUUGAUUGGAAACACAAUACUUGUGUGGAUACAUAGANNNNNNNNNNNNNNNNNNNNNNNNNNNNNNNNNNNNNNNNNNNNNNNNNNNNNNNNNNNNNNNNNNNNNNNNNNNNNNNNNNNNNNNNNNNNNNNNNNNNAGGGUGUGUUUGGUUGGAGGGAUAUCCUCUUAGGGACAGGGAUAGCCUUUUUUCGGUGGCUGCAAACCCAUUUGGUUCUGGGGCAAAGAAGGAUAGAGGCAACCAGAUACCCCGAAUAUUCCUCAAAAACUGGGAUGGGGAAACCCGCGAAAAACGAGCGGGUGGUGGCAACCACCCCGCGCGCUUCGUUCUCUCCUCUGGAUCCCGGGCUCGAGCGAGGAUGCGGCGGCAGGAGGCCGGCGCGGAAGGAGGCCAGGGCUGCGGCAGGAGGCAAUGCCGGCGCGGCUGGAUCCCACCCUCCCAACCAAUCAAAAAAUGGGAUAACCCCACCCUCCCAAACAAACAAAAAAAGGGCUAUCCCCAGCCACCUGGUUGGGGAUACCCACAACCAUCCUAGACUAUCCCUCCAACCAAACACACCCUAAGUUAUGCAUGUUAUACUUAUAAAACAAACUUCCCUAUAACUGUUAGUUCUACCCAACUGAUGUAAUACUUAUGUAGACAUGAGUAAAGGAUAACAUAUGAAUACACAAGAUUAAAAACUUAUGAGGCUUUCAAUUAUAUCUUCUACGUAAACAGUAAACCAUGAGUUUGCGGGCUAUGUAUUUUGGCUAAUUUUUUCCAAUAAACAGAAAUAUUGGCAUGGUACUAAACACUGAAGAUAUAAUUCCAUAGAAAACUUAAAUUAAUUAGUAAGUAGGUGGAACAGAAAUAGUUGGCAUGACAGAAUUAACAUCAUAUAUGGUACUCCUCCUCCUCCUCCUCUUUCUUCUNNNNNNNNNNNNNNNNNNNNNNNNNNNNNNNNNNNNNNNNNNNNNNNNNNNNNNNNNNNNNNNNNNNNNNNNNNNNNNNNNNNNNNNNNNNNNNNNNNNNCUCGGCUUCUGUAAGUGUCUUGGUCUCUGGCAAACCCAAGCCACCACGGGUAAGAAGGACCGAAGCCUCGCGUUCGUCCUCCAUGUUCGUCAUUGCCGAGGACCAGUGUGAGCAAAUCUUUCUCUCUAUCUGCAGUGAAUUUCUUUUUCCCUCCUUAAUUUCUUUCACUAUCUUUUUCCAAUUCUCCCUGGGUAUCCUAAGACCGUCACUGCACAUGAGGUCCCCUGUUUCUUCGUCGUACGAACCACCAUGCCCAAGGAACCAAUUUCUUGCUCUCAAUUCCCACUCAUCACGGAGUGUUUGAGGUAUGAUGCCUUUAGCUAGCAGAUCUUGCUCUUUCUUAUCCCACUUUAGGAUGGCAGUCUCAUAGCCCCCUGGCCCCAGCUUGUGGUGAUAUUUCUUCUUGUCGGCAUUUUUCUUGUUCUUUUCUGAUAAUGCCUGGGCAUCUUAUGACUCCUUGUACUCUUGAAAUGCCUUCCAGUGAUUCGCCUGCUUGGCUAGAUACCCCUCGAAUACUGGCACUUCCUUUGUCUUCAGAUAGUUUUUCCAUAGCUUCUUCUUCCAGCUACGGAACAAUUCAACCAUCUUCUUUAGAGUCCAUUGCUUGAUUUGGCCCUCAGUUUUUUUGCGGCGUCUUCAUUCUCACAUUCUGGCAGGUUGAAAUGUGACAUGAGAUCAUUCCAAAGAUUAUCUUUGUACCUUUCGGCGACAUAGUCACUAUCGGCUGCCCCUUUGCGCUUGUUCCACUCCCGAACGCUGAUCGGGACGUGAUCCCUAACGAGAACUCCGCAUUGCUUCUUGAAUGUGUUAGCGGCAUUCUUAGGAAGCUUGGGUUCGCCCGUAGGCAAUAUCACCUCAAAGGUGUAAUGCGUCCGUGCAUCCAACUUUCUAGUCGGGCCUCGUUUCGUAGCUUUGCUCGAUGUGGAGGCCUAAGAGGGAGAAACAUUCGUCAAAUGAAUGUAUAUGUAUACAAUAUAGAGCUAUCUCCAAUAUUUUUCACAUAUUACAAGUGAUUGUCGAACUUCAUAUGUAUACCUCGCCGGACUUUAUUAUUUCUUCACCGGCUUCUCCAUCAGUGGAGCUAUCACCCUGUCCAUCAUUGGACCUAUCUCCUGCCCCAUCAGCUUCAUCUUCGUGUCGCUCGACCUCCAUUCCAUAUCCGGAGGGGUUUAGAUAUGACGACGGAGAUUCAGCUGGUUCAACGUUGGGGCCGUCUUUGAUUAUAUCUUCGAGAAGUUCUUCCUCUUCGAGGUUCCUGAUAUGUGGAUCCAUAGUUCUGCAAAAACAGACAUUUGAUUAACUAAUAAACUAACAAACUAUAUAAGAGGGGUUGGAAACUUCGAAGUGUCGUUUUAUAUAGGAGGACCUUUAGUCCCGGGUCUUGGCUAGAACCUAAACUCUAAAAUANNNNNNNNNNNNNNNNNNNNNNNNNNNNNNNNNNNNNNNNNNNNNNNNNNNNNNNNNNNNNNNNNNNNNNNNNNNNNNNNNNNNNNNNNNNNNNNNNNNNUAGGAUGACCUCAUUUGGUUACCGGAAGGUUUUCGUGCAUUACCGGAAAAGUUUCGGGCUCAUCGGUAGUGUACUGGGAGUGCCGGGAGGAGUGCCGAGGACUAUCAGGAGGGGUGUCACGCCCCAAGGGGUCUCAUGGGCUAUGGGAAGAGAUAAACCAGCCCCUAGUGGGCUGGAAUAAGUUCCCACUAAGGCCCAUAAGGUUUGAGAAGGAAAAAACACAAGGUGGAAAGAGUUUCCAAGUGGGAAGGUGGAAUCCUACUCCAAGUAGGAUUGGAGUAGGACUCCUCCACCUCCAGUUUCAGCCAAACCUUUAGUUUUUGAGGCUGCCUCCUCCCCUCCCUCCCUCCUAUAUAUAGUGGGGUUUUAGGGCUGAUUUGAGACAACUUUUGCCACGGCAGCCCGACCACAUACCUCCACGGUUUUACCUCNNNNNNNNNNNNNNNNNNNNNNNNNNNNNNNNNNNNNNNNNNNNNNNNNNNNNNNNNNNNNNNNNNNNNNNNNNNNNNNNNNNNNNNNNNNNNNNNNNNNNNNNNNNNNNNNNNNNNNNNNNNNNNNNNNNNNNNNNNNNNNNNNNNNNNNNNNNNNNNNNNNNNNNNNNNNNNNNNNNNNNNNNNNNNNNNNNNNNNNNNNNNNNNNNNNNNNNNNNNNNNNNNNNNNNNNNNNNNNNNNNNNNNNNNNNNNNNNNNNNNNNNNNNNNNNNNNNNNNNNNNNNNNNNNNAGAAGGCCGAGAUCAUCAUCGAGCUGUACGUGUGCUGAACGCGGAGGUGCCGUCCGUUCGGCACUAAAUCGGAGCGGAUCGUGGGACGGAUCGCGGGACGGUUCGUGGGACGGUUCGCGGGGCGGAUCGAGGGACGUGAGGACGUUCCACUACAUCAACCACAUUUCUUAACGCUUCUGCUGUGCGAUCCACAAGGGUACGUAGAUCGGAAAUCCCCUCUCAUAGAUGGACAUCACCAUGAUAGGUCUUUGUGCGCGUAGGAACAUUUUUGUUUCCCAUGCNNNNNNNNNNNNNNNNNNNNNNNNNNNNNNNNNNNNNNNNNNNNNNNNNNNNNNNNNNNNNNNNNNNNNNNNNNNNNNNNNNNNNNNNNNNNNNNNNNNNUGUGCUGAUGAUUACAUUGCCAGCGAGCUGGCUCCCGAGACUGGGCACAAGACACAAGUCCACAUACAUACCUAUCAGUUACAUAGUUUAGAAUAGUGUAUUAUUGGCGAACAAUUAUCGCAUACAAUCUACACCACUCUUGCAUAGACAAACUAAUGGGGAUUAUUUGAUAAAAAAAGAAAUUAUUGGGGGUACUGAGGGCUACAAUCAUGGACAAGUGUCAAUGAUGCCGGCCUCAAUCCCACGGAGAACAUUUGAUGGAUGGAGAAAGGAAGAUUGGACUGCAAGCUUUGAGCUGGUAGCCAUGUGGUGUGCCUAGCUAGCAAGAUGGGCACUGUGAAUCAGUGAGGCCACGGUGGAUGAUGAUGAUAAGAUUCUGGUAUUUCUCCUAACUCUACCUGUCUCCCUGACCCACCCCACCCCCACUUGACGGAAGGAAGAAUUUGGCGUCGAUCUGUCUCUUGCAACUGUUGCUGACAUGGCACCAGGGUGAUGCUUCCUUCCUCUGCCCCACUGCUACCGGUUCUUGCCCUGAUGCAUGCACACAUGCAUGCAUGUUAGUUGAUGCAUGCCGAGAGACCAGGAACGGACAAUAAUGUUGUGUCCUUGUAGAAAAAAAAAUACAUUGCGAAACUCAUAUUCAUACAUACACACUCAAUCAGUUGGAUUGAUAGAUAGUUGUGUGUGUGUGCAGGGAUGGUAGAUGGAUAUAAAAUUCAUGUGACUUAAUAUGGAAAAAGAGAUGUUUACAUUCAAGAACGAAAAUAAUUCCUAAAGGUUAGCUUAUACAGAUGUAAUUUGCAAAACCUGGUUACGUGAGUAGAAACAGAUCGAGUGGUUCCGGCCUGUCCUGCUGAUAAAUUGUGGACAAAUACGAUAAAUCAUUGCCACAUCGGGCGCUGCGUUAUUGCAGCUUUGUUGCCUGCAAGUUUGAUCAGAGGAGAUUGCCAUUGAUGGAGACGGUAAAAAAGGAACCAAGAGCCAACAACUAGCACACAUAUUCACACCAAGUGUAUGUGCAGUUCAAUCUUAAUCCUACCGGGUCCCUUAAUUUAUAACGACACAUUAUGUACAAAUUCAUUCAUUCAUCACGCAACUAAAAUCAUGCAACUUUAGAGGGGCAAAAAAUAAGGCCAGAGGCAUGGUAGUAACUUUGGGGUCAUUACAAGUUUUGUAACAUGGUGCUUUGGUUAGCGCUAUGCUCGCACCUUCGAGCUCCAUUUCCAUGGUGUACUUCAUCGGCCACACUUCAUUUUGCACAAAUUGGAGGGAUCCCCAACCAAGAAUGUUGUUCGUUUCAAUCCUAGUAAAUGUAAAUGAUUGAUCUCUUGAUGAGCUUAGCUAGAACACUGGCCACAUGCAUGUGUUGCUUUAUCACCAUCGAUGGGGUAACCAGUUCGAGGCUGCAACUCUCUCCUAUGUGUCAUCCAAAAGAGUAGGGGGUGUAGAUAUUAAUCAUGUUGCUCAUGUAGGAUUAGGAAAGAAAGCCAAACCGAGUCCUAGUAGUAUUAGGAUUCCUAGUCCUAGUCUAUUUUCAUAGUCCCUUGUGGACGUGUAUAAAAGACACCCUAGGGGUGUUGAUUGUAACACCAGAAAAACGAAAAGCAAUACAAAGCAAAGGCUCGAUACGGGCCUUUAGCCAUCAAAUCCAUCGAUCAGUUUUAUUCGUGUCGCUAGUUACGCAAGUUCCGUCAAGUAGCCAGCCGAAGCAAGAAUCGCGUAGGCACGCCUGUACAGCUGCAUACGCACGUUUAAAAGCCAACAAUUGGUAUCAGAGCCUCGACGAUCUACGAUCUACGAUGACGGACAGUGACGCUGAGUCGGUCAAGUCCGGCAGCGGCGGUGCUAAGGCGAACAAGAACAGCGACAAGGUGAAGAAGGGCGUCAAGUCCGCAACCAGUGGUGGAGGAACGAGCGGCGCCAACGUCCAGGCGCAUCACAACAUCCCCAUCCAGUACCCGAUGGUCACCGACGCCAACUACGGCGUGUGGGCGGUGAAGAUGAAGAUUAUUCUUCGAUCCCUUCGAGUGUGGGAGGCCAUCACGGACGACGACGUUGACGAGGAACGCGACGAAGGUGCCAUGGCCGCCAUAGCCCAGUCUGUGCCGGAUUCCGUGCUGAUGACAUUGGCGGAGUUCGAGACGGCAAGAGAGGCGUGGAACGCACUCAAGGAGAUGAGGAUCGGAUAAGAUCGCGUCACCAAGGCUCGGACACAAGUGCUGAAGCACCAAUUUCACAAGUUGCAGAUGGAGGAAACUGAAUCGGUGAAUGACUACGCCAUGCGUCUUACUACUUUGGUGGGAGAGAUCCGCGCGCUUGGUGCAAAGCUCGAUGAGACCGAGAUCGUGGAGAAGUUUUUCAGUUCAGUCACUGAUAAAUUCACGUACAUCAUCGGCACGCUCGAGCAGCUUUACGACAUCGACGACAUGACCAUAACGGAGGCGAUCGGACGAUUGCGGACAUGGGAAGAGAAUGCUCGUGGCUGUCGGAAAGGCAAAGGAGGAGGUAGUGACCAACUCAUGUACUCGCGCGCAGAUUGGGAGGCCCCAAGUAGCAAAGGAAGGCGUGACGGUGGCGAAGGCUCAAGCAACACGAAGGGCGAUGGACAAACCGAAAAAGGCAAAGGAAAAGGCAAACCACAAGAUCGUGGUAAGGCGGGCCAAUCUAAAGAGCAGAAACCACGGAACUUGGACUUGUCCGAGGUCAAGUGCUAUAACUACAAUAAGAUGGGUCACUUUGCGAAGGAUUGUCCAAAGCCUAACAAGCGGGAGAUCAAGGCAAAUUUGGCAAAGCAGGAAGACGAAGGUCUAGGUCUUCUGAUGGCCGAAGUUUAUGAUCUCGCUGAAACGGUGGUUGUGAAACCAAGCCGGAAGGUGCUACUUCAUGAGGAAAAAGUGACACCAAAGUUAUCCGGUGAUCAGAACGUGUCGUGGUAUCUCGACACGGGUGCCAGUAACCACAUGACGGGGUGCAAGGAGAAAUUCUUCGAGCUGGAAUACGAUGUUGAAGGCUCGGUCAAGUUCGGUGAUGGUUCACCUGUGGAGAUUUGCGGGCAAGGAUCUGUCCUCUUUGAGGGUCUCACAGGCGAACAUCGCAUACUCACCGGAGUGUACUACAUCCCACGGCUGCGCAACAACAUCAUCUCUAUUGGGAAGCUUGACGAGAAUGGAUGCAAGGUGAAUAUCGAGAGCGGAGUGAUGAUGAUCUUCGACAACCUCCAAAACGUGCUAACUCGUGUUAGUCGCACACAGAAUACGCUCUAUAUCCUCAACCUUGAUCAAUCUCAACCGGAGUGUUGGCUUGCCAAGAGUGAUGAUGAUUCGUGGUUAUGGCAUGCUAGAUUUGGACACGUUAACUUCUACGCCUUGAAGAAGAUGUCAAAGAUGGAGAUGGUAUCCGGGAUGCCAGUUAUCGACCAUGUUGAUCGAGUAUGUGACGGGUGCUUGGUUGGAAAACAGCACCGCAGGCCAUUCCCUGCUCUCAGUCUACCUAUCGUGCAAGUGAUGCACUUGAGCUGCUCCAUGGUGAUCUAUGUAGCCCUAUCACCCCGGCAACUCACGCUGGAAAGAAGUAUUUCUUCCUGGUGGUAGACGACUACUCGACAUAUAUGUGGGUCAUUCUCCUACGAUCUAAAGAUGAGGUGUUUGAGCGUUCAAGAAGUUGAAGGCUGCAACAGAGAUGGUACACAAGCUGAAGGUUCGCGCUCUACGGACAGAUCGCGGCGGAGAGUUUACGUCGAAUGAGUUCAACGACUACUGCGAGAAGAUUGGCAUAAAGAGGUUCCUCACGGCACCUUACACGCCGCAGCAGAAUGGGGUCGUUGAAAGGCGCAAUCGAACCGUCGUUGACAUGGCAAGGAGUUUACUCAAGAGCAAGAACCUGUCGGGGACCUUUUGGGGAGAAGCUGUCUCGACGGCGGUCUAUCUUCUCAACCGGGCUCCAAAGAAGGCGGUGAUCGGCAAGACUCCAUAUGAAGCAAUUUAUGGACGUAAGCCGAAUGUGUCUCAUCUACGGACGUUCGGGUGCGUGGCACAUGUAAAGACGGCGGAGCCACAUCUCUCAAAGCUUGCCGAUCGUAGUACCAAGAUGGUGUUCAUCAGAUACGAGAGCAGUUCUGGCACCAAGGCAUACCGUUUCUACGAUCCACAAACCAAGCGUCUACGGAUUUCACGCGAUGUCGUGUUUGAAGAAAACCAAGCGUGGAAUUGGAGCGCCGCAGCCGACGAUGCUCCAAACAGUAACAUAUUUGCAGUUGAAUUUCCAACUGACGAUGAUGCAGGAGAAGAUGUCCAGGUGGUUGGCAAGACGCCAAACCAAGGUGGCCACAAUGGUAGUGAUCAUCAUGGUGCCGACACCGACGACGACGUGCAUAGGUCGCAAGGAGAUAGCGAUAACAAAGCGCACGGCACGGGUGGAGAUCUCGACGACAACAUCGACAACGAGGCGCAUAGUGACGAUGACAAUCAAGAUGAUGGUCAUGAUCACGACGACUACGCCGACGACGCGGAUGUCGAUAACACGCCCGAGACUCAGCCAUCUUCCUCAAGUGCAUCAACAUCGACACAAUUUGUGUCGCCUCCUUCACAAGCCACAACGGAUUCCUCAGGGCCUCGUCGCUACAAGACCCUCAAGAGAGUCUACAAGUACACAAAGCCAGUUAUGCUCGAGUACUCCGGACUAUGUCUGUUCGGAGUUGAGGAGCCGGCGAACUUCGUAGAGGCGAGCAAAAGUCCUAGCUGGACGCACGCCAUGGAUGAGGAGAUGAAGGCAAUUGAGAGCAAUGGCACGUGGACUUUGGUAACCCGACCUCCAAACCAAAAGACGAUAGGUUUGAAGUGGGUUUACAAGUUAAAGAAGGACACGGAGGGUGCCAUUGUGAAGUACAAGGCAAGACUCGUUGCAAAGGGCUACGUUCAACGUCAAGGAGUUGACUAUGAUGAGGUGUUUGCACCGGUUGCUCGAAUCGAGACGGUGAGAGUGCUCCUAGCUUUGGCAGCACAAGAGGAUUGGAAGGUUCAUCAUAUCGAUGUUAAAUCCGCUUUCCUCAACGGCGAUCUCACAGAAGAAGUGUACGUGGAAGAACCCCUCGGCUACGAGAAGAAAGGCGAAGAAGGGAAAGUUUACAAGCUCAAGAAGGCACUUUAUGGGUUGAAGCAAGCGCCAAGAGCUUGGAACUCAAAGUUAGACCGAAGUCUGGUCUCGCUCGGGUUCAAGAGAUGUCGCCUCGAGCACGCAGUCUAUACAAAGAACUCUAAAGGCUCAAACCUGCUAGUUGGAGUUUAUGUCGACGAUCUGAUUAUCACCGGAGAUAGCGUACAAGAAAUUGAACGUUUCAAGACGCAAAUGAAGAACAAGUUUAGCAUGAGCGAUCUGGGAUUACUCAGCUAUUACUUGGGCAUCGAAGUGAAGCAAAGCUCCGGAGAGAUUUCCCUAUGUCAAUCGGCUUAUGCGAUCAAGUUAUUGGAAAAGUGUGGCAUGUCAGAUUGCUACGAGACACAAGUUCCAAUGGACCAACGUCACAAGUUGAGCAAGCGUAGCUCAAAUCCGCCGGUGGACACCACAAUGUAUCGAAGCGUUGUGGGCAGCCUAAGAUAUUUGGUGCAUACCCGACCUGACUUAGCUUAUUCAGUCGGGAUCGUGAGUCGUUUCAUGGAGAAUCCGACAACCGAACACAUGAGCGCGGUCAAUCAAAUUCUACGCUAUGUGAAAGGCACAAUUAAUCUUGGUUGCACGUACAGAAAUGAAAAGGAAGGAUUGAUCCUUCGUGGAUAUUCAGAUAGUGACAUGACAGGUGAUGUUGAUGACCGAAAGAGCACAACGGGCAUGGUUUUCUACCUUGGCCCGAAUCCGAUUAGCUGGAAUUCUCAGAAGCAAAAGAUGGUGGCACUAUCUUCAUACGAGGCAGAAUACAUAGCGGCAAGCACGACGGCUUGUCAAGCAGUGUGGCUGAGAAGACUCCUAGCUAUUCUUGCAAAGCGGGAGGUGCAGAAGGUGUCACUGAAGAUCGAUAACCAAGCUGUAAUCUCGUUGUGCAAAAAUCCGGUUCAUCACGAAAGGAGCAAGCACAUAGAUACCCGGUUCCACCAUAUCCGGGAGUGCAUUGAAGAAGGGUUGAUCGAGGUUCAACAUGUGAACACGAAAGACCAACUUGCCGAUAUUUUCACCAAGUCCCUCGGUCGACAGAAGUUCAUCGAGAUGAGGAGAAAAGUCGGAGUGCAAGAAGUGAAGUCAAGCAACAAGAUUAAGGAGGUGAAUGUAGAUGUUAAUCAUGUUGCUAAUGUAGGAUUAGGAAAGAAAGCCAAACCGAGUCCUAGUAGUAUUAGGAUUCCUAGUCCUAGUCUAUUUCCAUAGUCCCUUGUGGACGUGUAUAAAAUACACCCUAGGGGUGUUGAUUGUAACACCAGAAAAACGAAAAGCAAUACAAAGCAAAGGCUCGACACGGGCCUUUAGCCAUCAAAUCCAUCGAUCAGUUUUAUUCGUGUCGCUAGUUACGCAAGUUCCGUCAAGUAGCCGGCCGAAGCAAGAAUCGCGUAGGCACGCCUGUACAGCUGCAUACGCACGUUUAAAAGCCAACAGGGGGAGAGGAAGUGUGUGGAUGUGUGUAGUAGCUAAGAUGGCACAUAUCGGAUAGAUUGACACUUGGCACAUGCAAGCUCAAAAAAAAAUUGGGUGGCUCGAAUUGAGUGUAGUGGAUCAUUUCAUCCCUAUCACCGCAUGUGACAUUGUAUAUAUCUAGGACAGUGAUACGCAUUGGGCCUGCCUUUGUUGGAGUGGAUCCCUUCCUGGUCAAUCUGUCUGCAUGUAUCCGUCGAUCUCUUUGAAUUCCUAUGCAUUAUUCUACUUCACUAACAUAACAUGGAAACGACUUGAAAUUAGCGUAGCUAUAGGACACUGGUCUGGUCACCACAUACAUUUUUUGCUCCUAUAUCCUCUCCAUCUUAUUGAUGAUCAUCCAACUAAUGCCUUUGGUUUUCUUUUGAUUGUGUGGACAAAAAAUAUGGUAACUAAAAAUGACUCCCUUGUGUUUACAUGGUAAAAGUUUUAUCUCGUGUCAUAAACUAACAUAGUGUUUUACUGAGUGCGGACGUUUGGAGCUCGGCCUCCAUGGAGGCCGAAAUUUUUGAAUAAUUCAAAAUUCAAACUUUUUGGUUUCAAAAAAAUCUGAAAAAAAUAUGAAAGUAAAGAAGGAUAUUAUGCGUAUGUGUGCAAAUAUUUAGGAUGAAAUGCCUUGAAAUACGAUCUGCACAAAAAAGACAAAUUCAUGACCUGAAAUGAUGAAUAGUGUCAUGUGUAAAAAAGCCUCAGAUUUGUCUUUUUUGCACAGCCCUCAUUUCAAUGUAUUUUUUCUGAAAAUUUGCAUACAUGUGUGUUACGCCUUCACUUAUCCCUGUAUUUUUUUCAUAAUUUUUUGAAAUGUAAAAAUAUGAAUUUUCAUGAAAUUUGAAUUUCAAAUUUAAAGGCCUCCAUGGAGCUCGGCCACCAAAAGCAAUUUCCGUGUUUUACUCCCUAUGUUUCUAAAUAUAAGUCUUUUUAAAGGUUUUACUAGGAAACUACGUACGGAUGUAUAUAGACAUACUUUAAAGUGUAGAUUCAUUCAUUUUACUUUAUAUGUAGUCUCUUAGUGAAAUCUCUAAAAGGAUUUAUAUUUAGGAACGGAGGAAGUAGAUACAAAUAGCCCUUAAGAUUAUGUAUUUCUUUUCUUGCUCAUUCUCCUCUGCGAGAUUGUCACUGCACACCGCGUGGCCCGAGGCCAGUUAGCAAGUAGCCCUUAAGAUUAUGUAUCUCUAAAACCUUCGAGGAGCGUUGGCCCGAGGCUAGUUAGCAAUUUUAGCCAUUGGAGUAUAUGCAUGUCUCCCCCAUGAGUGACAAACUGCUUCCGAUCAUGUCUUGGAAUGUCCGAGGCAUAGACAACCCCGCCAAGCGAGCUGCCAUCUGCGAGAUUGUCACUGCACACCGCGUGGCAAUACUCUGCCUGCAGGAGACUAAGAUCACUGAUUGGUCCCCUAACAUUAUUAGCAAGAUUGGGGGAGCCUCCCUCACUAACUGCAUUGUACUGACGGUGAUCGGGGCCAGUGGUGGGGCGGCGAUACUCUGGAAUAGAAACCUGGCCACGUUCACCUCCCAUGUUGUCGGAGUUUUCGCAAUUAUGGCAAAGGUCACCCUGCUAGGACAGCCACAAGGCUUCUGGCUCUCCUCUGUCUACGGCCAUACGGAUGACGCCAGAAAGGAAAACUUCCUCCUGGAGCUGUCCCACUCGGCCCCACCACCAGCAGAACCAUGGCUUAUUAAUGGAUAUUUCAACCUCAUCUACGAAGCAUGAGACAAAGACAACCUCAACCUAAACCGUAGAUUGAUGGGCAGGUUUAGAACAGCCAUCGAUGUCGCAGGUUUGAAGGAGAUCAAAUGGAAAAACCGUCGAUACACUUGGAGUAACGAGCUUCGUGACCCCACCCUAGUCAGCAUCGACAAGUUUUUCUGCAAUCAAGCCUAGGAAUGCAUCUUCCCCUCUUCUUCACUAAUAGCGGCCUCUACGGCUACUUCCGAUCACUGCCCGCUGCUCCUCGCCGACACCAGCGCUGCGCCUCGCUCCGCUAUUUUCAAGUUCGAAAGCUUCUGACCAAAUUUCCCCCACUUCCACGCCACAGUAGAAAAUGUCUGGAGUAGACCAGUGCAGUCAACUUGCGCCUUUCAAUGACUACAUACAAAAAUGGUGCGAGUGGCGCGCGACCUGAAAGUUUGGAGCAAAUCCUUUUUCAGCAAUGCAAAGCUGCAAUUUCAUAUAGCUGUCGAGCUGGUUCUUCGCCUGGACGUAGCACAUGAGACACGUCGACAGACGGACGUUGAAUUCAGCCUUUGGAAACUGCUGAAUCUGCGCCUCCUUGGCCUUGCGGCGGUGGAGCGCGCCAGAAGAUGCCAGGCAUCCCGUCUAACUUGGUUACGGGUAGGCAACGCGGGAACAAAAAAUUUCCAUGCAAAAAUGAGAUCACGUAGACGUAAGAACUUCAUCCACAGCCUCCAGGUAGGCAAUGAGAUUGCCAUGGCGCACGAACAAAAAGAGGCGGCAAUCUACCAGCAUUUUAACGACAGCUUAGGCACCAAAGUUGUUCGUCCCCUCGACAUCAACUGGAGUAGUUUAGAUAUGCCCUCGGUCCAAGGUGGAGGCCUAGACAAUCCCUUCUCUGAAGCGGAAGUCUGGGAGGCGAUAAAAGCUUCACCAUCUGAGAAGGCCCAGCUCCCGACGGCUACAUAGGGAUGUUCUUCGGGAGCUGUUGGCAGCACAUCAAAGCAGACGUCCUACUAGCUUUCAGCAGUUUUUACCACCUCGCGGGAGGGGACUUCGAUAAGCUAAAUACUGCCAUGGCAGUACUCAUCCCCAAAAAAGAUGGCCCCAAAAAAAUUCAAGAUUUCAGGGCAAUCAGCCUGAUACACUCAUUCGCAAAACUAAUAGCUAAGGUGCUCUCUAUGCGGCUCUCUACGGUGAUCGGAAAUCAUUAUCUCGCCGGCACAAUCGGCGCUCCUGUGCUCCAAGUUUACACAGGAUAGUUUCCUAUAUGUACGAAAUGCGGUUAGAUAUCUACACCGAAAAAAGAUACCCGCACUCCUGCUUAAGCUAGACAUCGCCCAAGCUUUCGACAACGUUUCCUGGGAGUACUUACUAGAGCUGCUGCAAGUGCUAGGCUUUCCGGCACAAUGGCGGGACUGGAUCUCACUGCUUCUCAGCACAGCGUCAUCAUCCUUUAUUCUCAACGGGACGGUAGGCCGCCACAUUUGUCAUCAUAAGGGCAUGCGCCAGCGCAUGGAGACCCGCUCUCGCCCCUUCUCUUCAUCAUUGCCAUUGACCCCCUACACAGGCUGCUAGCAAAGGCGACCGAGCUUGACAUGCUCGCCCCCUGCCGGGUAGAGACAUCCCUCUUCGGGUUAGCCUCUAUGCGGAUGAUGCAGUAUUUUUUGCCAACCCCAAUAGAUAGCAGAUCGACACCCUGCUAGACAUCCUACGGGAUUACGGACACGCAACUGGGCUGCGUGUGAACCCCGCAAAAUCAACUGUCUCCGCUAUCCGAUGCGACGGGAUCAACCUGCAAGAAGUUCUGCAAAAUUUCAGGGGUGAGACACUAGGGUUCCCGGUGAAAUACCUGGGCCUCCCGCUAACUCUCUCGAGACUGCACCUUGUCCACAUCCAGCUCAUCCUUGACCGGUAAGGGCCAGACUAGCAGGAUGGAAGGGGAGACUGCUGACCAUAGCUGGCAGACGACUCUUGGUUUGCCGCGUACUAACCGCUUUGCCGACUUUUGCCUUGUCGGUGCUGCGAGCACCGAAGAAAAUUCUAGAUGAAGUAGACAAGGUUCGACGUCGUUUCCUAUGGGCACAAGAGGAAGAAAUCGGCGGGGAAAAAUGCAAAGUAAGCUGGCCGUAGUCUGCUCUCCGGUUGAAAAUGGAGGACUGCGAAUUUUGGAUAUGACACGUUUUAGUAGAGCGCUCCAGCUGCGCUGGCUUUGGCUGUCCUAGACAAGCCACGACAGGCCAUGGAAUGGCAUGCAACUGCCAUGUGACGAUGGCGACAGGGCUUUUUUAGCGCCUCCACGGUUGUUACAUUGGGUAAUGGAGCAAUGGCAUAGUUCUGGCACUGCUCAUGGACCGUUUUGGGGAACCUGAAGACAACUUUCCCAAAGCUAUUUAAACACAUCCGAAGAAAGAAUAGAUCGGUGAGAGAGGCACUGCAGAACAACAACUGGAUAGCGGAUCUCGCUCACGGGGACACACUGCAUAUUUGGGAAGAGGCAGUCAGGUUGCACAGAUGGAUACAAAUCAGAAAUAUUCAGCUUCAAGAGCAAGUAAGAGACACCAUAAAAUGGACACACGAGGCAUCAGGAAUGUACACAGCCAGCUCUGCAUACAAGGCCCAUUUUCAGGGAUUCUUGAAAUCAGAUCUCAGGAAACUAAUUUGGGGCACUUGGGCACCUGCUAGGCUGAAGUUUUUCGCAUGGCUGCUUCUUAAAGAUAGGCUGUGGGUGCAAUGGCCCCCUACAAAGAAGGGGGUGAACAAAUGGAUACUUCUGCUAGUUAUGCCUUCAAAACUUGGAAUCAUCGGUACAUUUGUUCUGGCAGUUUGGUGGAGCCACGUCCACAAUACAGCAAGCAACUAGUAAUGCAUGAUGCUGACAGCCUUCGUAGGGAAGAUGAAUCCGAGGAAGCCAUCGUUUCAGUAAGCUGAAUUAUUCGUUCAACAGAAAGACAAAAAAUGCAUCCACAAUUACAAAUAAAUACUCCCUUCAUACGGAAUCACUUGUUGUAUAAAUGGAUGUAUCUAGACGUAAUUUAUUUGUAGAUACAUCAACUUUCACCCAUUUCCUCCGACAAGUAAUCCGGGACGAAGGGAGUAUUACUAGAGACAUAUGUGAAACAUGUCUUUUACAUUGUAUUUACUUGGCAUUACACAGGUUGUCAUUUUUCUGAAUAGACCUGGUCAGGCUUUACGAAGUUUAACUUUACAAAAAGUUAUAUGUAUUAUUGCAUCAAAGGGAGGGGUUGCUUAUCACUACUAAUACAAAGCCCGGGCGUACAGUGCUGAAAAGUACUUCCUCCGUCCUGAAAUAAGUGGCUCGACUUUGUAUAAAACUGAGUCAUUUUUGAGUGACUUAUUUUGAAAUGGAAGAAGUACUUAUUAUGUGUAUAAAGGUACACGUGUCAACUCUCUGCAUAGUUGAGUAAGUCGACCGUUGUAACAGCCGAGUACAUCGCUUGCUGUCACGCAUAUAUGGCUUCUAUAGAAAGCAUAGCUAGUCGCGCUAACUCUGCCACUUGUACAUGUUGCCAUAUCGGCUCGAUGGACCACCGGUCAGGCUUAGGCGUCGCGCUCACGACAUCGAGGUUACAGCCAUCGCCUACGUGUCGUUCAUUAAAGAGAAAGCCAGAUGUAAAAGGGAUUGAACAAGUCAGACGGAGCAACACCUGGCAUGUGCCAUGGCCAGGAGCUUGGGGUCAGAGAAUUUUGGGUGGCUUGAAUCGAGUCGAGUGGACCAUCCCAACAUCACUACCACCUCAUGCAUUAUUGCACUUCACUGAUGCAACAUGGAAAGGAGUUGUAAUUAGCUUGGAUAGGACAGUGACAAGACCACGAACAUGGAAAAAUGGAUGUAUCUAAACAUUAUUUAGUUGUAGAUACAUCAAUUUUUAUCCAUUUUCCCGACAAGUAAUCUUGGACGGAGAAAGUAUUACUAGAGACAUAGGUGAAACAUGUUUUUUACAUUGUAUUUACUUGGCAUUACGGAGGUUGAUAUUUUUCCGAAUAGACUUGGUCAACCUUUACAAAGUUUAACUUUACAAAAAGUUAUACUAUGUAUUAUCGCAUGUAAGGGAGGGAUUGCUUAUCACUACUAAUACAAAGCCUAGGUGUGAAUUACACGUGUGCUGAAAGUACUCUCUCCGUCCCCAAAUAAAUGACUCAACUUUGUAUCGAAGUUUGUAUAAAAUUGAAUUAUUUUUAGUCACUUAUUUUAGCACGGAGGGAGUACUUGUUAUGUGCGUAAAAGCACACGUGUCAACUCUUUGCAUUGUUGAGUAAGUCAACCAUUGUAACAGCCAAGUACAUAGCUUGCUGUCACGCAUAUAUGGCUUCUAUAGAAAGCAUAGCUAGUCGCGCUAACUGCUGCCACUUGUACAUGUUGCCAUGUCGGCUCGAUGGACCACCGGUCAGGCUCGGGCAUCGAGCUCACGACCUCGAGGUUACAAUCAUCACCUACGUGUCGUUCAUUAAAGAGAAAGCCACAUGGAAAAGGGAUUGAUCGCGCCUAGGAACACGUCAGGCGAAGCAACACCUGGCAUGUGCCAUGGCCAGGAGCUUGGGGGUCAGAGAAUUUUGGGUGGCUUCAAUUGAGUCGAGUGGACCAUCACAACAUCACUACCACCUCAUGCAUUAUUGCACUUCACUGAUGUAACAUGGAAAAGAGUUGUAAUUAGGCCCUGUUUGGUUUCAAUAAGUCACCUGACUUAUAAGUCAGGUAAUUUAAAACCAGUGACUUAUAAGUCACGCCUGUUUGGUUGUCAUCUGACUUAUAAGUCACCUUUUCAUGCAAAAGUGAGUGACUUAUAAGUUUUAAAUUGGGGUGGAGCAACUUAUGGCUUAUAAGUUGGGAUGACUUAUAAGUUGGGUUUGUUUGACAAAAUAAGUCACUUUUUAUAUUUUUCAACUUAUAAGUUGGUGAUUUAUUUGGAACCAAACAGGGCCUUAGCUUGGAUAGGACAGUGACAAGAUAACCAAAUACCUCUCGUCUGAUCCUACCCUCUUCAUAUUGUUAUUGAUCAUCAAUUCAUCACCCACCCAAUGUUGUUGGUUUUCUUCCCGUUAUGUGGUCACAAAAUGAUUUCCUAGUCGGCAUGUUAAGACGUUCCAUCUCAGCAGUGCAGGUGCGGACACGUAGUUGCCCACUGGGCGCAGACGAGGACAGGGGCCAGAUUGAUUGCUGACACGUGGAGUCAUCCACAGCCAGAAGCAUGCAGCUAGGUUCCAUUCAAAGCAGAGAAAAUUGGAAGAAAAGCUUUGAACGAGCAAAGGUCUCCAUCCUAAUUUCAACAGAUCUCUGUAUUAUUGUGCUAGCAUGAGAUGAUGUUGUGGAUGACUUAUAUGUGGAGCUGAAGCUACUACUAACUGGUCGGUCUCUCCUGAACUUGUUGCCUGCUCAACUGGCUGCUGACUAGAAUGUAUCCCUGACGAGGGUGACUCAGCACGGCGUGGAUGUCAUGUGACGUGCAGCAGGGAUCGAAUGAUCAAAAUCGAACAUAACCCUUUUGGUUCAAAUUCAUGCCGGUGUCCGUGCGCGUCCCUCCAACACCUUCUACGCCGAGAUCCGCUCCGGCGACAUGCGCCUCGGCCUCGACACAUUUCCGAUGAGGCUGCCCGCGCGUACGACACGACAGCGUUGCGCCUCAACCGGCCUCGUAAGGACAAAAAAAAUCCGAGGUGAUGACGCGGGAAUGGACGCAGCGGCUGACGCCUUCCCCACGGGUUGUCACCGAAGAGGACCGUCGCCAGAACCGAAGGCGGGAGCGCUGCCUCGGCAUCUCUAAGAUAGACGAACAUGCCAUGGCGGCAUAACGCCAACGGUUCCUGCAGGACGUCCUCGACGAGCGCGCAUUCUUCGAGCAAAGAAGGACAGAAAGGAGGGCGGUGCUACCUGCCUAUCGUAAGGACAGGCGUACGCGGAAGCAACCCACACUCUUCAAUAUGGAGCUUAAGGGAGCGUCGAGUUGGGACUCGAACGAUGAACGGUGGGCUGACGGCUUCAUCACGACGGAGGAGUCGAACACCAGCGCGCCGAAGGAAGGCAACGAGGAGUAGUUUCUUAUCUUUUUUAUUAUGUACGUUUUUAUCUACGAUGAACUAUCGAUGAAGGAGUAGAUUCUUAUCUUUUUUAUUACGUAUUUUUUUCGUAGAAUGUACAUUGUGCCCUAUAAAUCUUAGCGCUUUUGGUGGAGUGACGAGUGUGAUUUUUUUUCAGCAUCUGGUGAAGCCAGUGCUCUGUGACGCAUAAAAGAAUGUUAUUCCUACCCUACAAAUUGUUUUUAAAUGCGGGACGGUUAGGUGGCUGUUGAAAAUGCUCUGAGUGAAUGAGUCCGACAACGCAUAAUCCGAGCUGGAUAACAUGCAUGGCUUGGACGUAUGAUGAUUAGUGCUGACACCCUGGGCCCACGGCGGCCAAUGGCGACACGCCAGGUGGCCGUUAACGGAUGGCAUGUAGGCUAUAAAAGACAGGUGGAACUCCUCGGCAAACACGCACAGAUUCUUGCUAAUCGAGAAAUCACUUCCACUCUAAUCCAUCUCCCCUACGUUUCUGAUCGAUUUCUUCCAUGUCAAUGGAGACGAGAGACGGCAGCUCGACGACCCCGGCACUGCUGCCGUGCUCCUACUCCCCGCUGCCGGACGACGCCGAGGCCGCCGUGGUGCGCCACGCCCGCCGGAGUGCCGGCCCGUUGUGCGCCGCGCUGCUGGCGGCGUCGGCAGCCGUGCUCCUCGUGGUCACCGCGCUCGCCGGCGUCAGGUUCGCUGGCCAGCUGCCACUGCCAGCCACAGGCGUCGCCAUGUCCGGCCACACGACUACGGCGGACGACACGGUCACGAUGAGAAGCAGCAGCAGGGGCCCUGAGUCCGGCGUCUCGGAGAAGGCGUCCGGCGCCGCAGCGCACGGCGGCAUGUUUGGUGCCGACGCCGGCGGCAACGCGUUCCCGUGGAGCAACGCCAUGCUCCAGUGGCAGCGCACCGGCUUCCACUUCCAGCCCGAGAAGAAUUGGAUGAACGAUCCCAACGGUACGUGUUAACGCCAUGCUCGAGUGGCAUGUUGUUGCAGUGAUCUCUUCUCUUUGAGACGAUUCCACGAUGAAACCAUGUCGAUUUCGUUGCAAAAUUUCCUUGCUAAUAGAGAAAUGCAAAUGCAGGUCCCGUGUACUACAAGGGAUGGUACCACCUCUUUUACCAGUACAACCCGGACGGUGCCAUCUGGGGCAACAAGAUCGCCUGGGGCCACGCCGCCUCCCGCGACCUUCUCCGGUGGCGCCACCUCCCCGUCGCAAUGUCCCCUGACCAAUGGUACGACAUCAAUGGCGUCUGGUCGGGAUCUGCCACUGUCCUCCCCGACGGCCGCAUCGUCAUGCUCUACACCGGCUCCACAAACGCGUCGGUCCAGGUCCAGUGUCUGGCCUUUCCGACCGACCCCUCCGACCCUUUGCUCGUCAACUGGACCAAGUAUGAGAACAACCCGGUGAUGUAUCCGCCACCAGGAGUUGGGGAGAAGGACUUCAGGGACCCAACCACUGCGUGGUUUGACGGCUCCGACGACAUGUGGAGGCUCGUCAUUGGCUCCAAGGAUGACCGUCAUGCCGGCAUGGUGAUGACUUACAAGACCAAGGAUUUCAUGGACUAUGAGCUUGUCCCUGGGUUGCUUCAUCGCGUGCCGGGGACAGGUAUGUGGGAGUGCAUCGACUUGUACCCUGUCGGCGGCGCGAGGGGCAUCGACAUGACGGAGGCCGUGGCUGCGGCGUCCAACAAUGGUGGCGGCGAUGUUUUGCACGUGAUGAAGGAGAGCUCGGACGAUGACCGGCACGACUACUAUGCGUUGGGAAGGUACGAUGCGGUGAAGAACACAUGGACGCCAUUGGACACUGACGCCGAUGUCGGCAUUGGGCUGAGGUAUGACUGGGGAAAGUUCUACGCAUCCAAGACGUUCUAUGACCCGGCAAAGAAGCGACGCGUGUUGUGGGGCUGGAUCGGCGAGACAGACUCGGAGCGCGCGGACGUAGCCAAGGGAUGGGCCUCCCUCCAGGUACCUGACAUUUUCAUCAUCUUCUUCUUGCACAAGAUGGCAAAGUCAGUUGAUUGAGUAACCUCCAUGAACUGAUUCUUAAUACAAUUUGUUUCGUUGGUGAUUUGCAUCAUUAGUAGGGUUGCAUGCACUUUUUGUCGGGUUCCACACACAGACACAUCGGCAUGGCACAGUCAGGGUGUGGGCCAUGGUCAUACAUGCAAAUAAUGGCAGCAACUUUUUUUGAACAAAACAGCAGCCACUUUAGAUGAAUCAAUGCAUACAUAGAUAACAGCUAUCGUUGCAGCUCAAGUUAGUUGCGUGCCCAUGACUCAUGACCCAUAUGGCAUAGUGGCGUUCAACAUUAACAAUCUGGUACAGCUACCAAACUCUGAAUUCGUAUAAACAAUUUCUGCUGCUAGUACCAACCAAACAGGGAUUAGACAAGAAAAAGGAAUGUAAAUAUUGGCAAUGAUUGCUGCUAAUCAAUACACUAUUUCUUUGCUCUCACAACGAUUGGUGCCAACUACCAAUAAGAUACUUUGUUGAGUAAUUAAUUAGUGUAAAUUGCUCAUUGUUUCGUUGUUAUUGUUGCAGUCGACCCCUCGGACGGUGGUGCUAGAUAACAAGACAGGGAGCAACCUCCUGCAGUGGCCGGUGGAGGAGGUGGAGACGCUCCGGACCAACUCCACCGACCUCGGCCGGGUCACCAUCGACCACGGCUUCGUAAUCCCUCUCAGCCUUCACCGCGCCACACAACUUGACAUCGAAGCCUCAUUCCGUCUUGACCCGCUCGACGUCGCCGCUGCCAAGGAAGCGGAUGUCGGCUACAACUGCAGCACCAGCGGCGGCGCGACUGGACGGGGCACGCUCGGUCCCUUCGGCCUCCUCGUGGUGGCUGAUGCCAGGCACCACGGUGGUGAAAUGGAGCGGACCGCUGUCUACUUCUACGUCGCGAGAGGCCUCGAUGGAGGCUUGCACACACACUUCUGCCAUGACGAGACGCGCUCAUCUCAUGCCAACGAUAUUGUUAAGAGGGUCGUAGGCAAUAUUGUUCCCGUGCUCAAUGGCGAGAUGUUUUCGGUGAGGGUGCUAGUGGAUCAUUCAAUCGUUGAGAGCUUUGCAAUGGGCGGGAGGUUGACCGCGACGUCACGUGUGUACCCGACUGAGGCCAUCUACGCCAACGCUGGGGUAUACCUCUUCAACAACGCCACCGGCGCCCGGGUCACCACCACGAGCCUCGUCAUCCACGAGAUGGACUCCUCCUACAACCAGGCCUACACUGCC